rnacentral:lncRNA from 1 species
UUGAAACAAAGAAGUUACGAUGAGUUAAAACAUAAGAAAAGCACAUAAAUAACGAAGACACGAAAGAAACGGACUCAACAACUAAUCUACAACUAAGUAGGUGAUUAUUAUUUGGUAAUUAGUAUUAGAACUAACAACGAAACUAAGGGACAGUAAAAAUGAAACUAAGAAUCUAAAAUUUUGAGCUCAAAAAUAUUAUGUGAACAGUAGCAGUGAUGACGUGGCAACCACGUAUUGGUUCGGUUUUAUCAAGUUUUAAUCAUCAUUCUUGAAGUUUUUUUUCAUAAAUUUUUGGAAUAAUUAGUAUUUGGAGGGAAAGAACAAGUCUUGUAACUCUUUUCAAAUUCAACUCAAAAGGUGAGAGAUUUGACUUGUACUAGUUCCACAAAACAAGGCUCCUUGAAAUAUGGAAAAAUGGUUGAAAAAGUUGAUGUCAAGUCUAUGAGUGAUGUGAACUAGUCCUUUCACCAACAACUACAGCAACUUUUUUGUCACCUUUUGUAGAUUUAAAGUUCACUUUUCUUGUGUUAACAAAAGAUAAAAGGGUGAAGAACAACAAGAACACAACAACAAUGUUUCAAGAACGACAACAACAAGUCCAACACCCAACUACAAGGUCACCUUAGGCCAAGCUAUAACAACAACAUCAACACGGCCAACUUCAAAUCCAUAACAACAAGAACAACAACAAUUGGCCAAGCUUAUGUUCACAACAACAACUUUCAACAAGUUCAAGCCCAAGUUUAGAUCUAGACUCAAAGUGUUAGUGGACAAGAAAACUAACACUAUAAACAACAAAACAAACAAGAACACUACUAGAUCUAGACAUACAAUAAACAAAUCUCGACCAAGACACAACAAGAACCCAGCUUUGGCCAAGAAUACAAACAUGGACAAAUUACUAUUUUCUGAAAAUUUUAGUUUUCACUUUUUUUUUUUGUAGUUUUCAAGUCUCAAACCCAAGAUUGAUCUUGUUAGAACAAAAUCAACAAUGGAUUUGAUACCAAAUGAUAUGAGAAAGACAAGAGAAGGCUAAAAAACUACUCAAAAUAGUCCACAAAUCAACUAGAACCCGAGGACCCCUUUGAGAGCAACUUUCGGCCUACAAUAAUAACAAAAGGAUUACAAGAUACAAGGUGUAUUUUAACACCAAAAUAAAAACAAUGACACAAGAUGAAACAAGUCACGGAUUCAAUACAAACACAAGGAAAAUUGCACAGAAAAUAAAGAUAGAUAGUGAAACCAAGAUUAUUACAAGAUUAUAAACCAAGUGUAUUUCAACACUAACCCCUAAUGAAUGUAACAAUCAAAACCACACUCUUACGGUGACCACCAAGGGAAUGAACUCACCUCAAGAUCUACCGUUUCCAAGCAAAGACCAAUAUUGGCUUUUCCAAGCCCUAUGCAGAUGGCUUUUCCAAGCCCUACAACUAAGGGUGUUAUACUCUCAAAAGAGAGAAAAUAUGUCUUUCAAUUCUUCAUCUUUCAAAAUCUGUCAAUAAAUGAGCUAAAAUAACCUAUUUAUAGUGUAUUACAAAAGAAGACAAAAAGACCACAUUGCCAUUAAUGAUAGGUGUGGCCAUGGUGUGUAAAUACACCAUGUGUAAUGUCCAAAAUGCCCUUAAUUAAGGUCCAAAACCGUGAGUCCUCAAUCUUAAAUGCUCUAAGAAAUCUUCCACACGUGAGAUUGCUUUAAGUUAUACUCAAAACGGGUUCUCCAUGCAUGUUCUUGUAUUCUCGAGGUGACCAAGUCUUGUGCCUCUAUAUGUUGGCUUCCAAAGAUGUCAUCAAAAGAUAAGAUGGCCAUUUGUCCCGUAUCAUGGCACAAUUAGAUUUUUCAUCCGAGGUUGUUUCGACCAUAUGUGGGCCCCAACCCAUACUUUAUUUUCUUAACUUUUUGACCGAUAGGUCUAAAUGAGCUUGGCUAUCUUGGGACUAGAACUAAAGGUUCACUUAGCCUAAAAUCGACAUUAUAGAGGUUCUAGCAUAGGCAAAAUUUAUAUAUGAGAUUUUCUUACUGAAGUUUUUGCUCAGUGGUCAUUUGGAACCAAUGAAGAAUUCAAAAUAGGAAAGUAGCUCUAAAAUCAAAUGAGCUACCCGGUAACUGAAUUUUUAGCUCCAAUAAGUCAUAAAUGACUUAAGGUAGCUAUAGAAAAGCUCUAACGACAAAAAUAAGCAAAAAUAUAGAAAAUGACCUGAAGGGUCAUUACAUCUAAUCUUAAGGUCAUAUUCAUAAGUCAUGCUUAACUUAAAAAGCUCAUAAAUUAUGGUUGACUCAAGAGUCCAUAAAUCAUGGUUUAAUUUAUGUGUAUUAAGUUUCAGAAUCAUAAGUAGUUAUAUGUCAUAAUUUAUGGAAUAAAGUCAUGAAAUAAUCAAAUCAUUGUAGCAUAGAGUUCAUAUUUUGAUAGACAUGCUUGUAAUUUAGCUAAAAUUUGACUGGUGACCAAUAAGACAUUCAUGAAAUGAAGUGUUGACACCCAAUUUUGGUUUGACAUUUACAAAAUAAAUGCUUUUAUAGUUCUUAUUUGUUAAAAGCACAAAAUUUGAUUUUCACAUAUUUGUAUUCAAUUUUAACACAAGUUAUUGGUUAUUAUCCUUAUUUAUAAGAAUGUUAGGAUACUUAUCAAUUAAUUACACCCCCCAUUUCAAAAGGAAUGACCUAUUUUGACUUGGCAUGGAGCUUAGAAAAUUAAAAAGAUUUUUGAAUCUUGUGGUCUUAAUUAACGUUAUGUCAUAUAGAUCAAAAUACCCUUUAAUCUUGUUGUCUUAAAUAUGAUAAAUGGAAAGUUGGAAUUAAAGUAUGGCCAAAAUUGAAAAGGGUCAUUAUUUGAAACAGACUAGAAAGGAAAGUAGACACUUCUUUUUGAAACAUAAGGAGUAUUAUUUUGGGUGGUUAUCAUUGAUUUUUACACAUUUAUUUUAUAAAUAAUUGUUAUUUUAAUUUUGUUAAUUUAUCAGUUAAUUUAUAAUUCAAAAGCACAUUUUAAAAACACAACACCAGAUAUAAUUUUUAAUUAUUGUAUCACAAAUCUUAUCUUUAUAUAGUCUGUUAUUACAUAAUAGAUGGAAAAGAUAUUAUUUACACAAAUACGUUAAAAUAUUCAUAGUUUUGGAUAACUCAUUGUUUUAGAUAGUCCAUGAUUUUUCAAAACCAUGAUAUUGAGCCUAAGUUUUUGCUCUUGAGUGAUUUUGUUUUGUCUAUAAAACCUAUCCUUUUCCCAUUGCAACUUUUUGGUGAAGAUUUCUAAAUUUGGUAAAAUUUCAAAUAAAGAUUCUUAUUCCUUAAGUCAAAUUUUUCCUUUCGCUGACCACCAACCUCAUCGAAGUAACCAACACUUUGACGAGCUCUAACCAGAAACUCAUCUCAUUGUCUUCUUCUCGUUCUCUUAUUUUUUGGUGAAACUCCAUUAUCACCAAAGCUUCACCACCACAACAUCUCAAUCUCCUCUGUCCCUCAUUGUUCCAUCUCUCUAACUACCACCCUCACUGAAAAAACACCACAAAAUAGCCACCACACCACUACACUACCUUUUUUCUCCUCUUUACUCUUUCUAGUAAGAUCAAAGCUUCUAAACCAACCAGCUAUAACGACCCUCCAGUUCCUUUUCUAUAUUUUUGCUUAUUUUUACGAUUCAAAGUUUUUAUAGCUGUCCUAAGUAAUUUAUGACUUACUAAAGUUGAUAAUUUAGUUACCAGACAGUUUGUUUAUUUUUUAGAGCCAAUUUCCUAUUUUGAAGUCUUCGCAGGUUAGAAUGUACUACCGGGCAAAAACUUCAUUCAAACAACCUUUUUUGCUAAUUUCGACAGUUCCAACAUCUUUAAAAUAUCGAUUCUAGGCUAGGUGGACCUUUGGUUUGGGUUUCAAGGCUUCCAAACUCAUUCUGGGCUAUUGGCUGGAACUUAAGAAAAAUGACACUUAGUUGUGGGACCCACUUUUCAUCAAAAUGAUCUCAAAUGGAAAUUUUAACUGUGCCAUUGAGUCUAGAACAUCGAAUUUGAUAGGAUAGCAUAGUUAAUUUGCAUAAAUAGGAUUUUGGAUGAAUCCUGAGGGGUUGGUAAAGACUUGAAAAAAUUCUAAGUCUUCAGUUGGUGCAUUCGCUUAAGGGGCGUUGGGUUGCUUAAGCGGCUAGCCAAUCACUUAAGCGACCUGGCUUACCUAUCUAUUGUCGGUUAAGUGAUGCAUUUGUCUCUUAUGCGGCAAAAGGUAGCAUAGCAAUAUAUGUAGAUAUUGCCAGUGUCGUGAAAGCGGCACUUGGCUGCUUAAGUGGCUCCGUGUCCACUUAAACGAUACUUGCUCCUAUUAAAUGCCCCAAUUAGCUCAUUUUCUCUCUUUUUUCACGUAUUUUCAAGAGUGUGAAACCAUAAAACAUAUGGAAACUUAGGAGAGACAUUAGUAGGUGAUUUUAGAGAGUUCGUACGCUUGGAUUACUCAUUUCUUCUCUGAACUUUUGGUAAGUUUUCAUCAAUUUCAUGGUUAAUUUCUCAUAAUUUCCUCAAAAACUCUAAAAUAUUGUUGGGUUGAUUGUAGCACAAUUUGAACUCAAAAUUUACUCAUUCUUGAGGUUAAGUAUUCCUUAAGCAUAGAGGGAUGCAUUAUCGGUUUUGAUGGUGCGAUUCGGCAAGCGGGCCCCAUAUAAGAUUUUUAUGUAAUUUUGGACUUGAAGUUAAGAAGUACAAUAUGGAUAUCAUUGCUCAGGUGUUGAUAACAAAUUAUGAUUUUCAUUGCAUGGCAUCUUGCGGAAGCUUCUCAAAAAGGGAAAUCAAUAGUUUAGCAGAUUUCUUUGGGCUCUUCUCAGCAUCUAGGUAGGCUAGGUUUACCUUCUUUAUAAAUUGAGCUAGUUCGUAGUAUAUUUAUGAUAUUAUGCCAAAUAUGGAAUUAGAAUUAUGAUAUGGGACAGCCUAAGGAACUCACGAAAUGGGGUCAAAAAUAGUCCAAACAUACUCCAAAACAGUCCACUAAUCUUAAGGAAUCGAGCACCAAGAUAGAGACCACUCUCGAAUUCGCUACUACAAUACAAUAAUGAGAUAAAGAGCUGUGUUUUCAACACCAAAUUAGCACCAACACAAAAACAACAAGGUGAACACAAUGACUACAAGAUUCAGAUUCAACAACAAGAAGAACACAAGAUUACAACACAAACUCUAAACAAGAUUACAGUGAAAGUAAAAGGAUAGAUAGAUAGACCACAUGAAGGAAUAAUCUUAAGAAUCCAAGAAUGGACAAUCUUGGACCGUUAAGGCUACCCACAACAAUAAACCUAUCUCUUAUAAAGAUACAAGUUCGGAUUCCACCUCCCAAGCAUUAAUGUUUCCAAGCAAAUACAACAUACAAGUGAUUCCACCCUUGUAUAGUACCCUAGUUUCGGUUUGGUCACUUUUCCAUCUAGAGAGAGCUUGUUAAAAGUGUUCUACACUCAUAAAUAUCAUGAAAAUCAGCUGAAUAAAACCCUAACAUGUUCCUUAAAUAGCUAUUACAAAAUGGAAGUUAAAUGACCAAAACCCUUCAGUGAAUGUGCUCUCAUCAAGUUUAAGUCAUAGGCUGAUUUUGGUGUUUUUAAGUCAUUCUUUAUACUUCAUUUCCCACACCAAGUCUUGGGCCCAACUUACACAUUCGUAAGUCCAUAUUCGUAAUUAUUCUCAUAUCAAAUUAGGUCUUGGAGGUAUAAUUGGUAUGAUUAGUAUUAGUUAGAUUGUCUAGACUAUUUUGGCAUCAUAAAUUAGGUGUAAUCAACUUAGUUACGCAUGUUUAAGAUAGAAUUGCUAUUUUAGGGCUAAUUGUGGCUCAUUUGACAUCUAGAAGUAAAUUUAGAUAUGAUACGAGAAUAAUUAUGGGUAUGUACUUGUGAGUGUGUAAGUUGGGACCAAGACUUGGUGUGGUAAAUGAAGUAUAAAAAAGGACUUAAAACACCAAAAUCAGCCCAUGACUUAAACUUGAUGAGAGCCCAUUCAUUGAAGGGCCUUUUGGUCAUUUAACUUCCAUUUUGUAAUAGCUUUUUAAGGAACAUGUUAGGGUUCCAUUCAGCAUAUUUUGAUGAUAUUUGUGAGUGUAGAACACUUUUAACAAGCUCUCUCUAGAUGGAGGAGUGACCAAACCGAAACUAAGGCACUAUACAAGGGUGGAAUCAUUUGUAUGUUGUAUUUGCUUGUAAACAUUGAUUCUUGGGAGGUGGAAUCCAAACUUGUAUCUUUGUAAGAGAUAGGUUUAUUGUUGUCGGUAGCCUUAAGGUCCAAGAUUGUCCAUUCUUGGGUUCUUAAGAUUAUUCCUUCAUGUGGUCUAUCUAUCUAUCCUUUUACUUUCAUUGUAAUCUUGUUUAGAGUUUGUAUUGUAAUCUUGUGUUCUUCUUCUUGUUGUUGAAUCUGAAUCUUGUAGUCAUUGUGUUCACCUUGUUCUUUUUGUGUUGUUUCUAAUUUGGUAUUGAGAACACAACUCUUUAUCUUAUUAUUGUGUUGUAGUAGUGAAUCCGAAAGUGGUCUCCAUCUUGGUCCUCGAAUCCUUAAGAUUAGUGGACUGUUUUAGAGUGUGUUUGGACUAUUUUUUACCCCAUUUCGUGAGUUCUUUGGGCUGUCCCGUAUCAUUUGGUAUCAGAGACGAGUUUGAUUUUGUUCCUACGAAGUCAAUCUUGGGUUUGUUACUUAGAAAAUCAAAAAAAAAAAACCAAAAACUGAAAACUUGAAAAAAUUCCAGAAAAGUUGAAAUCUGUCCAUUUUUGUUUCUUGGCCAAAAAUUGUGUUCUUGUUGUCUUGGCCGAGAUUUAUUAGUUGUGUGUCUAUAUAUAGUAGUGUUCUUGUUUGUUUUUUUAUUUCUAGUGUUAGUCUUCUUGUUCAUUAACACUUUUGAGUCUAGAUCUAAACUUGAGCUUAAACUUGUUGAAAGUUGUUGUUAUGAACAAGUUAAUGGCCAUGUAUUGAUGUUGUUGUUCUUGGCCGUGUGGUGACCUUUCUUGUGGACUUGUGCAGGACGUUAUUGGUGUUGUUAUUGUUCUUGAAAAGUUGUUGUAUUCUUGCUGUUCAUCAUAAUCUUCACCCCUUGUUAAGACUAAAACACCACACUAAAGUACUUGGCCGUUUGUUGGAAGUUUGUAGUUGACCUUGUUGUUGUUCUUGGGAGAUUGUUGUUGAUUUUCUUGGUGAUUGUUGAAGUGUUCUUGAUGUUCUUCCAAAACUUCAUACCUUGUUAAAAUAAAGUAAAAAUUAGAUCCCAAAAGGUGAAGGAAAAGUGUGACAACUUUGUUAGUCUUAAAAGACUUGCCAUCACUCACCAAUUAGUCAAUCACAUUUCAACCACUUUCCCAUAAAAAAAGGAUUCAUGUUUUAAGGAGGAGUACAAGUCUAGUCCAAGACUUUUGAGUCUUGAAAUUUGAAUUGAAAAAGAAUCUCCAAAGACUAGUUUGUGUUUCCCUUCAUUGAACAAGUUACAUCAAAUUCAAAAUUGUAAAAAUUGAUCAAGAAUUCCCAAUUUGGAAAAUAAAAUUGUUGAGAACCGAGGCCAAUCACGGACUGCCACAUCAUAAAUUACUGUUCACCAACAAAUUUUAAGCUUAUUUUUUGAUCUUUUAGUUUCAUUUUGUGUCUUUAGUUUCGUUUGUUGAUUCCUAAUCUAAUUUACAAGCUAGUACUAGAUUGUGAGUUAGUUUUGAAACCAUUCUUCGUGUUAACUUUCCUUUGUGUGUUUUAAUUCUUCGAGUCAUUGUAACACAUCUUUGUGUUUUCCUUACUCCUUGAAGUCCUUGUCAAUGUUAGAUUCACCUCUGAACACCACUCGGAGUACAAGCAAGCUUGCAACACUUGUGAGAUUGAGUGUGAGGAUCCGAGAGUCAAGAAAUAAAAAGAGAGAGUGGGGAUGUUUUUGUACAGCUAAUGUGUUUUCUAUUUUUGUAGGUAACUCCUUUGCCAUAAUGGACACCAUUUUGGCCCUCGUUGAUGCUAUGUCCAGAGACCUUGCUAAGGGGGUCUUGAAAACAUUUACUUGGAUGAGGUAACUAUGGGUGAGAGGUUGGAUCAAAUGGACAGACGAAGGAACUCUCGUGCUUUUACUCUCGAAACUUUACCUACAAAAUUCAAUCCUCCAAGUUCACCACAAAAUGCCAUAAGCCUAGCUACAAAUUACCCAUAAAACCAAGAACAAGGUAGACCCCUUCCCCCGCUAGUUGAUUUAGUCCAACAAGAAGGACUUGUAAGCCAAUUUCCUCCCAUCCAAGCUCCAUAACCAAAGAUCCACAUUACCAAAACAGUCCACUUUACCAAAUCAAUCCUUUCAAUCGAAAUUCAACUUUACCAAAGCCUACACAUCCAAGAAGAGGAACAUGGUACAGAGGGACAUGAAGGAUAUAAAGCCUACGACAAUGCUUAUAUGAUGGAGGGAAACUUGAGUCAGAUAAGAUUGAAGCCGAAACUCAAGAUGGAGAGGAAGCCGAGGUUCAAAAUGAAGAUGUUAGCCGCGAAUUUUGUUUGUGUUGCUCUCGGGUCCAUCUUGUUGGUGGACUAUUUUUGGAGUCAUUUUUGAUAUGUCCCUUAUUGUUAUUGAGCUAAGGGCUCUUUUUGUUUUUGUGGACUAUUUUUUAGUGGACUCUUUGAAGUGACCAAUUGAACGAGGUAAAUCCAUGAAUUUGUGGGGAAAUUCCUCUCAUGACGGAGAGGAUGAUAUGAGAAUAAUUACGGAUAUGGACUAGUGAGUGUGUAAGUUGGGCCCAAGACUUGGUGUGGCAAACGAAGUAUAAAAAAGGACUUAAAAACACCAAAAUCAGUCCAUGACUUAAACUUGAUGAGAGCCCAUUCAUUGAAGGGCCUUUUGGUCAUUUAACUUCAAUUUUGUAAUAGCUAUUUAAGGAACAUGUUAGGGUUCUAUUCAGCAGAUUUUGAUGAUAGUUUUAAGUGUAGAACACUUUUAACAAGCUCUCUCUAGAUGGAGGAGUGACCAAACCGAACCUAGAGCACUAUACAAGGGUGGAAUCACUUGUAUGUUGUAUUUGCUUGGAAACAUUGAUGCUUGGGAGGUGGAAUCCAAACUUGUAUCUUUGUAAGAGAUAGGUUUAUUUUUGUGGGUAGCCUUAAGGGUCCAAUAUUAUCCAUUCUUGGGUUCUUAAGAUUAUUCCUUCAUGUGGUCUAUCUAUCUAUCCUUUUACUUUCAUUGUAAUCUUGUUUAGAGUUUGUGUUGUAAUCUUGUCUUCUUCUUCAUGUUGUUGAAUUUGAAUCUUGUAGUCAUUGUGUUCACCUUGUUCUUUUUGUGUUGCUACUAAUUUGGUGUUGAAAACACAGCUCUUUAUCUCAUUAUUGUGUUGUAGUAGCGAAUCCGAGAGUGGUCUCCAUUUUGGUCCUCGAAUACUUAAGAUUAGUGGACUGUUUUGGAGUGUGUUUGGACUGUUUUUGACCCGAUUUCGUGAGUUCCUUGGGCUGUCCCGUAUCAAGAUACACACUACAACAUAUUGCAUAUAUAUCUACAAAAUAUGUCGUGGCUAAAUAUCAAAAGUUUCUUGGCUAGAUACUUUAGCCACAAACUUUUUCUUCGUAGCAUUCAUAGUAAGAAGUGGCGUAACUAAAAGUUAGCUACAGAAUUUACAUGGUUUGUGGCUAAGGAAAAAUACUUACAACUACAAAAAAUAUUGUGUUGUUGCUGUAAUGGUACAAAAAUCUUGCUACAAAAUAUAUACUUAUAGUGUUAUAAAUGUAUUACCAUAUAUAGUGAAUGUCUAUUUAUGAAAAAGUUAGAAACUCCAACUUUUGGGAAAAAGUUAGUUUUGCCCUAUAAAUAAAGGUGUUUUCCUUCAUUGUAAUAAACCCCAUAAGAAUUCUUCAAAGAGAAAUAAAGAUGCCUCCUCUCUUUUCUCUAUUCUUUUUUUUUAUUACUUAAUAUUUCAUAACACGUUAUCAACAUGAGAAUCUAACCAAUUGAGACAAAAUAUUGUUGGUAGCAUUAAGUGUUAAUAAUGUCUAGCUUUAUGCUCAAGGUAAGUAACCAUUACAUAACUUCUAAUGAUCUUAUUAUGAAUACUAUUUUUAAUAUAUAAAUGAAUGAGACAAGUUAAAGCUUCCUUUGCGUGGCUUCUACCAAAUUCAGGUAUGAAUUUAUAUUCAAUUUAUAAAUUUUGUAGCUAUUAAAUUUAUAUAUGAUUGUAUUCAUAAAAAAUGGUAAGACAGUGGAUUCAAAUCUCAUCGCACUAAAAGGAUAAGACAUCGGUUUAGAGUCCCGAUGAAUCAUGAUGAAGAUGUUGGGUUUAAGUCUGAUAACACUCAACUUACAAUGUCAUUUCAAUGCAAGGGGAUCAUUGUUAAAAUAACCAACAUGAGUCGAGGUCGAAUCCCGAGGAGCGUAACUAGUUUUCUAUUCCUAGGUGUGUUGAGAAUUAACUAGGAGUUAACCCGUAAUGGAAACUUAAAACAUAACAUUAAAUUAAAUGGGGGCUUUGGAAUCAAAACUCUGUUGAAAAAAAUCAAUCAAUAACACUAAACGAGAGUAAACAAUUGUUGAAUAAAACCAAUUGAGAGAAGUCUUGGGGCCAUGCUACCCUAGGCGUAAUUACUGUAUGCAUAUUCAAGAAUUAGUUCUAAUUUUUGUUAAUGAGCCUUGGGUUGACUAGGUUUAGGGUCUUAGUGUUAGUCUUUCAACAAAACACUAAAUUUCACUCAUGGAUUUUUUUGAAUACCUUAUAAGCAUGGCAAAUUCAUCAAUCCAAUACCUCAACUUAGCAUCCCUAUUUCUAGGAUGAUGCUAUGAACAUAGCAAAUCCACAUAACAUUCUUAUUUCUAAGACAAUGCUAAGGAAGAAGCUAAAAUCAAUUUUUUGUUCACAAUUAGUCAACAUCCAUACCCCUCUUUCAAGGAUGACGUGGGAUCCGAGGCAAUUGAGGUUUUCACCUAUAAUUCUAUAUUCAAACAUAGAGUAGUAAAACCCAACACCAUUAACUAUCAAUUCAAGCUAAUAAUCAAUACCCAUACACAUUAACACCCUAUUCAAACAUAACCCCAAGAUAGAAAUUUAGCUACUCAUGGAUUUAAAGAGAAGAGAAUUACCCAAAUUUGCAUUCAAAUCUUCCAUUGAAAACUAAAAUGAAGGAAAACCAAACUUCAAAUUUAAUCUUCAACUAAAUCCUCAAUUAGAAUUGAGCAUACAAUUCACUCUCUACACUCUCUAAACUAAAAAUUAGCAUAAAAUAUUCUCCACUUCUCAAAGGUUUUUGGCUAUUUUGGGAUUUGGGAACCAACUGGUGAAUUUUCAUUUCUUCCCUUGAAGAUAUCCCACUCUAUCGCGAUCGCCCUAUCUUGACCGCGUUCGCAACUCGUACAAUUAUGGUAGACUCAUUGCAAUCACUGAGGUCUGAUUUGGUGUUGGAUUACAAUCACAACCCUCAAGCUGCAUUCACGGUACCUGAGGAUCGAUCCCUAGUCCUGAUUUUCAGCUUGUGCAAGUACUUUGGUCUUUUUCUUCCCCUUUCAGCUUUGCUUCAACUCCUUUUCAUUUGAUUACCUGCAAACAUGCAAAACAUGGGAAAUAAUGCAUUUCAGUAAAGAAUUAGCGUUAUAUAGACACUCAUUUCAUUAUAGUGUGCUCAAAUUUGGAUGUAAAUGAGUGGCAAAUUUGCCACACAUCAACACCCCAACUUAAAACUUUGCUUAUCCUCAAGCAUAACCAUUCCACACUCAAUAAUACUACUUAAUUAUCAGCCCAUUAAUACAACUAAAUGAUCAAAAUAAUUCUGAACUCAAUUAACACCACCAGUUAGCCCUCCAGCAUAAGAAAAACUAUUCGUGCAACUCCCUUGAAAAUCAACCACACUUUCAAGGAUGCAAAAGACUUUUAAGAACAAUAAACCAACAACCACUAACUCUCUAUAAGUGCCUCCCUAUCAAUAGUGACUUAACUAUACUUUUUUGCCUUAUUUUUGGAAGAUGACAACUUCACCCACCUCAAUUUGUCUAUAGCCUCCUCACAAAAGGAAGUCCCAACACAUCAUAGUAUCUAUCAUGCAACAAGGGACCAAAGUUCAAGCACUUACUCUCACAAAGACUCUCUUAAUGCAAAUAAGUAUCAUGCCAUAUGCUUUCCCUAAUUUGCAAUCAUCACUAACUUGAAGACACUUGGUUGGAGAUCUAGAAUGACUUUUUCAAGCUUGUAAUGUAGGCUUAGGAAAGGGUAGGUUAAACAUUUGGGAUCAAAGUGACAACACCCUACUUAAACUCUACAUAAUGCACUAUUUGAUUAAACUUUGGGUCAUGGGCCACUUCAUUUAUUUCCAACUCAUAUAUGUGCCUACUUUCAAUACUUUGAUUUACCCAUCUCUUGGAAGCAUUUUCUUUCCAUCUCUUUCCUUUGUGCAAUUCAUCUUUUUAUUUUCUUUUUUUAUUCAUUUCCUUUUCUUAUUCAUUUGUUCUCAUCGUUUGGUUUUUAGGCACUCACUCAUAGUGGCCAAAGGUUGCCUCUUCCAAGAUUCAUCACCCCUAACUUAGGUUUUUAGCCUCAAGUUACACUUUUAAGUUCAAGGAGGGUAGGGUUUAAAAGAGAGAUAAAGUUCAAAUAGCUCAUGUCUUGUAAUGCAGUUGUAAAAGAAAGGUUUAAAGUCUCAAAAUGGGUGACAAGGGAUAUUAUUUAUUUACAGGUAGUCUUCUUUAGGAUAAAAUGGCUUCCCAUGUUCACAAAGAAGGCGUUAGAUAAUUUCACCAACCAUGCUGUAACACCCCAACUUAGGAAGGAGUCCCAUAUCGACAAAAACAUAGGAGGGAUGCUGGGUAUAUAAGUGAGAAAGCCUUACUCCGUAGUGAUGCAUUUUAAAGUCGUGUGGGCCUAGCCCAGAGCGGACAAUAUCACUAGUAGGUUGGGCAACGACAGGGGUAUCUUGGGCCUGUGUGGUUCGGGAUACCCUUCACGGCCAGGGCCUUAGGUUGGGUCGUUAUAGAAUGGUAUCAUAGAUGCUCCUGUGUCAUCCUUGUCGAUGUGGGCCAGAGUUUAAAACUGAGUAUAGCCGAAUCCCGGUAAGGCGGGGCAAACCUCAGUCCUGAGUGUAGGCAAAUCCCAUUCGGUAGGGCAAAUCUCAGCGAAGAAGCUGAGUCCGUAAGGGGAGGUGUAUGUAACACCCCAACUUAGGAAGGAGUCCCACAUCGGCAAAAACACAAGAGGGAUGCUGGGUAUAUAAGUGAGAAAGCCUUACUCUCUAGUGAUAUAUUUUAAAGAUGUGUGGGCUUGGGCCCAGAGUGGACAAUAUCACUAGUGGGUUAGGCAGUGGCAGGGGUAUCUCAAGCCUGUGUGGUUUGGGAUGCCCGUCGCGGCCAGGGCCUCGGGUUGGGUCAUGACAUAUGCAUACUCGAAAUAAGCUUUAAGAGAUUAAUGAGGCAACUUCUAGAUGAUAUAAGUAAGAAUAAGAAUUAAACAAGUAAGCUCACUGCACAUGGCAGACAAACUUUUCAAGGAGGCUUAAUUGCAUUUCCUACUAGAGGAAAAAAAGCUCUUUACCAUACACUACCUACUAAAGAAUUUAGGUUCACAAGAAGAGGGUAAAGCAUUAUUAAAAAAUCAUUCACGUCCUAAUCCUUGAUUUUUACAAAAAUAUUUAGACGGAGGAGGGGGGUUCUUGCUUUACAUUUCACCACACAAGAUUGGCUAUCGUUAGCACCAAAUCAAGCAGUCAUCUCAUAUUUUGGCUCUCACAAGGGAAAAUAAUAUGGCUAUUUAGACUUCACCAUAGAAUAAGGGUAAUCCCAAAUCUAUAAUUCCAUGGGUACUCAGACUUCCCCUGCAUCUAUAGCUCAAGAACCCAAUACACGAUGAUUUUUCCUUAAGAAUGUCGUCACUCAAUCUAUCAUAGGGAAAGGCUUGUCCUACAUAAUUAUCAAGAGAAAUAAAAAUCUAAAAAUGAAAGUAAAUAACUAAUCAACCAAAUGUAGGCACCAUCAAGGUGCCAAAUAUUACAACCCAAAUUAAAAUAAAAUAAUCCAAAUAAAUAUAAAAAUAUCUAAAUAGAUAUCCAAAUCAUACAGACCGGAGAAUCAAAAUGUCAAAUGAAUAUGAAGAUAGGAACUCCCAACUAAAAGCUUGCAAUGUCUUCAUUGCAUAAUCAUAAAAGCAUAAGAAAGAGUAAAAAGGUCUUCCUAUAACCGAAUCAAGAACUGUUGUCACUCUCGAUCUCAACAUUAUCCUCAGCAACAUCAGAAUUUGACCACAUAGCUGGGACCUUAUCUCAGAAUUUUCCUUGGGGAAAGGAAGUCUCUCUUUAAGCUUUAGUACCUUUCACAGGCUCUUAACCCUUUUCCACAUAUAUGUAUAAAAUAUAUCCCUCUUCUUCUCCCUUUUUCUCAUCUUAUCAUGAGAAUCCCGUAGCUUUUUAUUGACUACACUAAGGAUAGUAGGCUCUCUCAAGUCUAGAGAUUGUGGUCCCCUACUCCUUUUGAUUUGCCAAAGAACUCUCAUAGCUAGUCUAUGCAACAUAAGAGUGGCAAGUGGUAGAAGGCUCUCUUGGAAUAGCAGACAACCUAGACACAAGCUCCCUAAUUGCUUUCAUCUCACUCGAGAUCUUCUCAAAUAGCCCCAUUGUGGAUGGUUUGCAAGAGUCUAUGUCAUCAUUUGUUAACUUGCCUAAGUCGAUUUUCCUCUUUUUGCUCUUAGAUAGUACACCCUCACCCCGAACCUUAAGAGGGUAAAUAGGGUUUUUCAAGCGUACCUAAGUGUCCUUGAGGUACUCCUCAACCCUGGCUCUCUUGCACAGUUCUGUGAUUAAGGAAGGAAACAUGAGUAGAGAGCCACCUUUGUUCUUGAAAUGCCUUAUGUCUGAAAGCACAAUACACCCAACAUUUAAAAGGAAUGUUGUCCAAGCUACACACAACCAUCCGAGCUCGCAUAUAUGGGACAUAGGUCAUGUUAGUGAAUGAGGAAACCUAGAUACAAAUGAUAGCCAACCAGAUUCAAUCCUCAGUCAUGAAUCAUCCAAUAAUAUUCCUAUUUUUAUGGUGGCCCACGAGAUCUAUCUUCCUAGACAUAACUUCUCAACUAAAUAGCUCCAUGGUUUACAACCCUUUGACUCAAAUUAUGUCAUGUCAGUAUUUGACAACCCAUGCAUGUCAUUGAUUUGCUUGGCCCCAAAACAAAAUUAUUUCUCCCAAAUUCUCAUAACUGGUUUGGAGAGAGAUACUAUGACGAGGUUUGCAUAGAAUUCCUUAACCUAAUAUUCAUUUUCUUGACAUGGAUCCGAGGUAAAACAUCUCCACUUUAUGGGCCACUAAUCUCUCAUGAAAGGUUAGGAGCUUCUCUGACACCUUGUCCAAACAUAUGCCUCGCUCUUAGAGUAACUUUGUUUUGGCUAGGUCUCCAUAAUAUAGACUUUGUCACUCAGGGUUCAUGAAGCAAGUUUGAUCAUAGUCUACCAUUGUUCUCCUUGAUGACCUGAAAGCAACACAAAACAUUAGUAAACAAUAUCAUCAUGUGAAAACUUUGUUAUGUGACUUAGUUAAGCUAAAGAAAUGGUUCCUUGGUCUUAUUUGGGCUAAAAAUAAAAAUUUUGGAUUUUGGUAUUAGCUGAUAUACAACUCUCAGAUAUCUCAAUUAUGGGCCAUUAGACUACAAUCGAGCCUAUAAUUGCGGGUCACUAUACAACGAUCACACUUCCGUUAUUGCGGUACCUGAGAGUGUUUUCCUACACUGAUCAUAAGAAAAAAUACCUAUUUUUUUUUAAAUAAAUAUGUGUUCAUCACAAGUGAAUGACAUUAAGAACAAUGAAAACAAGCCCUACACGCUUAACCAUGCCCUUUGAAUAUGGAAAAAUUAUCAAGUAAUUUAUUUGGGCAUUUCACCGAACACUUGGUGUGCACCUAUAAUUCAUCACCAUUUCAAACAAUUUUGGGUACUAAAGACUUCCCCAAUGAGGUGCAUACCACUACAACAGUCACCAUAUCAAACAAAAGCAAUUCAAUCAAGCAAGAAACACACAAUUCAAAGAUUUAGACCAUUGUCUUACUCAUGCAUUCUAAGGCCUAUAAAUACACACAUAAGAAGAGAAUUAAACCACAUAAUAGAUAGGGGAUGUAGAGGGGAUGCUAUGCACUUUUGGAUGCUCUUAACACAAGUAAAAAUAGGUGCAAUUAGGAGUGAUUCGAGAGAAAAUAUGGUAGGAGUUAUGGGUGACUGUUCAUAUUUUAAAACCAUCUCGACUGUGUGGUCAAAAAAUUACAAUUGCAUUGACACGACAAUUGCAAUUGCGAUGGCAUGGUGAUCGCGAUUGUGGCAAUUGAGGCUUAAUUCAUGAUACGGGUACAACCACGAGGAUGCAUGUUUGUGAGAUGUAUUGAACCCGAGACUUGGAGUGUGAAGUGUAAAUGAGGACUUAAAAAGGGUCCAAAAUCGUCCAUAUAAUGCUCUCCAAGGGCACCCACUUGAAGAAUUGAGACUAAGGAGUCAUUUUGGACAUUUCACACCUUGUUUGUAAACUACUGUUAGGGAGUUUUUUGAUGAUGAUGAAUGUUUUAUAACAUUGAAAGACAAAGUCCUCUUUCCUUGAGGCAAAUCUGAAACUUGGAACUAGGUAACAACAAGAGGGUGGAAUCACUUUGUUAUUUGUUUGCUUGGAAACUUAGGUGUUGAGGUUCAUGAGUCCCUCUUGGUCCAACUAAGAACUUGAUGUUGCUAUUCACUUGUCUUAGGGUCGUUUCUCAUUGUUAGGGUUCUUAGAUUUUUGAAUAUUGUAUGUCAAGUUACUAUCCUUUACUUUCUUGCAAAUCAUGUAUGUGUUGUGUAGUGGACUGUUUUGGGCCCUCCAUUGAAUCCAAAACUUGUAUUAUUAUUAUUCAUCUUGUUCAUCACAUUUUGUAGCUGUUUUGGUGUUAAAAUACACUCUUGAAUCUUGUAUUCUUGUUGUAUUUGUUGAAUUCAAGAGUUGGUCUUCAAAAGGAUCCUUGGAUCUUUGAUCUUGUGGAUUGAUUUUGAAGUGUGUUUCGUGUUGUCCUUGUCUUUCCUGCAUCAUUUGGUAUCAGAGCCAUCUUUGAUUUUUUUCUAACAAGAUCAAUCUUGGGCUUGAGACUUGAAAAAAAAAGAAAAUUUCCAAAAAAUAGCAAUCUGUCCACUUUGUGUUCAUGGCCGAAAAUUGUGUUCUUGUUGUGUCUUGGCCGAGAUUUUUACUUGUCUUAAGUGUUACUAGUGUUAGUAUUGUUCUUCACUAACACUUUGAGUCUAUAUCUUAAUUUGAGCCUUUGUUAUUGAUAUUGUUAUUGUGAACUUGGACUUGACAAAUUUUUGUUGGUAUUGUUGUUGCGGAUUUAAAGUUUGGACUAUUUUGGACGUGUGGUGUGUUGUUGGUUCAAGGUUUGAAAGUGUAUUGUGGAGAUUGCGUCAUGGAUUUUAAGCUUGGAAAAGUGUUUUUGAUGUUUGGGAUCCAACUUGAACCUUAGAACUUCAAGACUCAAAGUUUGUGUUCUUGGUAUUCUUCACCAUCUCUAUAUGUUGUUGAAGAAAAGGUGGUUGUUGAUCUUAUAAGUUGAAGAAAGAGAGUGUGAAUUGAUGUUAGUCUUGGAAGGAAUAAAUCCAAGAUUUAAGGUGUAAGACUUGUGGCUCAAAGACUUUUCCUACAACCACAAAAGACUUUAUCAACCAUUUCCCAACACUCCCUAGACUAGACUUCUACUUUUUAGCUUUUUCUUAUUUCAAGAACCUUGUGUUUUGGGACAAACUACUUUUUCUUGUUUCAAGAACCUUGUCUUGUGGGACUAGUACAAGACAAAAGUCAUCCUUUUAAGAGUGGACUUGUAUAGAUUCAAGACUUGUAUUUUUUCUCCAAAACCAAUUGUCAUCCUUCCCAAAUUACAAUGGAACCAAGACUUGAAAUUGAAAUAUAAAAUUGAGAAACCACAACCACUAUGUGACUGCCACAUCAUCAUUUUUUAUUGUUCAUGUAACAAUUUUGGCUCAAAUUUUAGAUUUCUUAGUUUCAUUUUAUUGUCUCUCAGUUCGUUUGUUGGUUCGAACACUAAUUGACAACCUAGUAAUCUCCUACUAGCUUGUAAGUUAGUUUUGUGUCCGUUUGUUCUUGUUUACGUUUGUUGUGUACUUUUAUCUUUUUGAAUUCAUUGUUAGUUCUUAACUCAAGUCCUAUAAGAUUUUAUUUGAGUUUCAAACAAAAAUCCAUUCCGGGACAAGAGUAGACUCGACCCUCAAUCACUCAUGAAGUACAAGCCGACUUUCAAUACUUGUGAAACCAAGUGUGAGGUAAAACCGAGAGUGAUAGUGUGGUCAGGCAUUUUUUAUUAACAGGUUUGUUUGUUUUCUUUGUUUAUUAUGUCUUUUUGUUAGGUACAAUGGCUGCCCAUAAUUUCAAUUCCACAUGUGAUCAUAUCAAUGACAAUAUUGAAGAUAUGAAACAGCACAUUGAAAUUAUACGCCAAUUGCUACCCAAAAUCUACCCACAAAAUCAAAUUGUCCAAGCACUUUGUGUUGAGAGCUUCCCGGAGGAAGUUGCUGCCCAACUUGUGACUAAAACUUGCCCACCACUUGAGGAUAUGUGUGAUGUGAUUAAUAAAUCUCAAGUGAGUGAAGGAUUUAAAGAUGUUGGCCAAGGAAAAAGGAGUGAACCUAUGAGCCUAUGUUGUUGUAAAGAUGCUAAUGUUUGUUUGGCUCAUAGGGUUAAUCAUGUGCUUGACAUUUCUUUGAAACUUGAUAAUGAUUCCUUAGAGAGAGAAAGUUCCAAAUCUAUCCGCGGGUUAGAUCAUUCACUCUUUAGGCACAAUGUCUUGUUUGAAGAUAGUUUAUUUACUCCUAAUGAACCUAGUGGUGCAAGUGAUGUUGACGACAUGGCUUGUCUUGGAAGUUAUAGCCUAUAUGCUAACCCACUAUGGUGUGACAACAUUCCUCCUCAAGAUGGAAAUCUCUUCUUGGAAGAUGAGAGUACUCUUAAGGAUAGGGAAUGUGUAGUCUUGAAAAUGAAUAGUCAAUCGGGUGAAGAUGACCAUGACUUGCUUGAUUACUUGAGAAACCCAAAAUGUGAUUGUUCCUGUAAAAAUGCUUUUGUGAAUGAUUCCUUUGCUGCCCAUGGUAAUUUAUAUCUAUGUGGGGAUUAUUCUCUUGAAAUAAAAGGUGGUGUAUGCUUAGAAAUUCCAUCUAUUUCUUCUUUAUGUGUUCCCUAUGUUGAGCAUACUAGUGGUGAUGGACUUGAAGCUAGUGAGUACAUACAUAAGGACACCAUAGCUGAAGUUAGCUUGUGUGACACCUUUCUCUACCCUCUUUUAUCCGCAUGAUAUUUUCACUAAUGACACCUUAGGGGAAAGUAAGAGUGGCAGAAACCCAUGUCUAUGGCUACUUCUCCCAUUCGAUCCCGGUACCAUCUUAGGGUAUGGUAGGAGUUAUCUCAUCCCAAGCUUAUUAUUUAUUGAUGUUCUUCAUAGCCACUUCCUUUGUGACAUUUGUACUAAGUUUUUUAAGUUCAACACAAAGGAUCCAUGGAUGUACUUCAAGUUUGUUCCACCUCGGCAUGGCAUAUUGAUAUGUGUAUUUUUAUAACCCUAACCCUCAUGUUAUGAGGAUGUGUGCUUGUUUAUGUUCUCUUGAUUUUGCAAGGCAUGGAUUUGAGGUCGAAUCCUUUUCAAGAAGGGAAGGAUGAUAUGAGUACGACCACGAGGAUGCAUGUUUGUGAGAUGUAUUGAACCCGAGACUUGGAGUGUAAAAGUGAAGUGAAAAUAAGGACUUAAAAAGGGUCCAAAACCGUCCAUAUAAUGCUCUCCAAGGGCACCCACUUGAAGACUUGAGACUAAAGGGUCAUUUUGGAUAUUUCACACUUUGUUUGUAAACUACUAUAUAAGGAACCUUUUAGGUCAUUUGUUAGGGAGUUUUUUGAUGAUGAUGAAUGUUGUAUAACAUUGAAAGACAAAGUCCUCUUUCCUUGAGGCAAAUCUGAAACUUGGAACUAGGUAACAACAAGAGGGUGGAAUCACUUUUGUUAUUUGUUUGCUUGGAAACUUAGGUCUUGAGGUUCAUGAGUCCCUCUUGGUCCAACUAAGUACUUGAUGUUGCUAUUCAUUUGUCUUAGGGUCGUUUCUCAUUGUUAGGGUUCUUAGAUUUGUGAAUAUUGUAUGUCAAGUUACUAUCCUUUACUUUCUUACAAAUCUGUGUUGUGUAGUGGACUGUUUUAGGCCCUUCGUUGAAUCCAAAACUUGUAUUAUUGUUGUUCAUCUUGUUCAUCACAUUUUGUAGCUGUUUUGGUAUUAAAAUACACUCUUGUAUCUUGUAUUCUUGUUGUAUUUGUUGAAUCCGAGAGUUGGUCUUCAAAAGGGUCCUCGGAUCUUUGAUCUUGUCGACUGAUUUUGAAGUGUGUUUCGUGUUGUCCUUGUCUUUUCUGUAUCAAUUCAGCUCUCUUGUUUUCAACUAAUCAGCCUACAACUCAUUUCCACUACACUGACCAUUACUCAAAAUCAUCCAAAUGCACUCUUUGGGCACCUCAUUUGGAUGGAUUAAUGUAAACAAAUAAAAUCUACUCUAAUAGUUAAAAUUUAAAAGAUACGGGCCAAUUUAAUGGAAAUGAUGGUUGCCUCCCAUACAACCCCUAAUUUAACGUCAUAGCACGACGUUAAUCUAUCCUCAAGUUGGAUUCUUGAGCUGUCCAAGAUCCACUUUCUUAUCCACGACAUCAAUCACAAACACCGCUUGUAGUUUUCUUGGUUGCUUUACGAUUUUGUACACAAUAAAAGAGACUUCAUGAUCAUGCACCCAGAAAUUCAUUUAUCCAUACUCCAUAUCCACUAAUGCUCCUCUAGUUGCCAAAAAAUGUCUCCCAAGUAUUAUGGGUAUUUUGUGGUUGAUUUCACAAUCAAGCACAACAAAGUUCACCAGGAGAAUGAAUAUAUCAACCUUCACCAAUACAUCGUAUAACACCUCAACCGGUUUCUUGAUCGAGUGAUCCGCUAUCAAUUAUCUUAUGGUGGUGGGUGUACGAGCACCCAACCCAAACCAUUGAUACAGUGCAUAUGGCAUCAAAUUUAUCCUAGCACCAAGAUCACAUAGUACCUUUUUCAAAUUUGUGAGUCCUAAUGGUGCAAGGGAUUGUAAAACCACCUGGUUCUUCCUUUUUCUAUGCCAUGGCAUUUGAAAUAAUGGCACUAUAAAUGUACGUUAAAUUAAUAGUCUCACCAUCCACAAGCCUUUUAUUUGACAUCAAGUUCUUUAUUGACUUAGCAUACCCCAUAAUUUCUUGAAGAGCCUCCAAAAAUGGAAUAAUGAUUGAGAGGUUUUAAGCUUUGCAAGGAACUUUUGGAACUUGGCAUUGUCAUCUUUAUUUUUCAACCUUUAUAGAAAGGGUAGAGGAAUUUUUACUGGAGGAAGCGGAGUGCUUUGAGGUUCAGUCCCCAUUUUCUUGUCACUAUUAAUCACUUAAGGGGUUUCCUCAUCAUCACCCUUCUCUUCAACUAUUAUUGGCUCCUCAUCAAUCUCUUUAAGAGACUUUGAAGCACCAACACUUAAAAAUUUGAGCUACUUUCUCUUCACAUUUAUUUGAUCAUCAAGUGACUUUUCCUCAACUUCAAUCACAUGCUCACUAAGAUUUCUACCCAUUUUAGUAAUAAUUUUCAUGACAUGACCUUCAUUCUUGGGAUUCACUACCAUGUCACUAGGUAGGCCUCCUUUUUCCCUAGUAUUGAGUUGGGUAAAAAUUUUCCCCACUUGAGUUUCCAUUAAUUGAUGGAAGCCUAAUGUGGAUUAACUAUUUGGUUGAGUUGAGAAUAGUUGCUCUUCAUCUUUCUUACCAUUUUGUUGGUACCUUCAACACGCUUCAAAAUUCGAGCAUGCACAUCUUCAGUUUUGAAAAUUUUUGGGUCUACCAAGCUUGAUUCCUUGUCCUUGACAAGAUUAUGAGGAGGCACAUAUCUAUCAUAAAUUCUCUCCUUGUCCCUCCAAUCUUAAUAUCUAUCAUGCCAAUGAUGAUCUCGGUCUUAAUCAUUCUAACCUUGAUUCUCAGCUUGCCUUUGAUAGGCAGGGUGGGAACCUCCUGAAUAAUUUAACAACAUCCUCAUCUCUUCAUCGAGUGCCUUAUCUUUAUCCACAUCAUAACCUUUGGCACUUUGAGAGGCAAUGACAUUGAUAGCCUUUGUAGGUGCUCCAAUUAUAUGUUAAGUGAGGAGCACCAAUUGGGUCAUCACUUUGGCCAUAUUUUUAUCCCUUUCUUUAUCCUUCUUUCUUUUCUCUUUGUUGACAUAAGAUGAGGUGGGGGACCCUAUGGCUACAUUAGACUCCCGGAUGUUCCAUCCUCGAUUUUUCUUAGUGACUUUCUCAAGUAGACUUGUUGCAACAUCAUAUAACAAUUUCAUAAGAGGACCUCCCGAUGUAUUAUCCACCACCAUCUUAUUUAGUUGGUUUAAUGCCCUAUAAAAGAUUUGGAGGAGCAUUUUCUUUGAUAAUUCAUGGUUAGGGCAUUACAUCAACUUGUCAUUAAAGCAUUACCACGCCUUAUCUAAGGGCGUACCACAAAGUUGAUGAAAAUUUGAAUGGUGAUUGUUCUAUUAAAUAGUGGAUAUCAUAAGGUGGAUAUGGAAAACAAUAUUUACCCCAGAGAUGUGAUUUCAUCUCUUCUUUGUAUCUUUCUAGACAAGGGAAAAUAUCAAUCUAAAAUGGCCUCCAUAAGCUCAACCCAAGAUGUAAUAGACCCAGUGGGUAAAGAUCUCAACUACAAAACUUCCUUUCCCAUCAAUGAGAACAGAAAAAGCCUCAACUGAAUAGACUCUUGAGUGAUCUAGGGACUAUCAAAUGGGGAGCACACCUCAAUGAAGUUUUUCUAAUAGAUGUUUGCAUCUUCGUGUGCUUGACCCCCGAAUAGACCUUUCAUUUGUAACAUGUGGAGCAUCACACUUGUUAGAUAGAACACCUCAUUUCCCUCGGCUAGUGGGAUGCGAAUGGCACUAGAACGCCAUGCAUUAUUAAAAUUAUCCUCAUCCUUGAGGUGUCCAUCAAAUGAGCCAUCAUUUCUUCUAUUGUGGCUCAUGGUGUCGCGGUUAUUGUGAAAAUAACCUAACAAAAGAAUUAAAACAAAAACAAUAUAAAUAAAGAUACUACGGGUAAACCCAAAGUUACUAACAACACCACACAAGUAAAAACUAAGUUUCACUUCCUAGAAAUGAAACUAUUUUUAAUAAUGCUCAGCUUACACCAUCAUUCCGAUGCAAGGCGGUCAUUGUGAAUAUAAACCCAACAAUAUUCAGGGUCGAAUCCAUGAGGAGCAUAACUAGUUUUCUAUUCCUAGGUAUGUUGGAAGUUAACUAGAAGUUAACCUAUAAUGCAAACUUAAAAGAAAACAUUAAAUUAAGUAGGGGUUUUGGAAUUAGAACUAUGUUGAACAAAAUCAAUCUAUAACACUAAACAAAAGUAAACAAUUAUUGAAUAAAACUAAUUGAUAGAAGUCUUAGGGCUAUGCUACCCUAGGGGUAAUUAGUGUAUGGGUAUUCAAGAUUUAGUUCCAAUUUUAGUUAAUGAGCAUUGGGUAGGCUAGGUUUAAGGUCUUAGUGUUAGUCUUUCAACAAAACACUAAAUUUCACUUAUGGAUUCUUUCGAAUACCUCAUGAGCGUGGCAAAUUCAUCAACCCAAUACCUCAACUUAGCAUCCCUAUUUCUAGGAUAAUGCUUAGGAACAUAGCAAAAUCCACAUAACAUCCUUAUUUCUAAGACAAUGCUAAGGAAGAAGCUAAAAUCAAUUUGUUGUUCACAAUUACUCAUCACCCAUACCCCUCUUUAAAAAAUGAUGUGGGACCCAAUGAAAUUGAUGUUUUUACCCAAAAUUCUCUAUUCAAACAUAGAGUAAUAGUGAAACCCAACACCACUAACUAUCAAUUCAAGAUAACAAUCAAUACCCAUACAUAUUAAUACCCUAUUCAAACAUAACCCCAAGAUAGGAAUUUAGCUACUCAUGGAUUUAAACAUAAGAGGAUUACCCAAAUUUUCAUUCAAAUCUUCCAUUGUAAACUAAAAUGGAGGAAAACUAAGCUUCAAUUUCAACCUUCAACUAAAUCCUCAAUUGGAAUUAAAAAUACAAUUUGCUCUCUACACUAUCCAAAUUGAAAAUUGACAUAAAAGAUUCCUCACUUUUCAAAGGGUUUUGGCCAUUUUGGGAUUUUAGGAACCAGUUGGUGAAUUUCCACUUCUGCCCCUUAAAAUAUCCCGCUUCAUCGCGAUCGCUCUAUCUUGAUCGUGUUUGCAACUCUUGUGAUCACAGGACACUCCUCACAAUUGUUGAGGUUUGAUUUGGCAUUGGAUAACAAUCGCGACCCUCGGGCCACAAUCAUGGUACCUGAGGGUCGAUUCUUGGUCCUGAUUUUCAGCUUGUGCAAGGACUUUGGUGUUUUUCUUUCCUUUUAAGCUUCACUUCAACUCCGUUUCAUCUAAUUACCUAUAAACAUGCAAACAUGGGAUUUAAUUUAUUUUAAUAAAGAAUUAGCUUCAUAUACACACUCAUUUCAUUGUAGUGUUCUCAAAUUUGGAUGUAAAUGAGUUGCAAAUUUGCCACUCAGCAAAACCCCAUCAAUUUAUAGCCUAAGUGAUACGAGCCAAAGGGCCAUCAUAGCUUUUGAUGGCAUCAUUCGAGGCCCAUACAUGAAGAUUCAAGCUUUGGUCAUACUGAGGGUACAAGGACAUGCAUGGAGGACUCAUUUUGAAAUUACAAUAGAGCAAAACCAUGUUUGGAAGAUUGCUUGGGACUUGUGUUGAUGCCUACCAAAGGUUUCCAAUAGGUUUCACAUUUUGAAUCUUGAAGAAGAAGGGACCCACGAAGCAUUAGUGGGGCGGCCUUGGAGUGUAAACACUCAUUAAGGGUGUUUUAGUCUUUUUUGUGUCAUUUCUUUAUACUCCAUAGGAGCCCUUUUUCAUUAAGGUUAUUUUGGUAUUUUAUGUUAAAUAAGCUAUAAAUAGACUCUUUAGGUUUAUUUUCUCAUUAGUUGAUUAUUGAUAUUUGAAAGACUUCUUCUUCUCUCUUUGAGAGUGUAGUGUAGGACUUUGAAAAGCCAAGUAGAGUAGGGCUCGGAAAAGUCAUUAUUGAUCUUUGCUUAGAAACGGUGGUUGUAAAGCGGAGUUGAUUCCCUUAGUGGUCAUCGUAAUAAUUUGGUGUUGUAAUUGUGCGUCUUAAGGGUCUUAUCAUUUGAUACACGAUUUGGUUCCUAUUUUUUGCAACCUCUUAUGUCAAGCUAUCUAUCUUACUUUAUUGCAUCUGUUUGUUCUCUUAUUUCUCUUAGUCUUCAUCUUUUUAGGUCAUUCUUCUAUCAUUUGGUAUCAUGAGCAAGGUUUGAUUUUGUUCCAACAAAAUCAAUCUUGGGAUUGUUGUCUUGAAAAUAAAAAAAAAGUGAAAAAGAAGAAAAAAAAGAAAAAAGAACUGUUCACGUUUUUAGGGUUUUUCAAUUUUUGAGACUUGAUUUUUGUUUGUUUUGUGUGUUUCUAGUGUUAGAUCCUUGUUCCCUAACACUAUUAGAGUCUAUAAAUUGAAAUCCCAACAAAAAAGUGUCAAAAUAAAAAAUCCCCCCCCCCAAAAAAAAAUACUAAACCCGUUUUUGAACCUAGGUCAAAUUUUGAGUUUUUGAUUUUUUUUUGUGUGUUUUUAGUGUUAGAUUUGUGUUCUCUAACACUAUAGGAGUCUAGGGUUUGAAUUUGAGCUAAAUUGAAGGUGAUUUGAGCCAUCCACCAUUGUUGAUCUUGAGUUUGAAGAAACUUGAAGGUGAUAUCUCAUUGUGGAAGGUUGUUGUUGAUGUUUUUGGAGAUGAAAAACAUGAUAUUUACGGUUGGAUUGUCAAUUUGAGGUUGGAUCUUCAAGAAAAAUCAAAUUCUGAGUUUAUUUGCUUAAGGGUCAACUUUGGGUCAAACUUUGAAUGUUCUUGGUGUUCAUCAUGCAUGUAUUGUUGAACAAAAACAUUCAAAAAGUGUUGUUUGAUCUAAAAAGGAGGAGAAAGAGAGUGUACUACUUGUUUGUCUCAAAGAAUAUUCCAAUCAUAUCCCAAGUCUUCCAAAGAAAGAAAAGAAUUCAAAAGGCAUUAAAAAAAAUAUUCUCAAAGAAGAGGACAAGGGCAAGUACAAGGGAAAGUACAAGGGGGGACCAUCAUAAAUUCAAACUCUUUUGAGCUAGAAAAAAAGGUCCAUUCUUUGUGUUUUCUUCAUCAAAACUGAUCCUACCUUCCUCCUAAGUUGAAGAUUGACUGAAUACAAGAAAUUUUUUUCAAAACAUCAACCAACCAAAGGCUGCCACAUCAUCACCAAGGGCUGCCACAUCAUCACUUCACCCAAAAAGCUUAAGCUUAAAUUUCAGAUUCUAAGUUUCAUUUCCUUGUUCUUUAGUUUCAUUUCUUGAUUCUAGAACUAAUUAACAACUAGUAAUCACCUACUUAGUAGUGAAUUAGUUGUUUGAGUCCGUUUUCUUCGUGUUUUCGUUCUUUGUGUGCUUUUCUCAUUUUGACUCGUUGAACUUCUUUGUUUCAAGUUCAUAAGUAGAUUUUGUAUUGUGUCUUGAGCCAAUCAAAUAAGAAUAUAUUCUGGCCAUUAAGUAGUGAUUGACACCUUAUUGACUACCGGAGUAUAAGCAACUUUCAAUAUUCGCUGCUCCAAUUGUGAGGAUCACAAAGGUGAGAGUAUAUACGAGUGUUGGUGAGGGGCUUUUACUACUAAUCUUGUUAGUUCAUUUUGUAGGUACAGGUGAUAUAAGGGGAACAUAUCUUGGUAGCCUCAAACUAUUAUGACUACAACAUGGGAGACUAUGAUUGUAGUAAGGGAUUUUAUAGCUACGAUGAUGUUGGAGAUUAUGGGGGCUAUGAAUAUAGCCAUGAUCAAGACAUAGGCAGAAUUGAGAGUUAUGGUUUUGAGGGAUAAAAUAAGGUGAAUAAAGUUCCUAGUGCUUAUGGUGAAUGUGGACAUGAUGUAGGGCCUUAUGAUAAAGUUGGGGUAUGUGAGAAGUCUUACACUUCCCACUCCGAAUCGAAUUUGUGUAAGGUAUAACCCUUUCCUUCGUAAAGCGUAUGAGAGCCUUGGUGAGAGUGCACAUAUGGAGCAUGAAGAUUCAUAUUGUUUACUUGUAGUACAUCUUAUCAAGGUCGAAGUGGUGUGAAUAGGUAUACUAGCUAUAGUGUAGGUUGUCCCAUGAGAAGAAGAGAGAAUACAUCUCCAAGGCCGAGGGGUACUCAUGUGCCCAUGGGUUGUCCAAAACUCUAUAAUGUUGAUCCUAGAAGAAGUGUUCACUCCGAAAUGGUAAGCAUUUAUGGGGUACCGAGCUGCCUCCUCGUGCUAGAUGAUUGGCGCCAUAAGAACUACAUUAUGCCACCCAUGGUUAACUAUUUGGGGUUGUUUCGAGAACCUUUACUUGUUCCAUAUUACUUGGAUGGGUAUAAGGUUAUCGAGAGAGUGAGGAUUGUCUUCACCUAAUUUGAAUACUAUGAGGAGGUAUGGUGCGAUAUCUUUUCCUUGACACUAGGUCAUGUAUGCUUGGGUGCCGAUUGGUUUGCACAACAUAGAGUUCCAAAUAUUCUAAAUUGGCCUAAGGUUGUAGUGGACCGUUGGGAAAAUUAUCUCUUUACCUCAAUUCUUCCCAAACUACAAGAAGAUGUGAUCACUUACUCCGGCCCGAAUAAUUAUGAGAGACAAAAGAUUGAUAGGAGUAAGGGUGUGUAUGGUGGUAAUCCAAGAGUGGAAAAAGGAGAGGUUGUGUGGAGUGAAGUGAGGGGGUUGUCACCAAACUGUGCUAACUAUAUUUGUCCUUCUAUUUCUAAGGACAUUUGUGUAGGUACUAAUAUGGCAAGUGGAGGAGCACAAGGCCAAGGACAAGUUGCUGCCGAAGCAUGUGGGAAACCUUUACACCAUGGCAAAGAAGAAUUUACUCAAGAACUUCAAGGUAAAAUAGCUAACUCUUAAACUUUUGUGCAUGUGAAUGAUAAUUGUGUGGCUAGUAGCCCAUUAAGUGUGAGUAGUAGCUUACCUAUUUGUGAUUCUAUUGAUUCUUUGCCUCUUGUUGAUGAUGUACUUAUUAUGAGUAUGGAUACACUAAUUGAUCCUAUUGAUGACCGAAUUGACUCUUCUUGUAAGAUCAAUUUAAGUCCACCUAAUGUUGAAGCCAUUGUGUUGAAUGAUAAUACAUCAUCUAUUGAUUCUUUGCCCCUUGAUGAUGAUGUACAUGUUGUGAAUGUGGAUACACUAGUUGAUCCUAUUGAUGACCGAAUUGACUCUUCUUAUAAGAUCAAUUUAUGUCCACCUAGUGUUGAAGCCAAUGUGUUGAAUGAUAGUACAUCAUCUUGUGAAAAUUGUGUUGAUCAACUUAUGUGCAAAAUUUGUCCACCACUUGAGGAUGUGUGUGAUGUGUUUAAUGGAUCUCAAGUGAGUGAUGAUAUUGAAAAUGUUGAUCAAAUAAAUAAUAGUGUUCCCUUUAGCAUGACCUCUAGUGAAUGUUCUACUAGCGAUUUUGCUCAUAAGGAUCGUGUGUUGAAACUUCUUUGGAACUUGAUAAUUUUCCUUUAGAGAGUGAACUUGCAUGUUCUGAAUCAUGCCCAAGGGUAGAUCCUCCUCUCUUUAGGUAUAAAAUCUUGUUUAAAGAUGGUCUUAUCACUCCUAAUGAACCUAGUGGUGGGAAUGAUAUUGAAGGUAUAGCUUGUCUUGAAGGUUAUAGCCUGUAUACUAACCCACUAUGGUGUGACAACAUACCUCCUAAAGAUGAAAAUCUCUUCUUGAAAGAUGAAAGUACUCUUAAGGGUAAGGAAUGUGUAGUCUUAGAAAGGAAUGAUCAAUUGGCUAAUGAUAGCUUUGAUCUGCUUGAAUAUUUGAGAAACCCAACAGGUGAUUAUUCCUUGAAAAUUGAUUGUGGUUGUGAUCCUUUGUAUGAUUCCCCACCCAUGUUUGAUGACUAUGAGGAUGAAUUGUCUGUUUCUUGUGAAGACUUAAGUAAUAAUCCUUUUGAUUCUGCUUGUGGUGUGUAUCUACUUGAGGGUUCUUCCAUGAAAAGAGAAAGUGUCCAUUGCUUGGAAAUUACUUCUUCUUCUACUUUGUGUGACCUUAUUGUUGAGAGUACUCAUGGUGAUGAUUUUGAAACUAGUAGUGAGUACAUACAUGAAGACACCUUAGUUGAAGUUGACUUGAGUGACAUGUCUAUAGCCACUCUUUCUAUUUAACCCGGGUGCCAAAUGUAGAUAUUAUGAUGUUGGCACACCCAAAUUGUUGCUUGGUUUGGUCUACAUGACAAGCAAAGUGACAUUCUUGAAAACUCGAGGGCAAAAGUGUCAUUGUCUUCUUGGGGUAAUGUUACUAAAUGUGCAUCCUUUCUUGACACACUUGUGCUUAAGUUGCAUGAUUCCCAACUUGUGGAUGCCAAGUUGAUACUUUACUUGAAAGAAAGAGGUCAUAUGUGCUUUAGUGCCUUAAAUCCAUCCUUGUGUGCUUUAUGUGUUAUAUCUUAUGGGCCAAAUUGCAUUCUUAUAGAUAACAGCGCCUUGGAUGAUGCCUUUACACUUGAUUCCUUCUUAUACUACCUCUUUGCCUAUGAUGACAUCCAUACUAGUUUUGGAUUUGUAUUAUGUAGAGGUAGGGAACUUGUUGGUUGGUCCACUUUUUUGAAUGACAAUACUAUGUGGGUUUGGUGGACAAUAAGACCAAUAGUGGCACCACUUUUGAUGAGGACACUUGAAGAAGUAAUGAAACAAUUAUGUCUAGUGGUUUCUAACAUAAAGGUAGUCUUACCUUUUGGCUUUAGUGAUACCAUUAAGACCUUUGUAGUUUCUUUAUCUCUUGAUACUUGUUAUAGCCAUAUCCUUUGUGAUAUUUUCACUAAGUUUUUCUUGACUAAAAUAAAGGAUUCAUGGUUAUAUUUUAAGUGUGUACCCCCUUGGCAUGAUGAUGUUAUUUGUUGUACUAACCCUAACCCUCAUGCCAUGAGGAUGUUGUGCUUGUUUGUCCUUUCUUUGGUUUUUCAAGGUAUGGAUUCGAGGUUUAAUCCUUUUCAAGAAGGGGAGGAUGAUACGAGCCAAAGGGCCAUCAUAGCUUUUGAUGACAUUAUUGGAGGCCCAUACAUGAAGAUUCAAGCUUUGGUCAUAUUGAGGGUACAAGGACAUGCAUGGAGGACUCAUUUUGAAAUUACAAUAGAGCAAAACCAUGUUUGGAAGAUUGCUUGGGACGUGUGUUGAUGCCUACCAAAGUAUUCCAAGAGGUUUCAUAUUUUGAAGCUUGAAUAAGAAGGGACCCACGAAGCAUUAGUGGGGAGGCCUUAGAGUGUAAACACUCAUUAAGGGUGUUUUAGUUUUUUUUGUGCCAUUUCUUUACACUCCAUAGGAUCCCUUUUUCAUUAAGGGUAUUUUGGUAUUUUAUGUAAUAAGCUAUAAAUAGACUCUUUAGGCUUAUUUUCUCAUUAGUUGAUUAUUGAUAUUUGAAAGACUUCUUCUUCUCUCUUUGAGAGUGUAGUGUAGGGCUUUGAAAAGACAAGUAGAGUAGGGCUUGGAAAAGCCAUUAUUGACCUUUGCUUAGAAAUGGUGGUUGUAAGGCGGAGUUGAUUCCCUUAGUGGUCACUGUAAGAGUUUGGUGUUGUAAUUGCGGGUCUUAAGGGUCUUAUCGUUUGAUACAUGGUUUGGUUCCUAUUUUUCGCAACCUCAUAUGUCAAGCUAUCUAUCUUACUUUAUUGUAUUUGUUUGUUCUCUUAUUUCUCUUAGUCUUCAUCUCUUUAGGUCAUUCUUCUAUCACUAAGAUGCCUUUAUAUGAAUAAUACGUUGAGUUUGAAUCUCAAUGCACCAUAUUGAUGAUAUUAUUAUGGCUAAAGCAAAAUAAUGUGUGUUUUGUAAAAAGUCAUUAAUCCUAUCUUUUUUAAAUGUGCUCCAUUCUAUGAAGUGAAUGUGGUAGCAAUAUAUGAUAAGUCUGAUAGAUGACAAUUUAUUCCAUUGUUGAAGUAAAUGUAGUCUGAUAGAUGACAAUUUGUUCCAUUCUUGAAGUGAAUGUGGUAGCAAUAUAUAAUGUACUCUGAAAGAUAUGUUAAGGGAAUUUUUUUUCUACAUUAGAUGUAUGGCUCGAUUUUUCUCUAGAAGUAGCAAUAUUUUUGAUACGGGAAUGACAACGGAAACACGAAAUCACAUUCCAAGUCUUGGGUUCAAUACAUCUCACAAACAUACAUCCUCGUGGUCAUACCCAUAUCAUCCACCCCUUCUUGAAAAGGAUUCGACCUCGAAUCCAUGCCUUGCAAAAUCAAGAGAAGACAAACAAGAACGCAUCCUCAUGGCAUGAGGGUUAGGGUUAGCAAAAUACAUAUAUCAAUAUGCAAUGCCGAGGUGGAACAAACUUGAAGUACAUCCAUGGAUCCUUUGUGUUGAACAUAAAAAACUUAGUAUAAAUGGCACAAAGGAAGUGGUCACCACCAACAAAAAGAGAUAAGGAAGAAACUUGUCUUCCUUCCUUAGCACCCAUAAUCAAACAUUGCUUGUCAUCUUGACCAAGCAUUAAGUGGAGAGUGUCGAGAUUUUCAUAUUCCAAUAGGGUGCCGGGAUCAAAUGGAAAAAUUAGCCAAGGACCUAAGCCGAGGCUAGCCCUUCCUUCCCCUACAAUGUCACUCCCAUAUUCACACGCAAAAAUAUUUUUAUACACAUGAUCUCUAUGAACGAAACUAAUUGCAAUGCUUUUACCGCACAAGAUGUUCAAACCGUGCAUUAUCAAGAUUAAUUUUACAGACACCAUCACUAACUUGAGAGUUUUUAAGCAUACUAUUCACAUGCCCAAGUAGUGAACUACUUUUAAGAGUAAAUUGAUCAUCAUGAACACCAAGAGUACUACUUUUGAAGGCCAACACGUAAAGGCUCAUGACUUGGUCACCCCAAGAGCACAAGGAUAUGUAAGGAAGGAUCAUUUUGAGCAUGACUUAAAGCAAUCUCGUGUGUAGAAGGUUGCUUGGUUGCUUACAUUGAUGGUAACCCGAGAAUAACAAGACUUGAAGUAUGAACCAUACUCGGUUUUUUAGAGCAUUGAAAAGGCACCAUUCAUUCAAGUUAUAACGUACCUUGGCUGCCCUUUCAUUAAGGGUAUUUUAUACAUUACAUAUGGUGUAUUUACACACCAUGGAAGCCCCUCUCAUUAAGGGCUAAGUGGUCUUUUUAUCUUCAUUUGUAAUAUAUUAUAAAUAGGCCCCUUUAGUCUUAUUUUCACUAGUUUUGGAAAAAGAUGAAAGAUUGAAACAUUAAAAAUCCUCUCUCUUGAGAGUAGAACACUUAGUCUUAGUUUAGGGCUUGGAAAAGAUAAUAUUGUUCUUUGCUUGGAAACGGUGGAUUUUAGUGGUCACCGUGAGAGUGUGGUUUUGAUUAUUACAUUCAUUAGGGGUUAAUGUUGAAAUAUACUUGGUUCUUAAUCUUGUAAUAAUCUUGGUCUCACUAUCUAUCGUUUACUUUCUUGCAAAUCAUGUAUGUGUUGUGUAGCGGACUGUUUUGGGCCCUUCGUUGAAUCCAAAACUUGUAUUAUUGUUGUUCAUCUUGUUCCUCAUGUUUUGUAGCUGUUUUGGUGUUAAAAUACACUUGUAUCUUGUAUUCUUGUUGUAUUUGUUGAAUCUGAGAGUUGGUCUCUAAUAGGUCCUCAAAUCUUGUGAUUUGUGGACUAUUUUGGGGUGUGUUUCAUCCUUCCAUUGUCUUUAUUGUAUCAUUUGGUAUCAAAGCAAGGCUGGUUCUGUUCCUACACUACCAAUCUUUGGUUCUCUUGGACGAAAAUUAAAAAAAAAAAAGGCUAAAAACUGAAAAAAAAAUUCCAGAAAAGUGCAAAUCUGUCCAUUUUGUGUUCUUGGCUGAAAAUUGUGUUGUUUUUAUCUUGGCCAAGAUUUAUUUGUUGUGUGACUAGAUCUAGUAUUGUUCUUGUUUGUUUUGUUGUUUUUAGUGUUAGUUUUCUUGUCCACUAACACUUUGAGUCUAGAUCUAAACUUGAGCUUGGACUUGUUGAAAGUUGUUAUUGUGAACAUAAGCUUGGCCCAUUGUUGUGGUGGACUAUUUUGGAUGCAUGGUUUCUCCUUGAUGUUCUAAACUUGACCACGUGAUAUUGUUGUUACUUGGUGGCUUGAGAACCAUUUUGUUGAAGUUGUAGUUGUCGUGGCCAAGUGUUGGAGAUAUUGUUAUUGUGGAUUGAAGUUGGCCGUUUGAAUUGUUGUUGUUCUUGAAGAUUGUUGUUAUUGUUCUUGGUGUGGUUGUUGUUGUUCUUGAAGUUCUUCACCUUCCUUCAUAUAUUGUUAGAACAUAAAGUGAAUGUUAGAUCCUAAAAGGUAAAGAAAAGAGGUGUAUGUAGUUGUUAGUCUUGAAAGAACCCCAACCACCAAAAGACUUUAUAUCACUUCUCAAUCACUUUUCCAUGAUUUAAGGACCCAUGUUUUAAGGAGAAGUACAAGAAAAAGUCCAGUGAAAAUUGAAAAAGGCCCCAAGACUUAUUUUCCCUCCUAAAACAAAUUCCACCGAACCAAUACGUGGCUUCCAUAUCAUCACCGCUACUGUUCACGCAAUAUUUUCGAGCUCAACUUUUAGAUUCUUAGUUUUAUCUUAUUGUUUCAUUAGUUUCAUGUCUUGAUUCUAGAAUUAAUUAACAACUAGUAAUCACCUAUACUUAGUUGUAGAUUAAUUAUUGAAUCCAUUUCUUCGUGUCUUCGUUAUUUGUGUGUUUUUCUCAUUUUUAACUCGUAGUAACUUCUUUGUUUCAAGUUCGUAAGUAAAUUUUAUUUUGUUUCUUGAGUCGAUCAAGCAAGAAUCCAUUCUGGCCGCCAAGUAGAAUUGACAUCUUAUUGACUACCGGAGUAUAAGCAACUUUCAAUAUUCGCCGCUCCAAAUUGUGAGGAUCAUAAAAGUGAGUGAAUACGAGUGUUGGUGAGGAGUUUUUACUACUAAUCUUGUUUGUUCAUUUUAUAGGUUUAAAAGUUAAUAUAAGAGGAACAUGUGUUCGAUAUCCGGGGAUUAUUGUGACUACAAUAUGGGAGACUACGAUUGUAGUAAGGGUUUUUAUGGCUACGAAGUUGAGGGAGAUUGUGGAGGCUUUGAAAAUAGCCAUGAUCAAAACUUGGGCAGAUUUAAAAGUUACUGUUUUGAGGGAGAAAAUGAGGUGAAUAAAGUACCUAGUGCUUAUGGUGACUUUGGAGAUGAUAUAAGACCUCAUGAUGGAUCAUAUGAUAACGUUGGGGCAUGUGAGAAGUCUUAUAAUUCUCACUCCAAACCUAGAUUUGGUGUUAGGUUUAACCCUUUCGUUCGAAAAACUUAUGAGACAUAUGAUGAGAGUACACGUAAGGAGUGUGAAUAUUCAUAUUCUCCACCUUGUAGUGCUUUUUAUCAAGGUCAAUAUAGUGUGAAUGGUUAUACUAACUAUAGUGGAGGUUGUCCAAUGAGAAGAUGAGGGUACGCAUCUCCAAAACCAAGGGGUACUCGUAUGCCUUACAAUCUUGAUCCAAAAAGGAGUGUACACUCCGGAAAGGUGACCAUUUUUUGUGGGAUACCGGGCUGCCUCAUUGUGUUAAAUGAUAGGUACUAUAGAAACUACAUCAUUCCAUCCAUGGUUGAUUACUUGGGGUUGUUUUGCGAUCAUUUACUUGUUUCAUACUUUUUGGACAGGUUCAAGGUUACCGAGAGGGUAAAAGUUAUCUUCUCCCAAUAUGAAUACCAUGAGGAGGUGUGGUGUGACAUUCCUCCCUUGGCCUACGGUCAUGUAUACUUUGGCGUCGAUUGGUUUGCACAAUAUCAAGUUCCUAACGUGGAAAAUUGGUCUAAUAUUGUAAGAGACCAAUGGGGAAAUCGCCUCAUGACUUACUUGCUGCCCAAGCUGUAAAGAGAAAUGCCUACCUAUUCCAAUCGAAAUAAUUAUGAGAGACAAAAGAUUGAGAGGAGUAAGGGAGUGCAAGGUGGUAAUUCGAGAGUGGAAAAAAAGAGGUUGUGUGGAGAGAAGUGAGGGGAUUACCACCAAACUGUGCUAACAUUGGUUGUCCUUCUAUUUCUAAGGACAUUUGUGUAGGUACCAACAUGGCAAGCGAAGACGAACAAUGCCAAAAAGAAGUUUUUGGCCAAGCUUUUGGAGGACCUUCACACCAUGACAAAGAAGAAUUUACUCAAGGACUUCAAGGUAAAAUGCUUAACUCUUACACUUUUGUACAUGUGAAUGAUACUUGCCUAUAUGCGAGUCUAUUAUUUCUUUGCCACUUGAUAAUGAUGUACAUAUUGUGAGUGUGGAUACACUAGUUGAUCAUAUUGAUGACUGAAUCAACUCUUCUUGUAAGAUCGAUUUAUGUCCACCUAGUGUUGAAACCAUUAUGUUGAAUGAAAGUACAUUAUCUUCUGAAAUUUGUGUUGAUCAACUUAUGUGUGAAAAUUACCCACCACUUGAGGAUGUGUAUGAUGUAAUUAAUGAACCUCAAGUGUGUGAUGAUGUUUAAAAUGUUGAUCAAAGGAAUAGGAGUGAACUCGAGAGCUAUUGUUGGGAUAAUCUUGCACUUGAAAUCUCUUUGCAACUUGAUAUUGAUCUUUUAGAGAGUGAUGAACGUAUUUGUUUCGAAUCUACCCAUGAAAUAGAUCAUGCUCUCUUUAGGUAUAAUGUCUUGUUUGAAGAUGAUAUAACCACUCCUAAUGAAUCUAGAGGUGAAAAUGAUGGUAUAGCUUAUCGUAGAAGCUAUAGCCGAUAUGCUAACCCACUAUGGUGUGACAACAUUUCUACUAAAGAUGGAAAUCACUUCUUUGAAGAUGAAAGUACUCUUAAGGGUAAGGGAUGUAUAGUCUUGGAAACUACUUCUCCUUCUACUUUGUGUGAUUUUAUUGUUGAGAGUACUGAUGGUGAUGAUUGUGAAACUAGUAGUGAGUACACACAUGAGGGCACCUUAGUAGAAGUUGACUUGAGUGAUACCUUUCUCUACUCUCUAUUUGCUUUGGAUAAUAUGUAUUCUAUUGUAGAGAGUACACCAUUUAGUUUGGGUAGAGACCACGGGAAAGGGGAGUGUUGUCUAGACCCGUGUCUAUGGCCACUCUUCCUAUUUGACCUGGGUGCCAAAUAUAGAUUUUAUGAUGAUGGUCCACCCAACUUGUUGCUUGGUUUACAUGAAAAGCAAAGUAUCACUUUUGGUAAAUUCCAUAACCAAAUCCUUUAUGCAUUUUUCAUUAAUUAUUUAAUAUUUAGUUCAAAGGAUCCUUGGUUAUAUUAUAAAUAUGUGCAACCUUGGAAUGUUAAGGUGAUUUAUCGUGCUAACCCUAACCCUCAUUCCAUGAGGAUUUUGUAUUUAUGUGUCCUUUCUUUGGUUUUGCAAGGUUUGGAUUCGAGGUCGAAUCCUUCUCAAGAUGGGGAGGAUGAUACGAGUCAAAGGGCCACCUUAACUUUUGAUGACAUCUUUGAAGGCCAACACGUAAAGGCUCAAGACUUGGUCACCCCGAUAGCACAAGGAUACACAAGGAAGGAUAAUUUUGAGCAUGACUUAAAGCAAUCUCGUAUGUAGAAGGUUGCUUGGUUGCUUACAUUGAUGCUAACCCGAGAACCACAAGCCUUGAAGUAUGAACCAUACUCGGUUUUUGAGAGCAUUGAAAAGGCACCAUUCAUUCAAGUUAUAACAUACCUUGGCUACCCCUUAAUUAAGGGUAUUUUAUACAUUACAUAUGGUGUAUUUACACACCACGACAUCCCCUCUCAUUAAGGACAAAGUGGUCUUUUUAGCUUCAUUUGUAAUAUAUUAUAAAUAGGCCCCUUUAGUCUUAUUUUUACAAGUUUUGGAAAAAAAAUGAAAGAUUGAAACAUUAAAAAUCCUCUCUCUUUAGAGUAGAACACUUAGUCUUAGUUUAGGGCUUGGAAAAGAUAAUAUUGUUCUUUGCUUGGAAACGGUGGAUCUUGAGGUGAGUUGUUUCCCUUGGCGGUCACCGUAAGAGUGUGGUUUUGAUUAUUACAUUCAUUAGGGGUUAAUUUUGAAAUAUACUUGGUUCUUAAUCUUGUAAUAAUCUUGGUCUCACUAUCUAUCCUUUACUUUCUUGCCAAUUGUGUAUGUGUUGUGUAGCGGACUGUUUUGGGCCCUUCAUUGAAUCCAAAACUUGUAUUAUUGUUGUUCAUCUUGUUCAUCACGUUUUGUAGCUGUUUUGGUGUUAAAAUACACUCUUGUAUCUUGUAUUCUUGUUGUAUUUGUUGAAUCUGAGAGUUGGUCUCCAAUAGGUCCUCAGAUCAUGUGAUUUGUGGACUAUUUUGGGGUGUGUUUCGUCCUUUCAUUGUCUUUAUUGUAUCAAUUUUGAAAGGGGUUAUAAGCUAUCAAAAUUUGAUAGACUUAUGACAUAAUUAUAUUCCAUUCCCGGGGAAUAAGAAUUUUGAUUAUUAUAAGUAUAGAUCCAUUCCGUAAGGUGAAUGUGAUAAUAUUUAUUAAAACUUCCAAUACAAACAAGCACUUGAUUAUUAUGGUAUCGUAACUCACCUCUAGAAGAAGAAGAAGAAUUGAGAGGAACUAUUCUGAAAUUUACUUUCGAAGUAGUAAAUCUAAAAAUUUAUUCAUGUAAUAGUAAAUCUAAAAUUUGAACGAUUAUGACAUUCUGAAGAUGUGCAUAUUGAGUAUUGGACAUAUAAGGAAGAAUUCGAAAAUUCUUCAAGAAUUGUUUAUGUUGUCUGUUCUCAUGAAAAGUUGGUUGGACCAGCUAAUAUUGGGAUUGGAUUCCUUAAAUUUGGAAAAUAUAAAAUGUAAAUAUGAGCCUGUUCACCUAUCAUAUGAUAUAUUGAAAAAAUGCAUCAAUAAGAUGAUCACAUGUACAUUUAUUGUCAACUUGUAGUUUCACAUUCACAAAGUUGCUUGCUCAAUUUCAGAUUAUGUAAUCAAGACAAUUCAUCUUGAUAAUAUUGGUAGAUAUUAAAUGCCUGUGAUAAAUAGUUGAAUUAUUGCUGAUGAGAGCAAAGCUUUAUGUGUUAGUCUGAAAUAUGAUAUGUUGUAUACAAUAGCACUUGUAUGUAUUAGACCAAUAAAUUAUGAUUAUUUUUUCCCUCUCAAUUGGUUUAAGGUCAAGAACCAAAUAUUCCAUUCUAAACUUUUUUGAUAUGGGAUAUAUGAUUAAUGAAUAUACCAUGAUACACAAAGAUGGAUAUGUUAGUUUUUCUAAUAUGAGGGGGAGAUAGUAAACAACUAAGAAAUAUGUUGUAAAUUAUCAUCAAUAUGAUCCUCAUUCAAAGGAUAAUUCAAGUUCAAAUGCUAGGAGCGUUUGCUGACACAAAGAUUGAUAUUAUGUUUAGCGGUAUAUUAGUUGUAAAUGCUCCAAUUGGAUGUACCUGAAGGACAAACUCUACUACAUGUAUGAAGCAUGGUAGAUUAAUCGGUUCUAAAAGCAAUAAUCUUGAAAAAUAAAAAGGAGCAAAUGAUCAUAAUUAGGAGACACUGUGCUCUUAAAGAGCCUACGACAUAACACUUCAUGAAACCCUACAAAAGAGGUUGAGGUACAUGGAAAUAAUGAAGUGAUGAGAUCUCAAAAUAUUAUGUCACAUUGUAAACCUAUAAAAGAUAAUAUAUCAUCGAUAAUAUCUUUGAUACAAUAUUGGUCAAUAUUAUAAAAGAUUAUGAGGAUCUGAAUUCUACGUUUAUUAAGCAUGCUGACGUAGAAAUAUUUAUCAAGUGACACGGAAUGAUGCAUCUUGGUAAACAUAAAACUUAUUUGAUUUGUAGUCCAAACAAUUGAAGAUGUCACAUAUGAAAUGCUGAAAUUGUCACUUGACAAAAUUUAUAUGAAAACUUUUAAUUCAAAAUAUUUGAAGCAUAUAAAAGUUUUUGUGAAACUUAUUUAUAAUCCUUAUAUAGUAUAAAUUUAUAACUUAAAAAUUAUUGAAACACCUGGAGAGUUUUCAAAAGUGAUAUAUUAUUUGUUGAAAGAAGUUGAGAUAAGAAAAAUGCAAAAUUGGAUUGGAUCUUGAAGUACCAUAUCUUGUGCAAUUGAUGCAUUUACACAUCUUCUUGCAACUAUGAGCAUGAUAUAGUUUUACUUCAAUAUGUAGAGAGUGAAGUGAUCACUUGCAUAUUGCAAUUGAAAGUCCCUAUACAAAUGUGUUUAUGCUAACACAUAUUAUCAAGUUUUUGAAUACACAUGAUAUUCAUAUGAUUAACAUAAUGGUUCGAUACAUAAAUAAUACCUAUUGUUAUGAAGAGGGUCACUGUCAUACCAUGUAUACAUGACAUUCAUAUAAUGGUAAGAUGAUAUCUAUUCAUAAAGUAAGUCGAGAAUGUAUGUGGCUUAGGUUAAUGAUACCUAUCAUUUAAGAAAAAUGUGGUUUGAAAUGUGAAAAAGUACCUAUGAUUUUGCAUGAAGAUAAUUCAAUAUGCAUAGCACAACUCAAGGAAGGAUUUAUAAAAGGAGAUAUAAUGAAGCAUAUUUUGCCAAAACUUUUCUACAUACAUGAGCUUCAAAAGAACGGUGAUAUCAACAUGAAAUAAAUUUGUUCGAGUGAUCAUAUGACUAAUUUAUUCACAAAGUCUCUAUCAAUUAAAUCUUUCAAGAAGAUGAUGCACAAGAUUGAAAUGUGAAGAUUCAAGAUUCAAAAUUGAUGUCCUAAUCAGGGGGAGAAAAUACACAUUGUACUCUAUUUUCCUUUCAAGGUUUUGUCACACUGGGUUUUCCUUGUAAGGUUUAUAAUGAGGCAUCCGAAAUGUGUAUGAUUAGAGAUGUGUACUCUUUUUCCUUCACUUGAUUUUUUUCACUAGGUUAUUUCUAGUAAGAUUUUAACGAGGCACAUUAUCUAUCAAUUAGACAUUCAAGGGGUAGUGUUAUAAAAGUAUUAUUAGUCUCCUAUAUUCAGGGUCUAUGUUUUAAUAAUGACAAACUAAUGAGUAGACAUGUCCAGGAUAUUAAGGAUCUCUAAUGAUGGAAGGAGAGGCUAUUGAAAAUACACCAAAGAUGUAGAAUCUCUAAGGAAUCAAUUCAAGAUAUCCAAAAUAUCUCGCAAACAUCCAACAGCAAGAUUGCCAUGGAACAAUAUCAAUCAUGCAAAAUCAAUUCAAGAUCUCAAAGAAAAUCUUGAAAAGAAAAGCAAUCAUCCAAUAACAACUUGAUAGGAGCAAAAGAAAAGAAGAUCGUGGACUCAUCUGAUACAGAUGUGUAUAAGUACUGUGUAAAGACAUAUCUGAUAUGGACUACUGUACAGUAACAUUCCUCAAUCAAGGAAUCAAAUUAAAUCCUUGAUUGGGAUGAAAUCUCUUGGGUUUUCUUAUGAAGAGAAACGACUGAAGAAUAUAAAAGAGAGCACUGAAGAUCGAAGCAGUCACGCAACUUCAAGGAAGAAUCUCAAAGUCUCUUAAUAUUAGUCUCACAAGGCUUUGUACUUCUUAGUUUACAAUAGUUAUAUAGAGAGUAGAAUCAAGUCAACUUUGUAAUACAAACUAAAGCAGUGUCAUAAGAUCUAAAGAAUAGAAUAAGUCUUUAAAACUUAUUUUCAUCAUUGAACUCUACCUAACUUUGAAAAAUCUAAGAAAAUGUUAAAACCCAAGGGGACUAAAAGUAGGCACCACAUUGGUGUUCCAAACCAGGAUAAAUCUUCGUGGCUUUAUUUUAAAGAUGAUUAUUUACUUAUUCAAUUAUUUAAAUCUAAUCUGUUUUGUGAAAUGUACUGAUCUAUAGGCAAGUCGACAGUGAAGAGUCAAUAGUCGACUCAUAGAAAAUUUUCAAUUCACCUCUUUUUGAAUUUCAAUUUGUAUCAGAGCCAGGUUUCAAUAAUAGUAUUGAUUAAACGUACAUAUGCAAAGAUCAAAUGGAAUACUAUCAACUUCCCAGUGCUUUCUUCAAGACGGUCAUUCCUCCAUAAGACCACCAUACUUCAAUAGGCAACACUAAUCUUAUUGGAAGAACAAAUUUGGAAUCUUAUCCUAUCAAAUGACUUUAAAGCAUGCUUUGUCAUUAAAAAGGGACCAAAUCCAAUUCCAGGACACAAGGGGGAAAAGAAAAAAACCAGUAGCCUUUAAUGCCACACCAACUGAAGAGGAGGACUUUUUGGAAGAAGACAAUUGCGAAGGAAUGACUCUCAUAAAUUGAGUAAGACAAAUCAUGAGAUAGAGAAAACAAAGAUCCCAAGGAGCCAAAAAUAAUGAUUCCACUAGAAAUGAUGAUCGCUGUUAUCAUUGUGGAAGCAGUCCAUUUUAAACAAAACUGUUCAGAAUUAAGAAGAAUAUCAUCUAGAAAGAAUCAAAAUUUGGAUCUUGGAGUGAUGAAAAUGAAACUAAAGAAGAAAAGAAGCAACUAACAUGUGCUUUAUGGCAAAAGGUAAAUCUAGCGAGGUAAGACAACACGAAUGUUAUAACUAUAAUAUUAUUUAAUCUGACUUAGAUAUGAUAACUGAUGAGCUUCAAAAAGUUAUAGAUAAAUAUAAUAAACUUUCCCAAAAGAAGAAAAGCUAAAAAGCUUGACUUAAAAAAAAACUCAAAGAGGAACCAAGAAACUAUCAAGUUGAAAUAGAAACAUGUCAAAUUGAAAUUGACUUGCUUCAAGAAAAGCUUGAUGAUGUAAAAAUGCAAUUGAAUAGCAUUAAAAAAUCACUAAGUCAUAGUUUUGUGAGAUCAAAUUAUUUUUAAACCAACUCAAGUUGCUCAUCAAAAUCGUUUAAAUUAGCCAAGACCUUUUUCUCCUCACAAGGACCUGUCUGUUAUAUCUGUGGACCAGAAGGGUACAAAUUUUAUAGCUGCAGGCUAAACCCAAAAAGUGUGUGGGUUUGGAGGCAUAAAGGGAGAACAUCUAAUCCACCAGGACCCAAGACCACUUGGGUACCUAAACAAAAUUAAUUUUCUUAUUUUGCAGGAACAUUCCUGAAAAAGCUAUAAAAAGGAAAUAUGGGUCAUUGAUAGCAGAUGUUCCAGAAAUAUGACAAGAAAGAAAGAAAAAUUUUGUGCUUUAAAGAAAAUAGAAGGGGCAUUAGUCAGAUUCGGUGAUAAUGCUAGAUGAAAUGUCAUAAGAGUCAGCUGAGUAAAGCUCAAAUCCUCAUGUGAAUGUAUUGAAAUAUAUCUCAUAGAAGGCCUAAAACACAACCUGAUCAGCAUCAAUUAGCUAUGUGACACUGGAUUUGAGGUCUCCUUCAAAGCUAAAAAUUGUUUUAUUAAACAUGAUAAGAGAGAUAUCUCUCUUAUCGGUGAACAUAUUGAUAAUAUUUAUGUCUUAAAUAGUUCUGGUUUUGCUACCUUAACCUACCUCACUCUGCAAACCAAUGACACUUGGUUGUAGCACAGAAAACUUGGGCAUGCCAGUAUGCACAUCAUUGAGAAACUAUCCAGAUUAGAAUUGGUGAAAAGUCUGCCAAAACUCAAGUUUGAAAAGGAUCAUAUCUGUGAUGCCUGCUAAUUGGAUAAACAGACCCGAACGUCAUUCAAAGUCAAGGAAAUUGUCUGUACUACCUAACCUCUUCAAACAAUCCACAUGGAUUUAUUUGGCCCCACCAAAACCAUGAGUAUUGAUGGAAAAAGAUAUGCUUUCAUUAUUGUUGAUGAUUAUUCUCUCUUUACUUGGGUAAUAUUUCUUGCUCAUAAAUAUGAGUCUCACAAACUUUGAGAUCUUUUGUAGAAAAGUACAGAGGAAGCUGGACACCUUAUUACCUAUGUCUAUAAUGAUCAUGGAGAAGAAUUCGAAAACAAGGCUUUUGAGGAAUAUUGUGCUUUGAAUGAAUAUUCUCAGAACUUCUCAUCACCCCAGUCUUCUCAACAAAAUAGAGUGGUAGAGCAAGAGAAUCAGUCUCUCCAGGAAACUGCUAGGACUAUGAUGUUAGAACCCAAUCUCCUAAAUUACUUUUGGGUAGAAGUAGUAAGCACAAUAUGUCACAUAUCAAUAUACGCCUCAUCAGUCCUAUUCUAAAGAAGACGCCUUAUGAGUUGUGGAGAGGAAAAAACCAAAUAUCAGUUAUUUUUAUCCCUUUGGAUGAAAAUGCUUCAUCCACAACAACAGUAAGAAUAACUUGGGAAAAUUUGAUCCAUAAAAUGACAAAGGUAUUUUUCUUAGAUACUCUCCCACUAGUCGUACCUAUAGGGCUUACAACAAAAGAACAUUAUUUGUUGAAGUAUCUAUGCAUAUUGUGUUUGAUGAAACUAAUCUCCCUCCUAUGAGCUUAAAUAUUAUAAAGAACAGGUGAAUGAUGUAUAAUUUGGCGCCAACAUUAGCAUAAUUCUUGAGCCGAUGUAAGAUAAGUUGAUUACACCCCCUCCACAGUUGACUCCUAGAGUGGGAACAGUCAAACUGAGUGUUCUAAGAGAAUGGAAACAUGCUUCUAAUUAUACAAAAAAACUCAUCAUAAAAAAUCCAGAUGAUAGGGUACAGACAAGAGCAUCAUUAAGAAAACAAGCAUCUGUUGCUCUUGUAUCUCAAAUCAAACCAAAACAGAUCGAUGAGGCACUUAGAGAUGAAUCCUGGGUCAAGGACAUAAAGGAAGAGUUGGACAAAUUCGAAUGAAAUUAAGUUUGUACUCUAGUUGAAAAACCCAAGAACUGCUCAAUAAUUAGAACUAGAUGGGUCUACAGGAACAAAUUAAAUAAAGAAGGUAAGGUCAUCAGAAAUAAGGCCAGACUUGUAGGUCAAGGCUACUCUCAACAAGAAGGUAUUGAUUAUAAUGAAACCUUUGAUCCUAUAGCAAGGUUUGAAUCAAUUCAUAUUUCAUUAGCUUUUUCUGCUUAUAAAUGUUUCAAGUUGCAUCAAAUGAACAUCAAAAGUGCCUUUUUAAAUGGAUUUAUUCAUGAACAAGUCUUUGUAAAAAAAACCUCCUGAUUUUGAAAAUCCAGAUUAUCCAAACCAUGUUUUAAAAUUAUCAAAAGCACUCUAUGGUAUCAAACAAGCUCCGAAAGCUUAGUAUGAGAGAUUGAGUACUUUCUUGCUAAAUAACAAUUUUCAAAUAGGUAAAAUUGAUACAACUUUGUUCACAUAAAAGCUUGACUAAAACCUUUAUAUUGUGCAAAUUAACAUUGAUGAUAUUAUUUUUGGUAGUCCUAACAUCUCUCUGUGAGAGAAUUUCGCAAACCUGAUACAAGGAGAAUUUGAAAUGAGUCUCAUGGGAGAGCUCACAUUUUUCUUGAGACUAUAAAUUAAGCAAACUCUCAAAGGUACUUUCAUUAGUAAAGCUAAAUACACAAAGAAAUUCAUCAAAAAAUUCAACAUGGAAAAAAAAAGGCUUAUGGAACUCCGAUGAGCCCAUCCAUGAGUCUUGAUUUAGACUCAUCUAGAAAACACGUUGAUAAGAAAAUGUACAGAGGAAUUAUUGGAUCACUAUUCUAUUUGACCACUAUUCGACCAAACAUUAUGUUUAGCUUAUGUAAGUCUUCCAGGUUCCAGUCGACUCACAAAGUCUCAUCUGAUGUCAUCAAAAGAAUCAUUUGAUAUCUUAUAGGAACUGAUUGGACUAUGGUACCCCUGCUCCUCUUAUUUCAAUUUAAUUAGAAAUUCAUAUGCUGACUUUGCAGGGGAUAAAAGUGAUAGAAAAAGCACUAGUGGAACAUGUCAAAUUCUUGGUGAUGCCCUAAUUUCAUGCACAGUAAGAAGCAAACUUCAGUUGCUCUUUCAACAACUGAAGCUAAAUACAUAUUCGUUGGAAGUUGUGGUACUUAAAUUUUAUGAAUUAUGCAUCAACUACUUGAUUUUAAUCUAUCUUUUGAAUUUGUUCCCAUAAUGUGUGAUAACACAAGUGCUAUUAGUUUGUUUAAAUAUAUUGUGCAUCAUUCUAGGGCUAAAUAUCUUGAUACUAAGCAUUAUUUUAUUCGAGAUCAUGAAGAAAAUAGAGACUUUUCUUUAAUAUUUGUUGACUCAGAAAAUCAAUUGGCAGAUAUUUUAUGAAGCCCUUGUUAGAAAAAGAUUUUGUUACCUUAGAAAAAGACUUGGUAUUCUCAGUAUUAAUGACCUAUGAGUUUUAUAUUUGGACAAAAAUAUUUUUACUUACUCUAAUUUUCUCUUCAAAACCUUUUAACCAAAAAUUAGUUUUCAACAAAGGGAGUCAUCAUUAUUUUUACCAGCUUUUACGCCACCUUUGCCGCUUCUGCACCCCUUUACCUUUCCAACGCACCCUUUUGCCAUUCUUUUACUCCAUCAGUCACCUUUCUCUUUACACCUCUUCUCAUUCCCCUUUAUUUAAUUUCUAAGCAAUUGCCUACAUUCUCUCUCUCUCUUCAUUCACUUACCGUCCUCUAUUCUCCCUCUCUGUCUCUUUAAAAUCCAUCUCUACCCUUUUCCCAUGACAAAAAAUGGUUCCAUGGCUAGUGUUUCCAAAUCUCUCCCUAAAUCUCUCUCUAAAAGUCCUAUUAUCCUCUCUGAGUUCUCUGACGAAUCCUUGCCAGAUUCUCAACAGUCCACUUUUAUCAAAAGACGUCAUCCCACUUCUAGCCCAACCCCUUCUACCAAGAAACCUUGAACUACCUCUCUAAAUUUCUUCCCUCCAGUGGGUAUGCAAAAAUUCUGGACAUGCUCUCAGAAAGAAAAAUUUUCUUCCUUCAAAAAUCACCCUAUUGUACUCAGUCGCAUAAUCAAUCUCUGUCUAUUAAAAGACUUCUUCUGUAAUAUCAGUCACUUCUUUAAAUUUGAAGAUUUGUUCCUGAUUUUUCAUCUCUGUGGACUUGAGGUUUAUGAAGAUCCAGUCCAUAGUUUUAUGUGAAUCUCUAUCUCUCUCCUUAUAGUGGUGAACUUGGGCCUCUUGUGCUUGGCACAAGAAAAUUCCCAAUGAUUUUCUGUUCGAGAAGGUUUUGACACAAAGUUCUCCAGUGUGAUUUUUUUCGUGAAUGGUACCUGGCCUGAAAACUUUGAGGUGAGUUUUGAUGAAGCAACAAGGAUUUUUUCUGACUCGAACACAUCAUCAUCUAAUUUUGGUCCUUUGUACUUGUGUUUCAAGUAUCGCAUCAUGGCCCACAUAAUAGCUACCACACUGAUUCCAAGGAAGUGAUCCCUCAGCAACAUCACUUGUCGCGAUAUAUUUGUCAUGUACUGUCUAGUUAAGAAACAUAAGAUUAAUUGGGCAACCUGUAUUUGUGAUUAUAUGCUUAAAAGUGCAGCAGAUAUUUAUGCCUCCACCAGUUUACCAUAUGGCGUGUUAAUAUCUAAAAUUCUAUUGUACUACUCUACUGAUCUCUUUACUUACCCCCCGAUGGAAGUGAUAUAGAAAUAAUCUCGAAUAUUGACUUAGGAGAGUGCGUGUUGGACCCGAGCCUUGCCAUGUGCAAUUGAAGUGUAAAAAAGGCCCAAAAUGCACCCAAAUCAGCCCAUAAAUUACACUAGAUGGGUGCCCACUCUUUGAAGGGCCUUUUGGUCAUUUUAAGUUAUAUUUUGUAAUAGUUAUAAAAGGAACAUUGUAGGGUUUUUAGAUUUAGUUUUUUAUGAUAUUUGUGAAUCUUGAAAAAACAAAGAACACACGUCCUCUCUCCUUGAGGCACCAAAACCGAAACUAGGAUACAACAAUAGGGUGGAUUCUCUUUUGUUGUUGUUUGCUUGGAAACGUUGAUCCUAGAGAGGUGCAAUCCAAUAUUGUGUCACGUAAGAGAUAGGUUUAUUGUUGUGUGUAGUGUUAAGGGUCCGAGAGUGUCCAUUCUUGGGUUCUUAAGAUUAUACCUUCAUGUGGUCUAUCUAUCUAUCCCUUUACUUUCUUGUAAUCGUGUUUAGUGUUUGUGUUGUAAUCUUGUGUUCUUGUUGUUAUUGUUAAAUCUGAAUAUUGUGUCUUGUGUUCAUCUUGUUCUUCACGUAUUGUUGUUGUUUUGGUGUGAAAUACACCUUGCUCACCUUGUAUUCUUGUUGUAUUUGUGAAUUCGAGAGAGGUCUCCAAUCGGUCUAAGAUCUUAGUGAUUUGUGGACUAUUUUGGAGUGUGUUUAUGGGCUGUUUUUGAGUGAUUUUGUGUCUUUCAAGUUUUUAUCAUAUCAUUUGGUAUCAGAUCAUGGCUUGAUCUUAUUCCCACAAGAUCGAUCUUGGUCUUGUUAGUGAAAGAAUAAAAAAAGUGUUCAAAACUGAAAAAUUCUAGAAAAAAUAGCAAUUUGUCCGUGUUGUGUUCUUGGCCGAAAAUGUGUUCUUGUUGUGUCUUGGCCGAGAUUUUUACUUGUAUUUGUUGUCUCUAAGUGUUAAUUUUUUUCCUGACUAACACAUUGAGUCUAUAUCUAGAUUUAAGCUUUAAAAAUUAAUGUUGUUGUUGUGCACAAGAAGUGGCCAUGAGUUGAAGUUGUUGUUUUAACUUGGUUGUGUGGUGACCUUGUUGUUGGGCGUUGGUUGAUGUUGUUUUUGAUCUUGGUGGUUGUUUUUAUGUUCUUGUUGUUCAUCACAACCUUCAUCUAGUGUUAAAACUGAAAAUACAACACCAAAGAAACUUGGCCAUUUGUUGGUGGUUUUAUUGUUGGUCUUAUUGUUGUGGAAUUGGGCGCUAGAACUUGUUGUUGUUCUUGGGAGAUUGUUGUUGGUUGUUCUUGUUGUAGUUGUUGUGUUCUUGAAGUUCUUCAUCAUAUUCAUCACCUUGUUAACACAAAGUUAACGAUAGAUCCUAAAAAAGGGAAGGAAAGAAGUGUAAGUAAUUGUUAGUCUUGAAAGACCCCCAACCACCAAAAGACUUUACAUCACUUCUCAAUUCCACUUUCCCAUGAAACAAGGGUCCAUGUUUUAAGGAGAAGAACAAGUCUAGUCAAAGACUUUUGAGUCUUCAAAUUUGAAUUCCAAAGACUAGUUUGUAUUUUCCUCUAUUGAACAAUUUCCAUCAAAGUCCAAAUUGUAGAAUUGAUCAAGACUUCCAAAUUUGGAAGAUAAAAUUGUUGACCGAGGCCAAUCAAGGACUGCCACAUCACCAAUUACUGUUCACUGACAAAUUUUAAGCUNNNNNNNNNNNNNNNNNNNNNNNNNNNNNNNNNNNNNNNNNNNNNNNNNNNNNNNNNNNNNNNNNNNNNNNNNNNNNNNNNNNNNNNNNNNNNNNNNNNNNNNNNNNNNNNNNNNNNNNNNNNNNNNNNNNNNNNNNNNNNNNNNNNNNNNNNNNNNNNNNNNNNNNNNNNNNNNNNNNNNNNNNNNNNNNNNNNNNNNNNNNNNNNNNNNNNNUUGUGAGAUUGAGUGUGAGGGAUCCGAGAGACAAGAAAUAAAAGAGAGAGUGAGGAUGUUUUUGUACAACUAAUGUGUUUUCUGUUUUGUAGGUAACUCCUUUGCCAUAAUGGACACCAUUUUAGCCCACCUUGAUGCUAUUACCCGAGAAAUAGCUAAGGCGAAUGCGGGUCUUACCAAAUUGGGCUCGGAUAUGUCUACUAUACUUGAGAGGUUGGAUCAAGUGGAGAGCCGAAGGAACUCUCAUGUUUCUACUCCCAAAGCUUUACCUCAAACUAUCAACCCUCCAUGACCACCACUAAAUGACAUAGACAUAAGCCAAGCCAACAAAUGUCCUCAAACUCGAGACCUAAAUGAGUCACUUCCCCCCCAAUUCGAUCAAGUCCAACAAGAGGGACUUGGAAGCCAAUUUUCUCCCAUCCAAGCUCUACAACCAAAGCUCUCCCUUACCAAAUAAUUCUUCUCAACCGAAACUCUACUUCACCAAAACCAAUAUAUCCAUGUAGAGGAGUAUGGUAGAAAGGAACAUGAAGGAUAUGAAGACUACUACAAUACUUGUAUAAUGGUAGAAACUUGUUUCGGAUAAGAUUGAAGACAAGGCUAAGAUGGAGAGGAAGCCGAGGUUCAAAAUAAAGAUGUUGGCCGAGACUUGUUGUUAUUGAGUCUUCGGAUUCUUCAUGAUUUUGUGGACUAUUUUUGUGACUUGUUUGUGGAUUGUUUUGAGUAGAUUUCCUUUGAAGUGACCAAUUGAAUGAGGUGAAGCCAUGAAUUUGUGGACAAAUUCCUCUCAAGAUGGAGAGGAUAAUACGGGAAUAAUCUCAGAUAUGCACUCACCCGACCCUUGGCAUGUGCAAUUGAAGUGUAAAAGAGGCCCAAAAUGCAUCCAAAUCAGCCCAUAAAUUACACUAGAUAGGUGUCCACUCUUUGAAGGGCCUUUUGGUCAUUUUAAGUUAUAUUUUGUAAUAGUUAUAAAAGGAACAUUGUAGGGUUUUUAGAUUUAGUUUUUGAUGAUAUUUGUGAAUCUUGAAAGAUCAAAGAACACAAGUCCUCUCUCCUUGAGGCACCAAAAUCGAAACUAGGAUACAACAAUAGGGUGGAUUCUCUUUUGUUGUUGCUUGCUUGGAAAUGUUGAUGCUAGAGAGGUGCAAUCCGAUCUUGUGUUACGUAAGAGAUAGGUUUAUUAUUUUUUGUAGUGUUAAGGGUCCAAGAGUGUCCAUUCUUGAUACAAGAAAACCAAGGGAUACACGAAAUUACACUCCAAACAUUCCAUAAAUCACAAGAUUCGAGGACCUAUUGGAGGCCAACUCUCGGAUUCACUACAACACACAAUGGCGAGAUAGAAAGGUGUGUUUUCAACACAAAAACAGCAAAAACAACAAUAAUAUGAGAACAAUAUGAUAAGAACAAUAAAAACAAGAGACAACAACUCACGGGUUGAAGAUUACAAGAUACACAAACGGUUACAAGAUUACAAUAAAUGAAAGGGAUAGAUAGUUAGACCUUGGUUGGUAUAAUCUUAAGAACCCAAGAAAAUGUGAUACUCUUGAACCCUUAACGCUACACACAAUGGUUAACCUAACUCCUACGUUGACACAAGAGGGACUUUACCUCCUCUAAACAGCAACGUCUCAAGCCAUGAAUGCAACACUAGUGAUUCUACACUAGUAUCACCUUAGUUUCGGGUUGCCCCCUAAAGAGAAGAGAGGAAUUGUAUUUCAAAGUGUUAUAAAACUUACAAUAUCAUCAAAGUUUCAGACAAAAAUGACCUACAAUGUUCUAUUUAUACUAGGUUACAACUAGAAUACAAAAUAACCAAAAGGCCCUUUAAUGAAAAGCCUCAAAAUGUCGCCCAUGGAGUGUAGUGUAGGUUCGGUUUUGGUGUGUGUUUUAGGCCCUCUUUUGUAUUUUUUUGCAUACUCCAAGCCUCGGGUUCAUUACACUUUCACACUUCCAUCCUCGUGGUCGUACUUGUAUCAUCCUCUCUUUCUUGAAUAGGAUUCAACCUCGAAUCUGUACCUUACAAAAUCAAGAGAAGAUAAACAAGCACACAUCCUCAUGACAUGAGGGGUUAGGGUUAGAAAAAAAUAACACAUCAACAUGCCAUGCCGAGGCGGAACAAACUUAAAGUAUAGCCAUGGGUCCUUUGUUUUAAUCAUCAAAAGAUUAGUACAAAUGCUACAAAGGAGGUGGCUCGGGCAAGCAUCAAGACAAAAGGAAAAUAGGCCAAGAGUAAUCCUUUCCCACCCUAAGAUGGUACCGGGAUCAAAUGGGUGGAGUAACCAAGGACUUAGGCCUCGGCCACUCUCACUUUCCCCUAAGGUUCCGUCUUCAAAAUUAGGCAUACCCUCUAUAUCCCUGUGGAAAAUAUCAUGAGUAAAAAGAGGAUAAAGAAAGGUGUCACAAGAGUCAACUCCAACUAUGAUCUCCUUAUGCAUGUACUCACUAGUUUCAAGUCCAACAACACUAGUAGGCUUAACAUGGGAAACACAUAAAGAAGUAGAUGGAAUUUCUAAGCAUGCAACACUUUCUCUUUCAAGAGAGUAGUCCCUACAUAGACAUAAACUAUCAUGGGCAGCAAAGGGAUCACAAGCAAAACCAUCUUUACCAAGACAAUCACAAUUCGGGUUUCCUAAAUAAUCAAGCACGUCAAGGUCAUUUCCACCUGAUUGAUCAUUGUCCACAACCUCACUAGUUGUUGGCAACUCAUAUACCAACAUAGACCCAACUUGGUUUUCACAAGGGUCAACUAGUGUGUGAAUACUCUCGUCACUUGGUAAUGGAACCUUAGUCAAGUUAUAAGUUCUAGCACUAGAUGGACAUAAAUCAUUCUCACGAGGAGAAUCAAUUUCAUCAUCUAAAGGAUCAACUAGUGCUUGUAUACCUACAAUAAGAUUUUGGUCCUCAUGUGACCUAACAAUACUGAGAGUAUCACAAAAAGGAGACUCGAGCACCUCUACCCUAGGCAAAGUCGUAACUACACCUACUUGGCUCCUACUAGCCACAACACAACAUUCUAAGUUCAUAGGAGUGUAAGGGAUAAUUUUUUACCUCGUAACUCAUGUGAGCUACGACCUUCCUCUUUAUGUGUGUCCGGGCAGCCACUUGCUCCCUUUGACCUACCGUACGAUCCAACCUUUCAUUUGCCAUAGCUAGGUCUGGGACAUAGUGUCAAGGUAGGCGAAAAUGACAUUGGUGGCAUUGUUGUCCAUGGGUUGAGAGGUUGAAACCGCGGGUUCCCUUGUAAUUGUACCUAAAAAAGUAAAGAAAAGAACAAACCUACAAAGCAAAACACAAGUUAGUUCGAAACAACCUCACCAUACUCUCACACACUUAAUUAUCUCACACUUGGAUUCACAAGUGAUGCAAGUCGGCUCGUAGUUCGUGAUAAAUCGAGGGGUGAGUCUACUCCUUGGUCGGAAUGAAUUCUUUGUUUGAAGACUCAAGGAAAGUAGUGUCCGAACUUGAACUAAGAAGUACUAUGAUUUUAAAAAUGAUAAAAGCACAAAAGAAACGUAGACACAAACAAUAGAUUCAAAGGACUAAUUAACAAUCUAGUAGGAGUUUACUAGUUUAUUAAUUAGUACUAGAAUUAAUUAAACGAAACGAACGAUUAACAAAUAAGAAACAAAGACAUCAAAAUUUAACCUUUAAAAUUAUCGAUGAACAGUAAAAUAUGACAUGGCAACCAUGUAUUGGUUACGGUUGUUAUCAAAUUUUAUUUUCCAAUUCAAGUCUUGAUCCGAUUGUAAUUUAGAAUUGGUUAAGAAGGAAAAAAAAGUCUUGAAAUCCUCUUUUAAAUUCAAAAAGCAAGACUUGACUUUUCUCCUCAAGACAAGGUCCUUAAAUCAUGGAAAAGUUGUUGAGAAGUGAUUGAUAGGUCUUUAGUGGUUGGGGGUCUUUCAAGACUAACAAGUUUCUACACCUUUUCCUUCACCUUUUUGGAUCAAAUAAGCAAUUUAUUUUUCUAUAAAGGUAUGAAGUUAGUGAUGAAAAUCAAGAACAACAACAACAUUAACCAAGAACAACAACAAUAAUUUUCAAGAACACCAACAAUUCCCUUUUCACAGCCCACUCUAAACCCACAACAAUAUUGUCUCACACGGCCAAGACUACCAUAUCUUUAACAAAAUUGGUCUUAGGACACCAAUUUUAUAACAACAUCACACGGCCAAACUAAGAACAACAACAAUAUUCACAUUACAAUUCCAAACCGUGAGCCACAACAACACCAACAACAAUCUGCCAAGCUUAUGUUCGCAACAACAUCAACAUUUCAAGCUCAAAUUUAAGAUAUAGACUCAAUGUUUUAGUGAGGAACAAUACCAACACUUAGAUACAACAAAGAAAAGUAAAAAUCUUGGCCAAUACACAAUAAGAACACAAUUUUUGGCCAAGAACACAAAUUGGACAGAUUGCUAUUUUUCUGGAUUUUCAAUUUUUUUCAUCAAUAUUUUUUUAACUAACAAGCCCAAGAUUGAUCUUGUAGGAACAAGAUCAAUCCAUGAUUUGAUACCAAAUGAUAUAAUAAAACAAAGGGAUACGCAAAAUUACACUCCAAACAGUCCACAAAUCACAAGAUUUGAGGACCUAUUGGGGACCAACUCUCGGAUUUACUACAACACAUAAUGACGAGAUAGAAAGGUGUGUUUUUAACACCAAAAUAGCAAAAACAAUAAUAAGAUGAGAACAAUAUGAUAAGAACAAUAACAACAAGAGACAACAACUCAUGGGUUAAAGAUUACAAAAUACACAAACGGUUACAAGAUUACAAUAAACAAAAGAGAUAGAUAGUUAGACCUUGGUUGGUAUAAUCUUAAGAACCCAAGAACAUGUGAUACUCUUAAACCCUUAACUCUAUACACAACGGUUAACCUAACUCCUACAUUGACAUAGGAGGGACUUUACCUCCUCUAAACACUAACGUCUCAAGCCAUGAAUGCAACACUAGUGAUUCCACACUAGUAUCACCCUAGUUUUGGGUUGCCUCCUAAAGAGAAGAGAGGAAUUGUAUUUCAAAGUGUUAUACAACUUACAAUAUCAUCAAAGUCUCAGACAAAAAUGACCUACAAUAUUCUAUUUAUACUAGGUUACAACUAGAAUACAAAAUAACCAAAAGGCCCUUUAAUGAAAAGCCUCAAAAUGUCGCCCGUGGAGUGUAGUGUAGGUUUGUUUUUGGUGUGUAUUUCUGGACCUCUUUUGCAUUUUUCUUGCACACUCCAGCCUCAGGUUCAUUACACUUUCACACGUCCAUCCUCGUGGUCGUACUUGUAUCAAUUCUUAGGUUCUUAAGAUUAUACCUUUAUGUGGUCUAUCUAUCUAUCCCUUUAAUUUUUUGUAAUUGUGUUUAGUGUUUGUGUUGUAAUCUUGUGUUCUUGUUGUUAUUGUUAAAUUCGAAUCUUGUGUCUUGUGUUCAUCUUGUUCUUCACGUAUUGUUGCUGUUUUGGUGUGAAAUACACCUUGCUCACCUUGUAUUCUUGUUGUAUUUGUGAAUCCGAGAGAGGUCUCCAAUCUAUCUAAGGAUCUUAGUGAUUUGUGGACUAUUUUGGAGUGUGUUUGUGUACUGUUUUUGAGUGAUUUUGUGUCUUUCAAGUUUUUAUCAUAUCAGGAAGUGAUUGUUACUUAUGACUCCAAAACUUUUGCCAGUAUGGGCUAUGUUUUUGUUGAUAAAUAGUGCAAGAAGUAUUCUGCCCGAUUAAAAUCUGAACACCCUAAGGUAACAAAUCUGUUCCUAACACUAUGAUUACUGUGUUAAAAGAACUAGAGGAAAUCAAAGAUCACUUCAAAGUUGUUGAGAAAGGUAUCCAGCUGCUUCAGGAGCUGUAACACCUCAAUUUUUGAAUUGGAAUGCUACACGGUGCUCAUGACCCCGAGGGACCACAAGCUAACUCAUGACUGAUAUCUGUACCUGUACACUGCAUAAUAUACAUAUAAUACGCGGAAAACCUAAACAUGUAGGCCAUAAGUUCAACUGAAGAGAUAUAGUAACAUCCAUGGGGUAAUGAAUACCCAAAAUAACUGAAUAUAAAACUGAAUACUGAAUCUGAUAGCUAAAUCUGACUAAAUCUGAAAGCCUCUCUAAGUACUUUCUGAAUAAGGAGUUGAAGAAAUAUGUCUCCAACUAACUCCAUAAAACUGAACUAAAAUAAUAAAUAAAUAAAUCAAAUCAUAUUAUCCUCGAAUGGAUGAUGACUCACUGCAACACUGCGAUUGGAAAGCUACUGCUGGUCUGGAACUUGUGGCUCUGGACCUAUAGUGUAAUAUGAAAAAAAAGCACCAUAGCGCAAAUGCAUCAAUACAACUGGAGUACUGAGUAUACGAGUGAGGUAGGCUAAUGCAAAGGGUUUACAUACAUGAAUAAUGCUAACUGACUGACUGAUAUGAAUGUACGAGUACAAACAUACAUACAUAGUAACGGAGAUCGUGAGUAUGUGGUAGCAAAAUUUGUACGCUAAUACAUGGCUGGAACUGUAGUUGUGAUAACAUGAGCGACUAUGUUUGACAUUUCUGAAUUUGGUAAAACUCUCUGAGUCCCAUGCUAUAAUUGAAUUUGACUGUAUCUAACAGUCCUGGUAUAUUGAUAUUUGAAGAACUGUCUGAGUUUUACUACUGAGACUAAUACUGAAACUGUGGGAGAUAGUUGUUUAACUGGUAUGCCCCAUGUAUACCAUUACGGCUAAGCUAGGGUCUAAUCUUUGCCUCGACUGGAUGGGUGUCAAUACCGCACCACUGGUAAGGACAUGAGUGACCUUUAUCUGGUAGGUACUCAAAGUGAGAAUGGUGGGAGCCUAAACUGACAAGUUAAGCCACCUCAUCAACCCUAAUCUGACAGGUUAAGAUGUCUCAACCUACACUGGCUACAUUGUUCUGGAACAUAAGGAUGAAUGCUAAGAAUCAUACCCUGAACUGGCAGGUGAGUUCCCAUCCUUGGGUUCACUCGGUGCUAACUUUUACUCCCAUCUGAAGGGACUGAACAUGAUUCAACUGGCUGUACAUAGAUUGAAUAACUGACAUCCGUUGACUGACGGAGUAGAACUAUUAUCUGAGAGUUAACUGAGAUAGAUUUCUGAUAUUUCUUGAGUCACAUGACUGACUGAGUUCUAUAGAGUAUAGCUUGACUAAGAUUUAUCGUGGCACAUGACAUGGCUCUAGGUAUACAACUAUAUUUUUUGGGUACGAAUACCCCCAGGACUCGAUAGAAGGAAACUGACACACAUGACAUGACUUGAUCACAAGAUUAGAGUCCACAAUUCACAAUAUUAUAAGUAGGGGAUAGUAUACUUCAUGUAUUUAUUCAUAUCUAAACAUGGUAGGGAGAGCAUGGAUACAUUUCGUGUAUAUAAUUCAUAUUUUCAUUAUCAUACAUGCUUCAUGCCACAACAACAACACAUAAAUAGCAUGGAAAUUCAUAUGGAAGUGUAUAGCUAAUAUGGACUUGUCAUUUAGAUAUCAUGGAAUCAUGUAAUUAUGGGUUUCUAGCAUCCUAGGCAUUUUAUCAAACACUUUUCAUACAUCAAUACCAGAAUAAUCCCGGACAUAGAUUUAUGAGAGUGUAUGUUGGAUUUAAUACUUGGUGUGUUCAAUUGAAGAUCCAAAUAGGACCUAAUUAUGCACCCAAAACAGUCCAAACACUACACUUGGGCUACAUUUGAUGGGAGCCCAUCACUUAAGGGCCUUUUGAUCAUUUUUAUCUUUCAUUUUAUAAUAACUAUAUAAGUAACAUGCUAGGGCUUCCAUUAGGGGUUUUUGGGGAUAUUAUUGUAAGUCUUGUAAGACUUGAAACACCAUAGUUAGGUCUUGAAAAAGCCACCAACCAAAACAAGGGAAAGAUCUAGUGUGGAAUUACUAGUGAUUAUGUUUGCUUGGAAACAUUGAUGCUUGGGAGGUGAAAUCUGAACUUGUAUCUUUGUAAGAGAUAGGCUUAUUAUUGUAUGUAGUGUUAAGGUUCCAAUAUUGUCCAUUCUUGGGUUCUUAAUAUUAUACCUUCAUGUGGUCUAUCUAUCUAUCCUUUUACCUUCAUUUAAUCUUGUCUAUUGUUGUGUUGUAAUCUUGUGUUCUUGUUGUUAUUGUUAAAUUCAAAUCUUGUGUAUUCUUGUUCAUCAUAUAUUAUGGUUAAUCUUAGUUUGAACUGCUGAUUUGGUGUCAAAUACACCACUAUAUCUUGUAAUCUUAUUAUUGGUAGUGAAUUCGAGAGUGGUUUCCCUCUUGGUCCUCGAAUCCUUAAGAUUUGUGGACUGAUUUGGAGUGUUUUUCGUGCCUUCCUUGUUAGUCUUGUAUCAUGCAUUCUUUAAAGCAUAGGUGGAUUUCAUACUUGCAUCACAUCAAACCACCUAAAGUUCAUGUUUUUGAACUAACAACCACAUAUAUUUCAUGAAAACAUCUUUAGAUAUCAUUUUGAAACUUAAACAACAAUCAUCAAUAUGUACAUGCUUAAAUCACCACAAAAAGUUUAAAAAAUAACAUUUAAAAACAUGGUUCUUGAGCUCUAUGAACAGAUUGGAUCCAUAGAUGAACACUACACAUACCUUAGAUUAAGAAUUCGUAGAAUCUACGGUUGAAUUUGCUUGAAGCUUGAAACCUCAAUGGAAACCCUAGACUUGUUCUUGACUGUUCUUGAGUGAAUUUUGAUAAAAUUAAUGAAAAGGGCUGCUUUGGGGAUUCAAUACUGUGUUUAAAGAGUAUAUAUAGGGAGGGUUUUGGGAAGUUACCAUAUUGCCCAUGAGAAGUUUAAAACAAAAACUGAAAACUACCCAAAAUUUAUCCCGAUUUAGGGCCCUGGCGCGACGCGAAGCUUGGUAAAAUGCCAAUUAUUGCGACCUAGAAGCUUGGCACAAAGCAGGGUUAUCGCGGAGGCUUUCUGGAAAUUGACGAGUGCCAUUUUGGCUUCCGGCGCGACGCGCCAUGCACUGAAAUGGCAUUUGUCUUACAACAGAAACUUAAAAUAGCCAUAACUUCUUCACCGCGUGUCCGUUUUAGGCUAAUUCGGUAUCGACGGAAAGAUUAUUAAAUUAUAUAUCCAUUGGUAGGUUAUGGGAUCAAAAUUUCAUAGUAUAAUGAGAGAUAUUAUUGUUUGAAGUUGAAAAUACCAAUAUCCUUCUCAAGAAUUCAAUCGGUAAGGAAUGUUUUGAUUCGCACAAUAGCUAGGACAUAUUUGAGACCUUAAUUCACAUCAAACUUGAUCAUGAAACAACCAAGGAACCAUAAUGUACUAUGCAUAAGCUUGAAACAUGGAGCUAAUAUUGAGUUGGAUUUUUUGGGGUAUUACAGGAGUCGACUUCCAAACUUCUAGACCUUGGGAAGAGUACCAGCACUAGAAUAUGUAUGGUUUGGUUGGCUCUCAAUGGGUUCAAAUAGGAGGGCAUCAAGUUGUUUAAUCAAGUGUUCACCUACAUGGACUCCCUCCAGUCCCAAGUCAACUCCCCCAAUGAUGAUCUUGGUAUUUUCGUUCAGACCUCCUACUCUUCCUUCUUAAAAAAUGUUGAGAAAUCCUAUGACAAAUUCUAUCAAAAUAUGCAUAAUACCCUAACCUAAUUUUUGGCUAAGAGGUGAAUGAUGACUUUUUAUUCAAAAGGGGGUCCUCUUUCUUAUUUUUGAUGGGUUGUACAAUGAUAUUUGUAACACACUAUCUGCCACCUUUCCUUGUUUUGAUCUAGACCUUGGUACUUAAUUGGAUUAUCUCUAUGCUAUAUGAUUACUAUUCUUUCUGCUAUGUUGUUCUUUUUGAUUAUGCCAAAAGGAGGAGAACGACAAGAACCUACAAAUCAGCGGAAACAAGUUGACUAUCAAUGAUAAAGAGCCGACUGAUGUUCAAGGUACAGAAAAAUAUCAAAAUUAACUACAAAUCAGGGAGAGAAAGCCGACUAUUGUGACUAGGAAGUCAACUUAUGUUUAAUGCUUAUUUGUCAUUAGCAAAAAGGGAGAGAUUGUUAGCCUCCUAUAUUUAUGGUAUAUGUUUUAAUAAAACUAAUGAGUAGAAAUUUGUAGGAUAUUAAAGAUCUCUAAUGAUGGAAGAAGAGGAUAGUGAAGAUACACCAAAGAUAUAGAAUCUCUAAGGAAUCAAUUCAAGAUAUCCAAGAAUAUCUCGCAAGCAUCCAACAAUAAGAUGGUCAGCGCUAAACUUGGAACAAUAUCAAUCAUGCGGAAUCAAUUCAAGUCUCUAAGAAAAUCUCACAAAGGAAAGCAAACAUCCAACAACAAUCUGACAGGAGCAAAACGAAAGAAGAUCACAGAUGUAUCUGGUAUAGACAUGUAUAAGUAUCGUGUACAUAUCUGAUAUGGACAUACUAUACGGUAACAUUCCUCAAUCAAGAAAUCAAAUCAAAUCCUUGAUUGGGAUGAAAUAUCUUGGGUUUUCUUACGAAGAAAAAUGGCUAAAGAAUAUAAAAGAGAGGACUAAAGAUCGAAGCACUCACGCAACUUCAAGGAAGAAUCUCAAAGUCUCUAAAUCUUAGUCUCACAAAGCUUUGUACUUCUUAGUUUACAAUAGUUAUAUAAAGAAUAGGAUCGAGUAAACUUUGUAAUACAAGCUGAAGCUGUUUCACAAGAUCUAAAGAACAAAAUAAGUCUUCAAAACUUGUUUCUCAUCAUUGUACUCGACCCCAACUUUGAAAUAUCUAAGAAAACAUUGAAACCCAAGGGGGUUGGAAGUAGUCACCAUAUUGGUGUUCCGAACCAGGAUAAAUCUUCGUGUCUUUACUUUAAAGUUGAUUGUUUACUUGUUCAAUUAUUAAAUCUAAUUUAUUUUGUGAAGUAUACUGAUCUGCAGGCAAGUCGACUGUGAAGAGUCAAUAGUCGGCUCACAGAAAAUUUUCAAUUCACCCCCCCUCCCUUGAAUUUUAUGUAUUACCAUAUAUAAUGAAUGUCUAAUUAUGGAAAAGUUAGAAAAUUCAACUUUUGGAACAAAGUUAGUUUUCUCCUAUAAAUAAAAGGGUUUUUUUUUCAUUGUAAUAAACCCCACCAGAAUUCCUUAAAGAGAAAUACAGAUGCAUCCUCUCUUCUCUCUAUUUUUAUUUUUCUUAUUACUUAAUAUUUCAUAACAUAAUCUUACUUUUUUUCCACGACAAAUAAAAUAUGUAGCAGUUUUAAUAUUAUAGCCAUGUUGUGUUCUAUUGUGGCCAAAGACUUGAUUUGUUUGCUAUAAAAAUUUAAAAUUUGUGGCUAUUUUAUAUUUUAGUCUUGUGAUAAGAAUAGUUAUAUUUAGCUACAAGCUAGAAAAUCUAUAGCUAUAAAAUAAAGUAUAUGCCACAAAUAUUUUUGUACAUGGCUAAUUAUUCAUUCAUUUCUCCAUGAAAAACAUAAGUUGUAGCUACUUUUAAAAUUUGCUAUAAAAAGUAAAAAUAUACAACCCUAUUUAUUACAAUUAUAUAUAGGUUUAGCUAUAACUAUAAAGAUUUAUUUAUAUAAAUUGAAGAAUAUUAUCAUAAACAUUAUCAAAACAAGAAUUUUAUAAUGUAGCUGAAAAUAAAAGUAAAUUCAACAAUUUCAUUACUAUAAAUUAAAGAAUUUUUAUAAGCUUUUCAAUAAGAAGAGUUACGUAAUGUACCUACAAUUUUAUUUUGGGGAUUUCAAAAUAAUUUUAAAAUUACAUAUAAUAACGUUUUAUAAUUUUGAGAAUAGUCGCAAUAUAGAAUUAUUUAAGACACCAUCUUGUUGUACUUCAAAGAUACAUAGUCUUCUCUCAUCUCUCCUUUUGAGGUAUUCAACUGUACCUCAGUUCUAGUUUGUCAUUUUAUCUCUUAGUCCAUCAAUAUGACUAUUAAUAAUGGUAAAGUAUUUCAGCACCACGAAAAUUAAGACAAACUAAUUAUAUAUGCAAGUGUGUGUAUCUAUAGAAUUUCAAGGGCAACAAGUAUAUGUCUUAAGUAAUUCUUUUACUACUAAAAUUUUUAACAAAUUAAAAUAAAGAAAAAUGUAAUGCAAUCAAAGAAGUAAACAAAUGUGUAGACUUUUUUUUAACUUCAUAUAAGACAUGUAGACAUGAAUUUCAUAUUUCAAUAUAACAACAAAAACAUAUUCAGUGUAAUUUCACAAGGAAAGAUGUCAAAUCUCAAUAUCAAUUUUAAAACCCACGAGAACAUGCUAUUACCUUUACAAUAAGAAAAAUAUAUAUAAUCCAACAGGAUACUUAUAUUGUAAGACUUAUUCCAUCUACUUGGAGAAUUACAACUAGUAAAAUCUACCAAAAAAAAAAUAAUCAGCAAUACAACAUAAAAAUUUUAAAAUCAAAUUAAAAAUUGAGAAAAGAAAAGAAGGGGGGAGGGGGAGGGAGGAAAGGGGCCUGGGUGUUUGUUAAGUGGAAAGGGGCAAUAGAUUAUUUAAUUGGGUUUAAGGAAAUUUGGAGGAAAUUUUGGUCCUUUACUUUUUAUUUUUUGGGGGAGAUUUUGGAGUUUUUGACAUAAAUGGGUGUGUGUGGUGACUGAUAUUAGAAGGCCAAAUGACUUUUAAUAUCCUUAACCUAAUAGCAAUACGUAAUAUACUAUGACGUGCAUAUUUUUAUUUUAUUUUUAACAAAUCUAUUAGUACUACGAAUCUAUCGAAUAUAAUAAAGAAAAUUAUCUAUGAACAUAAUAAUAAAUAUAUACUUUAUUUUAAGUUAAUGGAGAACGCUAAUUAUUUAUAUUAAAAAAAAUAUUAUUCUAAAAUAUAUUCUUCCUUUUUCAACUUUAUAAGGCUAUGUUUUAUCUACUCUUCCAUUUUAAUAAAUUCUUAACGUAAUAGUGUGUAAAUUUAUGAUUAAUUCAAAUAAUAUUUUUUAGUUUGAAUUAAAAUACAAAAAUUAUACGAAUUCAAAUUAUUUUUUUCUACUUUUGAAGUAGGAGUAAGGUAUGUUCAUAUUCUACUCUCCUCAAACUUUACUUUGUGACUACAUUGGAUACCUUAUUAUUGUUAUUUUAUAUAAAUUAAAAUGAUUUAUAUGAAUUAAAAUGUCAAGUCUAAACUAGAAAAUUUUUAAAUACAAUAAAUUGUCAAUAUCAGAAAAUAUAUCUACUACAUUUAUAUAGCAAAAUGAAGAAGCAAAAAAAUAUUUGUAAUGAAGAAGGUCGAUUACCAUAAUAUUCAAGUCUAAAAAUUAUUUUAAGAUGAAAAUUUCAAAAAGAAAAUGUCAAUUCAAUUUCUUUUUUAUAGGAAUAACGUGAAUCAAAAGUCAUAGUAAAAUACUCUAAUAUGGUGGAAUCAUUUAUUUUAAUUUAAAUUUGAACAAGAAUAUGAAUUUUAAAUUACUUAUUUUAGUUUGAAUUGAAAAUAUAAAAUUAUAUGAAUUUUCAAAAUAAGUAGUAUGAAUUAAAAUGCCAAGUUUAAAAGAGAAAAAACAAAAAUAAAUAAAAAUUGUCAAUAUUGAAAAAUCUAUCUAAUUUCAUCUAUAUGUAAUAGGAGAUGAAAAAUAAUAUUGUGAUGGCAAGUGUAAUCAUCAAAAAAAUUCAAGUUUGAAAAUCAUUUUAUGAUAGAAUUUUUUUUUUUUUUGAAAAAAUGUCAAUUCAAUUUAUUUUUAUAUCAACAACAUGAAUUCAAAUUUAAACUAACGUGUCUCACUAUAUUAAACCAUGGUUCCAUAACACCCAAAUUAUCUCAAUUUGAAUUUAAAUAAAGAUAUGAAUUUUUAAAUGUACUUUUUUGGUCUGAAUUCAAAAUACAAAAAUUAUAUGAAUUAUAUAGAUCAAAAAGUUAUGUUUAGAAUAAAAUAUUCAAUAAUGAAAUAAAAUAGUCAAUACUAGAAAAUUUAAGAAAAGAAUUAAAAUGUAAUAUCCCUUUAUUUAUUGGUGUGUGUAUUAAUUAUACUGACUAAACAAUUGACUAAUCUAUUUCUAUUCUAGACUAGCUCAUAUUACAUAUUUUAUCGAAUAUGACAUGGUUUAGCAAAACCUCAAAUAAUAAAUAAAAAACUCAUUUGUAUAUUAUUCAUGAUAAAAAUACAGAUAAAGAAGGGAGAUAAAUAAUGUAAAGAUAAUAUAAUGCGAAUUAAUUUUCUAUAAAACAAAACAAAGUAAAUAUGUAUAAAUUUAAUAUAUUUAGAAGAGCCAUAUACCAUUUGCAAUUAUUAUGGCUCCUUAAUAAUGUUUGUGCAUCACAUAAAUUCAAAUAUACAGAUAUAUAUAAUAUAUAUAUAUAUAUAUAUAUAUAUAUAUAUAUAUACAUACAUACAAUUAUUGAAGUUUUUUUAAAUACUUUUUAAAAAGAAAGUUCUUACAUAUAAAAAAAAAAGAAUAUGCACUUAAUUUAAAACUAUAUAGUAUCAAGUAUACAUAACUUUCUUUACAACUUCUAAAACAAGUUUAAUUGUACAUUCCUUUUUAGAAAAAGUACAAUUAACAUUCAUAAAUAAUAUCUUGCAAUAAGAUAAAAUAUCAACUUGAUAUGUAUAAGAAGUUAGGUGAAGAUUGAGCUUAAAAGUAGGAGUAUUACCCUUUUUUGUAUUUUAAUUUUAUUAUAUAUAUAUAUGUUUAGAUUUUUAUAUUUUCUCUCUCUAUAUAUAAUAUCUAUUUAUUUAAAUUAUAUUGAAAAUUUAAAAGUAAGAUCAUAUAAAAUUGAAUCAAGUCAAAUGAUUAACAUCUCUAAUUAUACUAAAUUUUUAUAAGUAUUUUCUCAAUACAUCAUGUGCAAAUCAAACAAUAACUCUUAAAGUAUUUGGUCGGAAUAAAGUUUAAAUGAUACUUGUUGAAUUUUUUUUAAAAUUUGAUCUGAUCAGUUAAUUGAAAUAAACAUAAUCAAAUAAAUUAUAUUUAAGACUUACAAGCUGUAAAAUUAAAUUAAAUCAAACGAUAAUACCUUAAAUCAUGUUAAAGUGAUAAAUAUAUUAUUUGGGUGACCAAGUUCGAGCCAAGUAACAAUUCUGAAAGCAUUUGAUCAAAAUUAAGCUCCAGUAAGACUUGGUGAAAUUAUAUCUACAUUCAACGUAAUUAGUUAAUCAAAAUUAAUUAGAAGUCCCUAUUUAUUGAAAUUAUAUUUAAAAUUCACAAGUAAACUUAUAGUAUUGAAUUGAAUCGAAUGAUUAACAACUCUAAUUACACUAAAUUAAUAUUACUAUAACAAGUUUUAGCUCGUGGUAAAAGUUAAUUACUAGCUACAAAAUUUUAUAAUAAUAUUAAAUUUGUGGCUAGAUCAUUUCGUCAUGGUAAAUAAUUACUCUGCCCAUUUCAAAUAAGUGAUAUUUUAAUAUUUUUAAAAAAAUUCCUAAAUAAGUAGUGUUUUAGAUAAUCAAGAAGACUUUAAUAAUGCUCUUCCAAUUUUAUCAUUCUUUAAUUGAAUAGAAUUUUACAUAACUAAAAAACUAUUAAAGAGUUACAUCCUCUUCAAGGUAUUUAUAAAGAAUAAGUGCUUUCAAUUUUUUAGGAAUGAUUGAUUUCUCCAUAAACUUGGAAUUUCAGGCAUAUUACUCUUUCCUAAUUUCUAACUUGUUAAAAACAUAUAUUUUAAAGUGUUAUUUGUAUGGUAUUGAUGUUGGUUUUGAAACAUGGGUUGAGGGUUUUGAAUAACUGUUGUUUACGUGAUGUUUCAUGUUUGUCCUAGUAUGGGUUACAUUUAAAUGGUGGUUUUAAAAUAAAUUUGAUUCAUGGAUAUAGUAAAUAAAUUAAGGGAUUGUGAUUUCCCCAAACUUGGAAUUUUUAAAGUGGUUAUGACCUCAACCCUAUAUUGUGAAAUUAGUCUUUGAAUAUGAAGAGUAUGUAUAUUGAACUACUCUUGAACUAUUGUAUAAAGUAAAAAGUCAAUAAAGCAUAAUGGUUUUGAAAUCAAACCUUAUAGAGUUGUAUGAUUCCCCAAGCUAAUGUAUAAUUGAACUGGGAGGAGGGGGCUAUGAAUUCCUUAAUUUAUGAAAUUAUUUCGGCAUGUUGAUAUUACCUUGCAAGUGUAGUUGGUAUGAUGGUACCAACAAUGUAUGCCAAAAUGUGUAUCAUGAUUCAAUGAAUGAGAAUGUUGAUAAUUGUUUUAAUUAGGCUUUAGUGAGGGGUAUGUAGCUGAGUCGUGAAAGUAGAGGUCUCAAGGGACCAAUGCUAGAAACCAUGAUUGUCGACACAGGGGUUUAUAUGACCGGGUGGUUCGAGUACCUCUUAUUAUUAUCAUAUGAUUGGGAGGUUUGAGUCCUCUAUAUUAGAUUACAUGAUUUGGUGCUCAAGUUACCUUAAAUGCUGGGAGGUUCUAGUCCCCUAUAGUGCAUAUGUAUACCCUCUGGUUCGUGCGGCCAUACGCACUGAGUCCCUACCAGUUGGGGAAGAGAUGGACCCAUAUAGCUCGUGGGUGCCUUCUUAUUUUAUGACGAUUGAGCUACACAAUCAAAGCCAAAGUUUUAAACUGCAUGCUAAACUUUUUUCCCUAACCCAACACGUGAAGUAAAGUAGAUACAUGUAUUUGCAUAUGAUUAUGUGAAUAGGAUUUUGGAUUGGUGUAACACCCCGUACUUUUGGGCUAGAGUCUAGACCGUCGUUCCUAUGCGUAUAGAUCCGAACUAGAUAAUAUUUUAUUAAUAUAUGUGUGGUUAUCAAUCCUAUAGUGUGGGAAUAUCUUUGAAUAAGAAUUGAAGUUACAAAAAUCCCCUAACUCUAAGACGAGUUGAAAACAUUUCUAGCCAUUAAGUUUCAAUGGAUGUUUAAACUUGGGUCAACUUCUAUCGACCAUAACUCCUUGUAUAUAUCGAAUUAGAGGGCCUACUAUUUAUAAAAUGAAAGGUCUUUGAAGUAGCUUUCCAACGAUACCAAUUUUACCAAAAUUCAAUACCCGAGCAAUAUGUUACAACCAUUUUCGUGAGAGAGGCAGUAGAUGUGCGUGAUUAGAGUGCGACGCAUGCUCCGUCGUAUACACCUAAUUUUCAGGUUCUGUUUUUGCAUUUUUAAGGGCAAUUUAGACCUUUACCUCACCCAAGGUCUGUCUAUGACAUAAGAUUCACGCCCCAAAAGCAUAAUACACGAUAUAAUUCAGUUUUUCUCUCAAAAUAAAACCUUAACUCCUUCCCCAAAGAUCAAAAAACUCAUCCCUAAGAUCAAGAAUUCUAAGAAAAAGAUUAAGACCUAGGUUCCAUUUUUCUAACUACAAAAUCUAAAGUACGCCAGGUUUAUCCUAAACUACAUGGGCUUGUUAAAAACUUUCUAAUAUGAUUUAAAGGCUAUCAAGCAUGAAUUUAGAAAGGGGUUUUGGAACCCAUGAUUUUAAUUAUGCUUUCUGAAUGUUUUAGAGAUAUUAUUGUUUUGGCCUUUCGGUCUUUCCUCCCCCACCCCCUUAAAUUGAUUUACAUGUAUAUAUAUAUGUAUGAAAAAUUGAGAUUGAAGAUUGUUUGAGAGCACAAAUUAUGAAAUCCCCCUAUUGUGUUGAAUUAAAAUUUAUGAUCUUGUCGGAAAAGAGUUGAAAAACAUGUUUUAUGAUUCGAAAGUAGUUUUUCUCAAUGUCAUAGUAUUUGAACAUGAUUUAGAGAUGAUGAGUGAGUGUUUUCUUGAUAUAAUUACAUUUUGUGUUAAAGAGAAAGAAUUGUUUAUGAAUGAGAACUUUAACAUAACCACCUUGUAUUAUUGACAAGUUGAUCAAGAAAGUUGCUUGCAUGGUUUUACCUGAUUUAUAAGAGAGGAUUCUUUGAUUUAAUUUAUUAAUAUAGUGGUCCCAAACCUUAUGUUUUAAAAAAAAAGAUUUUAAUAUGUUAUUAAUGGCUUAAAGAUGCGACUUGCAAAUCAAUAGUAUGAUGAUACAAUAUAGAUGUAUGCCAUAACAGAGUUAAGUUUUUAGAGUUUGAUUUCAGAGAAUAUGUGUUUUAAAGAGUUAAAAAUGGGCCUAAAGAGGGCUAGGUGGUUACUCGAAGAAGGCAUGAGUCAAUCAACUCAUUGCCUAAAACCAUAUUUUGUCGACACGGGUAUAUUAUUAUUGUACACUGGCGACGGCCCUGUGGCUUAGUAGAGACAGAGAGUCUGACCCUUGCAGCAAACUUGGGUUGGGGGCUUGGCUACUGAGUUAACGGUAAAUUCUAUAUAGCCCAUGGAAUUUCAGAGUUAUAGGGUACCACCUAGCGCAAAAGUAAAACAAAGAGCACGUCACAGAGUUCAGAUGAUUUUAUAGAGUCUUAAAUAUGCCCAUGUGAUUCUUAACAUAUGGUAUAUUUAUGAACUAUUUUAAAUUUCUCUCAUAUAUGUUGAAUAAAAAUUAUUAUUUUGGAUUUGCUAUGUGUACCAGUACAACUGUAUUGACCCCCUGAGGCUUAAUCUACAGGUCCGGCUAAGUUGUAGAGAUUUCAGAGAGAACAGACUGUGAAGUGGUGAGCCUUCUUUACUCCAGAAGGCCUGUUUAUUCUAGACUAUGUUAUUUAUUUUAUUUUGGGUCUACUGGGGGCCUUGUCCUAGAUUUAGACAUUUGAAAUUUUAGCAUGUAAUAGAGAUUUCGCAGACUGGUUUAGAUAUUGUCUAGAGUUGUUGGAUUUUAAAUUUCUUAUUAUUAAAUUAAGUUUAGAGUAUGACCAUGAUUAUGUAUUAAGUUAUAUUCCCACAUCUUCCUUUAUUAUAUGAAUAUUGUGCAUGACUGUUGAUAGAGAAGGACGUUCGGGCCUUCAUGGUUCGGAAUGCUCUUUAUGGCUAGGGCCUUAGGUCGGGUCGUGACAAACUUAGUAUCAGAGCACGUUUCAUAGUCCUAGGGUGUCUGCGAAAUUGCAUCGGGUAGAUUUUUAUUUAUGAGUGUGUAGCGCGCCAUACUUAUAAGUAAGAGGGUACAAGGCAUUUAAGAAUGUCUCUCUUUCUUUAUGUUUUAAUUCGUGCUAUGGAGUCAGAAUAUUCCUCUUUCAUACUCUAGUUCGUGCUAUGGUAUCACCCAUACAAAAGUAAAGUUAUCCCAAUUCUUUCCUUACUCUGAUGUUCUCAGAUAUGUCUCAUUAUUGAGGUGAUUUAAGUGCAGAAGUCUAAAAUCAAAAUGGUAUUGUCCUUUUUGAUUGGGUCAUAAAAGAUUAUAACAUUGUACAAAGACUUGAGAAGAGACUGUUAGUUCUCUAAUAUGUAUUGAUUCUGAUGUAAACUUUGAUCCUAAUGAAAGCAUGCUUUUCAGCCUGAGGUAUUAAGCGCAUCUAGUCCCUUUUAAAAUUCUUGUUAUAGCUGUCAUGCAUAAGGGUAAUGAUGUGUAGUAGAUUGUUGGAACUAUAUUUCCACCCGAGUAGUAGUGCAUGUUAAAGUGUUAGGACCUAUUGGUAGUGUGAUGAUCUAGAAGUUGGUGAUAUAAAGUGACAAGGUUAGCAGUUAGAGUGAGGGUGAUUUUUAUUGUUUAGUUGUAUGAUCAUAGAUUGAGGAGUGGGUUACCAUUGUAUAGUGAUAGACUAAUAUGGUAUAAUGAUAGACUAAUGUGUAACAGUAUUUGUAGAUUGUACGGUUGUAUGUGAAGUAAGUGACUGGCUAUGAUUUUUUUAUUCAAAAUAGGGAAAGCCCCCAGAGUGGAUAGUUAUGGUGGUCACAGAAAUUCCUUAUAGGCUGUGAAUGAAAACGAUUAGAUUAGCCAACAAUUUAUAAGUAUAGACUCAUUGUUGUAUGUGAAAUUUGAAGGUAGUUUAAAGGUAUGCUUGGGUAAGUAAGUAUGAUGUGAGAAAGUAGAAUGCGUUGAUAAGAUCGUAUUAGGUUAUAAUAUAAGAUUAAGGUUGACCCUGUCUAUUAUGUGUCUUUACCCCCUUGAUCUCCUUUUCUUUAGUGGUUGUAAGCUAGUACUUCUUAUGAGAAGGUAUGUAGUGAAUUUUAAUGUUGUAAUAGUGAUAUCAUGGAGGGGUUGUGAUUGUAGGUAGUAGUUAAAGGAAAUGAGUAUUUUGAGUUUAUUUACCAAUUUGAUGGGCUGGUAUAAUAUGUUGCAUGCUUCACUGGUGGUACGUGAUUGUUGCUAGAUUAUAGGCCUGAACUUUAGAUGUAAAAUAUGGUGGUAAGAAUAGUAACUUAAGAUUAAUGAUGUAUAUUUAUGGGAAUGAAUUAGUAGGCUUGUUGUGAUUUGUGAAAGAGACUAGAUUGAUAAUUGAUGAAAAGUUUAACUGGUAAUUGUGAAGGUAUAUGUGUAUAUGAGGACUAGUGUUAAAAUGAUGAAUUGUGGGUGAGUCAUUAAGUGGAUAAGGGAGUAAGUAUAUUAGAAUGAGUUGCACCCCCUAGUAGUAUGACGUUAGGUAAGAUUUUAUGCUAUGAGUUAUGUGAUUAAUGGUCUAUUGUUGAAGGUUAAGUAGUGGAGAGUGGAUUUUUAUGUGAUAAGGAGUAGGGAUGUGUAUGUAUGCUCAUGAGACUGUGAGUUUUUGGUUGAUGAUAAUUGAGGAUAGCAAAACGUAAGAGUAGCAUUGUGGGAAAACAAUGCUUUUAGAGUAUACGUUAAGUAGUCAUAACACCCCAUAGUUUUCUCGACUUGAUGUAACUUAGUAGCAUGCUUAGAGGGAUGACAACUUGAAUCAUCCUUUUUUUCUAAGUGUUAAAGAAAAGGACUUAGUCACAUUUUGAGCUCCCAAUCUUUGAUGAUUUUAUUUUUGACCUUUCCGGCCUAAGUCGAUUUGUGAGUUGAUUUAUGAUUAGGGAAGUCAAUAGUACAUCCCAUGUGAGUUUUGGAAUUUUUGGACAAGUGUAAGGGCAUGUUUGGAGGUCCAAAAUAGUAGCUGCAUGCAAUUUGUACACCACGUACACUUCAGUCUACACCUAAGUAGCAUGUGAUGGAGCAUGCGUCAACGCCCCAUUCCGAGGUUCUACAGCGUGCAAUGCACGCUCUCCUUCAGGCUUCAGUUUUCAAUUACAUUUUUCCAGGGGAAUUUGGGGUCAAUUCCGCCCAUAUUAAUUUGUCCUAAACAUCGAAUUUGAGUAGCAAAGCAACACUUUAGCCCCAAAUUCACAUUCUCCCUAAAUUGAAAUCAUCUUCCCUUGCCAAGAAUAGAAAUCCUAACUCUUAAGUGUUUAGAAGUAUGGAUGUCCAUGCCUAUAAUGAUGUUAGUCAUAAGGGGAUGAUUUUGGGGUUAGAGGAAGUUAUGAUUAGUAUCCCUGAAGGGGGAUGUCCCAGAAGAAAUCUAGUGUCUUUUGUUAAAUUAUUGAGAGAAGUUUGUGUUCAUGUGUAUACCAAUAUUCCCUAUUGUAUUGAGAAUUGUGGUUACAGAUUGAUGAGAUGUUAUGUUCUCCAGUCUAGGAUUGUGACUUUGAUCUAAGGGGGAGAUGGUGAGUUAAGGUAGUUUCCAAAUUUUUUUUUUCUCAUUGUGGAAAAUUAGGGAGUUAUGAUAAACCCCUAUUCAAGUAUGUUCCUCCUACUUCAGUUUAAGAAUUCAUUCUACCAAUGUUUUAUGUAUUUGAGUCCUACCUAUGCCUAUGGUUUAAGCUCUCUAUGUAACUCAUGUAAUGUUUCGACCUCCAAACUAGAAGAAAUAAUAUCCCUCAGUGAUCCAACAUUCAAUCUAUUCAAACUCUAUGUUAUGUUGUUCGUGAUCCAUGAAAAUCUAUGUCUCUCAGCAUGUUCUCCUAAGAAAAUAUGUUUCUAUAUGUUGCAGAAUCAUUUUAUGCCAGAAUUAGCCAAAGUGUUAAAGUUUAUGCCAACUCAUGGAAAAAUUUUAGCUCUUUGAAUGAAGAGCAAUUACUUUAAGUGAAAUCCUUACCUUAGUUGCUAACGACAUAAAUUUUGGCUUUAUGCCAUAUAGCUCAUGAUAUGUUCAUCCAUGUUUCUUAUUUUGGUUUGUCUUAAGGAAACCAUAUGUGUUGUGUUCGUGCUGAACGACCUUUUACUUAUGAUCCAGACACUUGAUAUCGAAAGCACUUUCAUGUCUAUCCUCGAAUAGUGCAAUAAGUAUGAGUGAUGGUCGUAUAAUGUUACUUCUAUUCAUGAUAUUUAUGCUUGGGUCCCUUAAUGACCCUCCAUAUGUUAAUAUAAUGGUGGUUGUAGAGAUGUAGCAGUGUGUUAGGUAUGGGAGCAGAUAUUCUUGAAGGUGAGAAAUUUGACGUAAUUCUCGAGCUGAGGUUUUAGGUGAAAAGAAAAGAAGGAGAUGAACUUUUGUUGUGUGAAAUAGCUACGAAGGAGAUAUAUGGCGAAAAUAGUUUUGAGAGUGAUUGGAAUUGCUGGUCUUAGUAGGGAGAUCCAUGUAAUGAGGUCUAGUAAUGAUUAGGCUUGAGUGUUUUGAUUGGUGAAAACACAAACCUAUGUGCCAUAUGGUUAGUAUUCUUUGAAUUAAGACUUGAGAUUGUUAGAUUAUAGUGAUGAGGUGAGGUGAUUUCUUAAUGUGAUGCAGAGUGCAGGGUCUCGUAGUCUAAAUUAUCUCCUCUUUCCUUUGAGUUAGGCUCGAACAUAGAAGUAUUAUACAGAGGGACACAAAUUCUUGUAGUUAGAUGUGUUAUGGGAGAAUUAUAAGUUGGAAAUGAUGAAGUAUGUUGAUUAAUGUUGGGGUAUAGAUAAGUAGUGUUGCUAAGUUUAAGUUUUUUUGUUGUAUCUUGUAAGAUAAAGAAUGCUAACAUUCAUAUGUUCCAUGAGAAGCUUAUCUCAUAUCAUGUACCAAUCUUAAUCAGGCCGAGGACUCUUAGAAAAAGUUAUGUUUUACAAUGUUUUUAUCAUGUGCUAUAACACAUGCCAAGAUCAUGUAGAUGUUAAGUUUCGUUAUCUCAGGUUUCGUGCUUACCCAUUUCCCUGGGGGUUAUCAUAAAGAUCGUGUGAUGCCUUUGCAUAUUUUUGUUGAGAAAAAAUGUUCAUAUCAAUAUUACAUUAUUUAUUCUACACUUUUAUAGCUUCAAAGAGUACCUACCCAUCAUUCGGGGAUGAAUGAUCCCAAGGGGGAGAUAAUGUAACACCCUGCACUUUCGGGCUAGAAUCUAGACCGUCGUUCCUACGUGUAUAGACCUGAACUAGGUAAUUUAUUGUUAAUAUAUCUGUGGUUAUCAAUCCUAUAGUGUGGGAAUACCUUUGAAUAUGAAUUGAAGUCACAAAAAUCCCCUAACUCUAAGACGAGUUGAAAACAUUUCUAGCGAUUAAGUUUCAGUAGACGUUUAAACUUGGGUCAACUUCCAUUGACCAUAACUCCUUGUAUAUAUUGAAAUAGAGGGCCUACUAUAUAUAAAAUGAAAGGUCUUCGAAGUAUCUUUCCAAUGAUACCAAUUUCACCAAAAUUCAAUACUCGAGCAAAACGUUACAUUCAUUUUCGUAAGAGAGGCAGUAGCUGUGCGUGAUUAGCGUGCGACACACGCUCCAUUGCACACACCUAAUUUUCAGUUCUAUUUUCGUGUUUUAAGGGAAAUUUGGACCUUUACAUCACCCAAGGUCCAUCCAUAACAUAAGAUUCACACCCCAAAAGCAUAAUACAUGAUAUAAUUCAGUUUCCUCUCAAAACAAAACCCUAACUCCUUCCCCAAAGAUCAAGAAACUCAUCCCUAAGAUCAAAAAUUCCAAGAAAAUGAUCAAUACCUAGGUUCCAUUCUUCUAACUACAAAAUCUAAGGUACGUGAGGUUUAUCCUAAACUACAUGGGCUUGUUGAAAACUUUCUAAUAUGAUUUAAAGGUUAUCAAGAAUGAAUUUAGAAAGGAGUUUUGGAACCCAUGAUUUUAAUUAUGCUUUCUGAAUGUUUUAGUGAUAUUGUUGUUUUGGCCUUUCGGCCUUAACCCCCCCCCCCCAAAUUGAUUUACAUGUAUAUAUAUGUUUGAAAAAUUAAGAUUGAAGAUUGUUUGAGAGCACAACUUACGAAAUCCCUCUCUUGUGUUGAAUUAAAGUUUAUGAUUUUGUUGGAAAAGAGUUGAUAUACAUGUUUUAUGAUUCGAAAGUAGUUUUUAUCAAUGCCAUAGUAUUUAAAAAUAUUUUAGAGAUGAUGAAAGAGUAUUUUCUUGAUAUAAUUACGUUUUGUGUUAAAGAGAAAGAAUUGCUUGUGAACGAGAACUUUGACAUGACCACCUUGUAUUAUUGAAAAGUUGAUCAAGAAAGUUGCUUGCAUGGUUUUACCUGAUUUAUAAGAGAGGAUUCUUUGAUUUGAUUUAUUGAUAUGGUGGUCCCAAAACUUAUGUAUUGAAAAUAGAGAUUUUGCGACUUGCAAGUCAAUUGGUAUGACGAUACCAUAUAGAUGUAUGCCAUAACAGAGUUAGAGUUUUUAGAGUUUGAUUUCAGAGAAUACAUGUUUUAAAGAGUUUAAAAUGGGCCUAAAAAGGGUUAGGUGGUUACCCGAAGAAGCCACAAGUCAAUCGACUUAUUGCCUAAAAUCGUAUUUUGCCGACACAGGUAUAUUAUUAUUGUACGCCGGCGACAACCCUGUGAUGUAGUAGAGACAGAGACUCCGACCCUUGGGGCAAACUUGGGUUGGGGGCUUAGCUUCUGAGUUAAUAGAAGAUUCUAUAUAGCUCGUGGAAUUUCAGAGUUGAAGGGUAUACCACCUAGCUCAGAAGUAAAGCAAAGAGGAUGUCACAGUCUUUUAAACAUGCUCAUGUGAUUCUUAACAUAUGAUAUAUUUAUGAACUAUUUUAAAUUGCUCUCAUAUAUGUUGAAUAAAAAUUAUUAUUUUGAAUUUACUUUGCGUACCAGUACAACUGUAUUGACCCCCUAUCUCUUAGGGUCUGAAGCUCAAUCUAGAGGUCCGACUAAGCAGUAGAGAUUUUAGAGAGAAGAGACUGUGCAGUGGUGAGUCUUCUUUAUUUCAGAAGGCCUGUUUAUUCCAGACUAUGUGUAACAUCACGUAUUUUGCUUGUACUUGUUCUAAUUAUAUGGAACUUGUAGCCUUUUGAUAUAUAUAACGUAUGAGAAUUGUUAUGCAAGUAUUAAUGGUAUAGAUGGAAUUAUAGAUGCUGCCCAUACAGUUUAAUGUGAUGUGACUAAGUUAACAUUAAGAUAACUAUUUAAACUUGGAAUCGUAACCUAGUAUUUGAAUCUAAAGUUUAAAGUGACCAAGUAUGUAUAAGUUGAAGGUUAGAUUAAAGGGAUUAGGAGCUAAAAAUGGAGCAAAAUAUUGAGAUGCUUGCUUGACUUAUUUAAGCUAGUACGUGAGUCACCUACUUAAGUUAUUUGGACCAAAUUAAUGGACCCAUGCCUAUGGAUCAGAUUUGGGUCUAUGCUAAUAUACUCAUUUGGGUCAAAUUGAACAAAAGAGAAAGAAAAUGGAUAAGUGGCCCAACACACCAAUCUGCCAAGGCCCAAAUAUAAUUGAGCCCAACAAGAAAUUAAGCAAGUAGGUGCAUCACCUACUUUGAAGUUUCAGCAGCUUGGACCCUUAAGUAGGUGCAUCACCUACUUGGACCAAUUUGACCAAUUUUAUGGUGCAAAAUGCAGCUAAGGAGGUGGACAAGAUAGGGCCUUUAAAAGGCCAAGUUGCUAGUAAUUUUACUUCACUUUUAAGUCACAAAAAAGGAGUAUAUUUCAGCAAAUCUCUCUACUCUCUCUAAAACAAAAAGAACAGCAAUCUUAUUUUUCCUUCUAGGGUUCUGGAAGAAACCCUCACCUUUGAAGCCCAAGGUAAGUGAAAAACACUUAAGGUUUUGUUUAAUUAUCUCAUGGAAGAUUAGAAAAAUAAGUUAUAAGUGUUUGACUAUAAGUAUAUGGCUGAUUAUAGAACAAGCUGUUUGUUCACGUUUCCUUGUUAUUGAGGAACUUUUUUUCUUCUUCUUUGGUUUAAGUGUGAAGGAAAGUUCAAGGUCCUGAAGAGUUUAAUUAAAAGAAUAAGUUGCUGAAUUGAGGUAAGGUCACUGCUCCAUUUUGUUUUUCUUAUAUAUGAAUUUGAGAAGGGAUUAUGGAUGUCUUGUUAUUGAGAACUCAAGAGAUGAUGAGUUCAAUAAUUGAUUGCUACAAUAAAAGGGAUUUGGGACUGUUUUGUGGAUUAUUUUGUAUGUAUAUGUUAUGGGCUGCCAGGUUGAAGUUGGAUAAAGGUGUGAUGAGUUUGUAAUGAAUUAUAGAANNNNNNNNNNNNNNNNNNNNNNNNNNNNNNNNNNNNNNNNNNNNNNNNNNNNNNNNNNNNNNNNNNNNNNNNNNNNNNNNNNNNNNNNNNNNNNNNNNNNNNNNNNNNNNNNNNNNNNNNNNNNNNNNNNNNNNNNNNNNNNNNNNNNNNNNNNNNNNNNNNNNNNNNNNNNNNNNNNNNNNNNNNNNNNNNNNNNNNNNNNNNNNNNNNNNNNNNNNNNNNNNNNNNNNNNNNNNNNNNNNNNNNNNNNNNNNNNNNNNNNNNNNNNNNNNNNNNNNNNNNNNNNNNNNNNNNNNNNNNNNNNNNNCGGGUUAGUUUCGGAGUCAAAUAACCAGGUAUGUAAGGCAUACUCUAUUUUACACGCUUUGGCAUGAAAUCGUACAAUUGUUCCAUCAAGCAAGUUUCCGAGGUUAUCCUAUAACAAGUGCUACAUAAUGGCAGUAUAUUACACUCCAUGUAUCCAAUGACCUUGUUCCCACUGUCUAACGCAUUAGAACACCUCAAUGCAUGCUUAUUAUUAAAUUUGUGCGUCUAUCUUCACUGCAAAAUUUUAGGAGUUCUCUGUUUGUUCAAAUAAGACCCAUGUGUUAUUUCAGCUCCUAAACACUUUAUUUGUGUGCCAACAGCUCUCUACCUCAUUGUUGUUGCAUUAAGUGUCUAUUUACAUGUCUCUGAUUAGCGUAUUACUGGUUUAAGGUACCAUAAUGUGAUGACCACCAAAGUAACAAUCUCAAAGGCUAAAUAAACUAAAUAUUGCAAAUCUGUAAAAUGAUAAGUGGCAGCUCAGGAGAAUUUUCCUAGGAUGGGCCGAUCUCGAUACCUUUAUUCGUAGGUGGCAGCUCAGGGGCAUAGCAUGGGCCGAUCCCAAUCUUUAUAUGUAGGUGGCAGCUCAGGGGCGUAAGCCUAGCAUGGGCCGAUCCUAAUUUAUCUAUUUACCACUGAUCAACUGGUCAUUUGCAUUAUAUGGCUUAAAAAGAUUAUGAAGUAAGAAGGUAAAAUGAAGAAAAUAAUGUAACGUACAUUGUCCCACAAGUAUUUAUAAAGGUGGUCUACUAGUACUACUUAUACACUUGUAUCAGAUUUCUAUUGAGCUUUUGUAUCAAGUGUGUUUUUACCUUUGGCCUUACAUAUUCAAUACAUAUUUUCGUACUGACGUCCCUUACGAGGGACCUGCAUUUCAUGCUGCAGGCACAGGUACUUUAGCUUGCUCAUACAACUCACUAGUAGGAGCGUAGGCUUUUCAGGGGCUAUUGAUGAGCUCCAGGUUGAUUUGGGGCUUUCCGAGUCUGUUCCAUAUAUUUUGGUAUUGUACAGUAAGUCAAGAGUAGGGCGGGGGUUUGUCCUGACCCUAACUAAGUCUAUGUAUCUUUUAGAGGCUUUGUAGACUAAUGUAAAGUUAUGGUAGUGUUUGGUCUUUAGAUGUGGUGGCCCCAACGGUCAAGUAUUGUAUAAAUCAGUUUGUGUUUGCAUAUGUAAUUAUUCUCAUCGAUAGAUAAUAUCAUUUUUGUUAGAACCUUUAGUUGUUAUAGUUAUAUGCAUGGGAAAUACAAGUUUCUGAAUUGGUCUCUCGGGCCUUUACGGCUACGAGUUCCUAUCCGCCCUAAUAGGAUUUGAGGUAUGACACUAUUUUAUUUAUUUUAUUUUGGGUCUACUGGGGUUCUUGUCCCAGAUUCAGACAGUUGCCAUUUUAGCAUGUAAUAGAGAUUUUGCAGACUGGUUUAGAUAUUGUCUAAAGUUGUUGGAUUUUAAAUUUCUUAUCAUUAAAUUGAGUUUAGAGUAUGACCAUAAUUUUGUAUUAAGUUAUAUUUCUGUAUCUUCCUCUAUUGUAUGAAUAAUGUGUAUGACUAUCAGAUAGAGAAGGGUGUUCAGGACUUCAUGGUUCAGAAUGCUCAUCACGGCCAGGGCCUCAGUUUGGGUCAUGAAAAUUAGUUUUGAAUUAAUGUUCAUGGCAUUAUUUUAUCCCCUAUCCCGGAGUUACAUGCUAGUGCUCCAACCACAAACCAUCUUCGUAUGCUAUAUUCCCAAGCAAUGCAGGUAUGAGAGUGAUGUAAGCUCAACUAACUGCACUCCUUUGGAUCGGUGCUUUAAGGAUCACAUCUACGAAUCCAAGACUUGGUCAUUUUAGGGGAACAAAUACGUGUAUGUAUGAUAUCUUAGAGCGCAGGAGAAGCCAUACUUGAUGAUGUCAUCCAAGAGAGCAUGGAAGAGAGCAUGGGCGCCCAUUGAGCAACACCGCAUUUGGAUGAUAGCUUGGGCUUUGAGAGAGUAUGGGCACCUAUUUGCAUUGUUUUGGCUCUUGGGUCACUUUUGGGCCCAAGUUGCAUUUAGUGUCACUUUUGGUCCCAAGUUGUAAUAAAGGUCUUUUGACCUAAAAAUAGCUAGGACUCUCUUUCUUCUGGGACUUUGAUGAUUAAUGAUGAUUUAAGUUGAUGAAUGAUAUGUUGAUAUAUACUUACGAAUGUGUUUUUAUUGAAAAUUAUUGGGAGUUACUUUGGUUGUUUAUAAAGGUGGGUGCUUGGGAAUCGAUUUCCACUGUGUUCUCAUAAGAGGUUGGUGUUAUCGAUAAUUUAUAGAAAGGUCUAGGGUUUAGUAUACCCUUGGUUGUCCUCUCAUUAUUGAUUUAUGUCAAUCUAUCUAUCUUUUAAUUUAUUGUUCCAUUUCCUUGUUUCCUUGUUUUUGUAAUUUUAUAUUUAGUGGGUUUUCUUUGUUUUUGUGUCGUUUCCAUUUUCAUAUUUUUGUCUCGUAUCAUGGAGAUACCUCUACUUUUCCUGCACAGAUUUAGGAAGAAUAGCUUGGUUCAUCGGUUCGUUUUGGUAAAGUGGUGAGCUUCAUUCUCCGGAAGACUUAGACAUUUCAUCCGUUAUUAUCACAGAUUAGAAUAAAGAUUUUUCAUUAUCAUUAACAUUAUCAUUUUUAUUGUCAUUUAUUAGAUUUGGGGACAUAUCCCUACUAAGAUUGGUUUUUGAUUCUUUUGUUAGUAGGCAGUUAAAACCUUGAGGUUUGCACCACACAGUGAGGGACCUAGUCCUUCAAAGUUAGUUGGAGGCAAUAAAUCAGUAAAGCACUAAAAAAGGUAAAACUUUGCUAAAAGUAAAGGAACACACUGAUUUAACAUGGAAACCCCCUUACCUAAGGAAGGAAAGACCACGACUUGCCCUCACAUACUCUCAUAAAUCCACUAUAAUCAACCUCUUGGUUACAGACUUGAUUUUGAACCUAACUCUAGGUUCAUCCUGCUUGUACUAACUCUACCACAAGCCUAACUUGACAACUCUGCCAAAACUCUCUCAACGCUAAUUAACUUUAACCAUUAUCAAGCUUAGGUAACUCUACCUGAGAACUCUCAAAGUAAAAAGGAAUUACUCUUAUAGAAUAAGUAAUUCAAUUACAAACCACAAUUAAACUCAAGAACGUUUUCACUGUCAGUACAAAAGGACUAAGAACUAAGAUUGAGUUUUUGCCUUUUUCUCUCUUCACUCUUUAGAAUUUGCAAAAACUACCAAUUGAGAAACAUUCUUUGCUUUUUAUAGUUGAAACAUCCUGGGUUUUGACCCUUAGAAAAUUUCCUAGAAUUCCAUUCUCCAAACCUAACACGACUCAUAGGUACGAGCUGUAUGUUGGGGGUACGAGUGGUAUGGUCCUAUAGUAUGUUGACCUAGUUGGUGGGAUAUUUUUGGUCACUAAAAUGGGUACGACUUAGGGGUAUGAGUAGUAGGGAUUGGUAUGAGUCGUAUCAAGGACUUAUAUGGUGGUCAGUGUUUGAUCUUCCUGAUAUUUCAUUUUUCCAGGGAUAUAGGUCUUGAUACAUAUUGUAUGUGGUUGUUAUGACUUUGUUGAGUGAGUUGUAUACUAGACAAUAUUUGAUCCAAGGUUUGAGGCUUGGAUACGAGUGAUGGGUACCAAUCGUAUAAGAGGAUACGACUCAUAUGGGUCAGUCAUAUCCCUGUGAUGAGGGUUUUAAGGGAUUUAAGUGGGGACAUUCUAGAUAUUUGCUUACUUAUCCUAACUAGGACCCAUGAAUUCUAAUGCACUUAGGAGGUUAUUUACCCUAUUAUUCUAUUCAUUAACACUUAGAAACUAUUCCAAAAUAUCUCAUAAUUCUCUCAAGAGCUUUUGGGGCAAGAAGGCUAGGGUUUUAUCUUAAGGAUUGCUUUGGGGCUUGUCUUGGUGAAUUCUUUCCAUUAAUUCUUUGGUAUAAGGCAUUAUUCUCUUUCCUUAUUGUAAUUUCAACUAAAGGCAUGGUUUAUAUGAUUGAUUUCAUUGUUUUACUAUUUCAUAAUUAUGGUUUCCAACUAUUAUUUGGGGGUUUUGAUGUUAAAUUCUUGGUUAUGGUUUCUUAUGUUUUAAUUAUGCUUUUAUAUGCAUUAAUGGUGGUUUUGGACAAUUAGAUUUCAUGGUAAUGGUUUAAUGGUUUUUAGAUUUUGUUUUAGCUAUAUUAUGUGCCCAAGGUUUUUGAUAAAAUGAUUAUAAAGAUAUGUUUAUUACAUUGAAUUCUUUUAAUGGAAGUCUUGCAUGUUUUAAACUUGGUAAAGGAACUAUACAUGGUUUAAAUGGUUUGAAAAUGCUAAAGACUAAAUGAUUAUGCUUGUGGAGAACAUUAAAGUCUCCCAAGUGGUUUAAUAUGGUAUAUGGAAAAGGCACUUGAAAGUCCCCUUAAUCUAAAUUGUUUAAAUAUGGAUAUUAAUUACAAGUAAUGGGGUGGUAUAAUGUACUACUACUAUUGGCCUUGGUUAAUAAAAUGGUAAAUAGGUUGGUUGGUUAUUUGGAAAUGGUUUUAAUUGGGCAUUAAUGGCGGGGUGUGUAGCAAAGCCGUGGAAGUUGGUGGUCCUGGGAGAACCAAAACUGGAAACUCAUAUUUACCGAUAUGAGGAUUGGUCUUAGUGGACCGUGUGUAUGAUGUCACACUAUUAGGGGAUGUACUAGCCAUCCCAUGGGAUAAUUCCCUGGUUGUGUGGCUACACGCACUGGGGCCCUUUCAACAGGAGGAGCUAAACCCAUAUAGCCCAUGGGUGGUUUAGGACGGCCAAGCUACAUAACCCAGGUAAGGGUUUUUUAUACAUCCUAAACCCGAUUCCCUUUCUCGGUACUUAUAUAUAUGUAUGGUUUUAUGCAUUAUGGAUGAUUUUACUUGGUUUUAUAACUGAAAUUAUUUUAUCCUUAUCCUAAGAUUCAUGGUAGUAGUCACUCGCUAACCCCAUCUACUAGCGACUGUAUACCCAUGCUAUGUAGGAACUAACUACUCUAUUCCUUCUAUUUAGCAUACGGAUUUGGUAUCAACAUUUGGACUGAAGUAGUGAGCUUCCAUCCUUCUGAAAGGCAUCAUUUCAUGUUAUGGAUUUCUUUAGACACUUUUAUUUUACUUUAGAUUUUGGUUUUGGCCAUGGUUGGGGGCAUGUCCCAACCAGAUUUGUUUACUCUUUUGGACAGAGGCUUUGUGGUACUUUUGGGGGUUUGUAUGGUCCGGAUCAAUAUUGGUGUUUGCCUUGGCAUCUGUUUUGGUGUUGGGGCUUACACCCUUAGACAAUAUUGUUAGUUGUUCCAUCCUAUUAAAUGUUGGGAUUAAUCAUAUUAUGUUUUGGUAUUCUCUUUGGUUAUGGCCUAUGGUUUGGUUUGUUAUGGUUGGGGUACGGUUGGACUCGGUUAGGUCAGUCAUGGUUGUGACCCUAUCCAGAGUCUUAAUAAGAACAUUUAUGCUAUCUGUUAUAUGUUUGAAAUUCAACCCAUCUAAGGCUGGAUAUACGUAGCUGGGUUGGGUAAUAGCAGCAGUCCCGGGUCCUAGUUGGACUUGGGAUGCCCAUUAUGACAAGGCCUAGGGUCAAGUCAUGUCAAGUUAGUGUUAGAGCCUAGGUUCAUGGUCACUUGGGAGUCCACAAAGUUGUGUCGAGUAGAGUCUCUUUUAGGGGUGUGAAGCGUGCCGCAUUUAUAAGAGAGAGGCUAUAAGACAUUUUGGAAUGUUUACCUUUUUGGUAUUCUAUAUUCAAGAUUGAGUUCUCAAUCCUGGAAUCCUAUCUAAUCCUUGUUUGUUCAUCUUUCAGAUCAUGCAUCCUAGAUCUGGAACAUAAGGAAAUGUUUUUGUCCCAUCUGGGGAUAAUGUUGAAGGGGUACGUCCUACGUCUGGAGUACAUCUUCGAUCUCAUGGUCCUAUUCCUGAUGGUGCUAGAGUUUCUCUUAUUUUGGCUAGUUUUCCUCAGGUCCCUUCGAACGCAGAAUUUUAUUAGUUUAUUCACUUUAUUGCCCAAUUGAUUGCUGCUCAGGCUAAGCGAGGUACGACUGGUGCUUUGUCUGCAGAGGCCACAAAGGUUGGUCAAUUCAUGAAGAUAGGUCCUCCAACUUUUACUGGAGUAAAGGUGGAGGAGGAUCCAUAGGGCAUCUUGGAUAAGAUCGAAAAAAUCUUUUAGGUGAUGUAAGCUACUAAUUGAUACAAGCUUAAAGAGCACAAGGAUUACAGGUCUUGUAGAAGGUUUGAGCUUUGGAUUGUCAAAGGAUCAAGUCUCGAAUUUGCAAGUACUCGAAGACCUUUUGGAACCAUUACAAAGCCUUGUGCAAGUGAAGAAAGGAGGAGGGUCCUUACACUAAAGAGGCGCCUUUUACUAAGGGUAUGAUGGACUUUUUACACUCCAAAAUAACACUCCAUAGGAGCCCCUUUUAUAAGCCCCUCAUUAAUGACAUUUUUGUCAUUUGGUUGUAAUAAGUAUAAAUAGGCACCUUAGCUCUUAUUUUCCUUAGUUUUGAGAUAAUGAAUUGAGUGACUUUUUAGAUUGUAAUCUUAGUGUUAGAUUGUAGUCUUUCUCUUCUCCUUAAGAGAGGGAAAACUAAAACUUGACCCUUGAUACAUUUGAAAUUGGUUUUCACUUGUCUUGGGUAAUUUGGUAAAAAAGGUAUUCUUGAAGAAGUGUGAGUCCUUUGGGUCACCUAAGAGGAAGGUUUGAGAUUACAUUGGUGAUGUGUUUUUGAAGGUUUGAUACACCUUCUAGUUCUAUUCAUUGGUGGAAGUAAAGGUCUUUCUACUAUCUUUACAUUUUAUGCAAUCUUCUUCUUCAUCCCCUUUCUAGUGUGUUGUUUUCUCUUUGUGUGCUUGCUGAUUAGUGUCAAUUUCAUGUAUAGCCUUUCUUUAGGCUAUCAUUUGGUAUCAAAGCCUUGGUUGGGGUUGUUCCAACAUCCCUAAAUCUUGCUUUUAGUGUUCUUAUUUAGAAAAUCUCAACAAAAAAGAGUCAAAAAAUCAGAAAAUACAAAAAAAAAAAGUGUUGUCUUGUGUGUUUGUUGUAGAUCCGAAUUUUCCAAGUUGGAUCUACAAGUUGUUAUUGUGUUUUGAAGGUUUCUAGUGCUAUAUUCUUUCUCUCUAGCACAUAGGAAUUCUAGAUCUACUUUUAGAUUGAAGUUUGGUUGAUUUUGAGCUAGAACCUCCAUGAACAUGGUGUUUUUCAAGCUUUUGAGCUAAAAUCCAAAAUUGACCUUUCUAUUUACACGAGUUUUGUGGCUGAUUUUUAGAGGGUUGGGUUUGUUUUGGCCUAAGGAACCUAGAUCUGCAAAAAAAAAAAUUCAAAUUUGGAGUUCAUUUGCUAGGAGGUCAAACUUGGUCAACACUUGAAUAUUCAUAUUGUUCAUCCAUGAUCUUCAUAUCUUAGUGAAGAAGAAUAUUCAAAGGUAUGUUUUGAUCCUAAAGAGGGAAGAAAGAGAGUGAAAAAGUUGUUUGUCUAAACGCAUAUUCAAAGAAUAUUCUAUUCUUCCAAGAUGAGGAGGGGACAAGGGGACAAACAAAGUACAAGUGCAAUCACCGGGGGGGGGGGGCCAUUUUAUUCCAUUUUCAUUUGAGACUUAAAGGAACCCUAAAUUGCAUCCUUUCAGCCCCCCAAAUCCGAAACUCUCACUUCCAAGGGAUAGUGUUUGGGCCAAAACUAGGUUUUGAAAAAUAUUAAAAAUUCGAAAAGUGACAACCAACCACGUCAUCACUUGUGCUCAACCAAAAUUGACUCUAAAAUUAGGUUUCGUAGUUUCUAAUCUUUGAUUCUAGUUUCUUUUAAGCUAAUUCUAUCACUAAUUAGCAAACUAGUAAGUACCAACUAGGUUGGUAAUUAGUCUAGAGUUCGUUUAUUUUGUGUCUUCAGUUUUUUUUGUGUUCUUUUCUCGUUUAUAAGUCGUAGUAUUUUGUUGGUUCAAGUACGUGCAUCACUUUAUUUGAGUCGUUUUAAUCAAAUAUCAAUUCCAAUCCAAAGCUUCUCACCUCUCAAGUAACUUGCCAAGUAUUACCGAUUCUCCAACACUUGUGAAGCCAAGCAUGAGGUGAGGUUGAGUGUGAGUGAAGUGAGGCUUUUGAACUAACUUGUUUGAUCGUUUUGUAGCUUGUGUUGCUUGCUGUUUUUUGCUUUUUUUAGGUACAAUUGACCAUGGAAGCUGAGGAUUCUUUAUUCCAAUCCUUGGGAAAUGAUAUAAUGGGAGCCUUGAAGGCUCACUUUGAGGCCUUUGCUCGAAAAAUGAAGGAUAAUAAUGAUGCUUAUUUGACUUUAUAAAAGGUGAUUUAGGAUUCAUGAGGCGUGACAUAAUUAGAAUUAAAGCAGGGGUUGAUAGACUAUGUCCACCAAAACUUCCACAAAAUUCAAACUACCAAAUCUAAACCCAUCAUCAACCAAAUCUAAUGCCUCUUCUCCAUAAGUUAGAAUCCAAGAAGAAUGAGGUCAAGCCUCCAGAUGGAGAGAAAAUGGAUGGUGGGGUACAAGAAGAGUGUGAAAAAAAGAGGGUAAGGGAAAGGGAAGCCACGGGUAGUGAAAUUGGAAGGGAAAAAGAACACUUGAUCGUGGAUCUUGUCCACAAAGGACCCUUGAUAUUCACUAACCCAAAUACUAUCAUUUUCCCUAGUAUUUUCUCUUCUCAUGUGCAGGUUCAAGACCCUAGAAUCCCCAAGGAGAAGCCCAAGGAAUUCCCUUCAAGCCUUUGGCUGAAAGUCCCAAUUUUAGGACAAGUGAUGAAGGAGUGAGUCCAAAGGGAAAACUUGAACUAUUCCCUUGUAAUGUGGAGCAUUAAAGCUGACCUAACACAAAAUCAAGUGAAGAACACACUUCCCAUGAUCUACAAGGUAACAAAGUUAUCUUCUACACUCCUUGAACUUAAAAUGUUGUGAUGUGGCUAGUAGUGGCCAAAGUGGUGUAGUUUUGGAUUUUCUUAGUAAAGAGGUGUGUGAAUCUUCCUUUUGUGAUACUCUUGGUGUUGUUAGGUUGCAUAAGGACCAAACUUUUGUUGUGAGUAUGCAAGCACUAGUUGAUCCUUUAGAUGACAAAAUCAAUUCUUUUCAUAAGAAUGAUUUGUGUCUAUCUAGUGCUAGCACUUAUAACUUGAAUAAGGUUCCAUUACCAAGGGACAAGAGUAUUCACACACUAGUGGGCUGCCCUAGUACAAACCAAGGUAACUUGGGUACAUUCUACACUCCUUUGAGUUUAAAAAGUUUUGAUGUGAUUUCGGGUACAUCUAGUGUAUAAGUACAUGCUUCCUUCUAUGAUAAUGCUUUGGGUAAGUGUGAUACCCUAGUAAAUGGAAUGAUUAGCCUUGGCUUAUUCUCUUGGCCACUUCACCCAUUUGAUCCCGGUGUAUUAGCAGGGUUGGGAAAGGAUUGUUUUGGCUUGAGCUUAUUGUCCCUUGAUAUUUACCUUAGACCUAUCCUUUAAGAUGCAUAUACUAAAUGUUUCAUGGAUAAAAUAAGGGAUUUAUGGUUGUAUUUUAAAAGUGUACCCCCUCGGUAUGAUGUCUUCACACUUGAUUCCUUCUUAUACUACCUCAUUACCUAUGAUGAUAACCAUGCUAAUUUUGAAUGUAUAUUGUGUAGAGGUAGGAAGUUUGGUGGUUGGUUUCCUUGUUUGAAUUAUAUUGAUAUGUGGGUGAGGUGGACCUUGAGAUCAUAGAGGCACCAUAUUUGACGAGGCCUUUUGUAGAGGUAAUGAAACAAAUAUAUCUUACAGUUCCUAAACCAAAGGUAGUCUUACCUAUUGGGUAUAGUAAAACCAUUAAGACUAUUGUAGUUUCCUUAUAUCUUGAUAUUUGACAAAACCACCUCCUUUGUGCAAUUCAUGCUAAGCUUUUCAUGUCACAUACAAAGGACCCGUGGAUGUAUUUCAAAUGUGAACAACCUUGGCUUGUUGACAUAUGUGAUAAUUUUGGGUUGCACUCUUCGUUCUUGCUGGUGUACAUUCCUAUCAAACCCGAUAUCAUUUUGGAUCGGCGAUUUAUCUUCUUCUUUUAUCUCCUUCCCUAAACACAAGUCUAACCUUAAUCCAAUUUUAAGAAAAGCAAACAAAUUUUGGGAUUUUGAGGAAACGAUUAUUCCUUAUCUUGACUGAGCUGGUUAUAAAAAAAAAUAUGUUCAGGAGAAAUUGUUCUCUUAUACAUUCACUAUAUACUACGCUCUCUGCUUCAAUAGAAGGGUAUGUUUUUAUGGUAGAAUCUUCUCCAGUAUACGCAUAGCUUACAAAUUCUGAUUCUUGUACCCCAAUUUUUCUCAAUCAAGAUUCAAGUAAGAGACCUCUUUGGCUUUUCUUGGUUGUGGAAUUGUUGGUUGAGCUGAAUAUUUGAGUUAACGAACAAUAAGAAGAAGAAGAUAAGCACCAUCAUCAUCAUCUCAAAGAAGAAGAAUGCAAAGCGCGUGGAAAUUCGAUGACAGGAAUACUAUUUUGGCGAUACUAUUUUAGCAAUCAAUUUCUACCGCAAAUUGCCAGAAUCCAGUUACUCAACCAAGUAUAAGGACAUAACCCAGCUUUGAUCAGGUGCACUCGAUCCAUCUUUUCUAGUUGUGUAUAACUUUCUUGAUUUUUAGGGGCUGCUAUUGGUAGUAUUCUGCACUAUUUAUGUUGUGAUUCCUGUUUCAUAAUGUCUUGGCUGAUUAUUUGGUUAUGGGUGUCGAAUUUCUUGUUGAUUGGUUACUUUGUAAUAGUGUUAUAUGUGUGAAUCUCUUUAUUGUUCUUAGUAGUUUUGGAGUGUGUUACCUUGUCUGAUUACUGUUACUUGAUUUACUAGCAUAUCCAUUAAGUGUGGUAGUAUUAGUUCCCACUAUUGACUAUUGUGUACCAAAAUUUGGGUAUCCCCCUUUGUUAUCUUUCUUUCCUUUUUUAUUUCUUCCCUUUAUUGCAUAGUGGCUGUGAUUGGCGAGGGUAGACUAGUGGCAUGUCAUAGGUCGAGGUCGGGAUCAGGAAUUGUUGGGUCUGGGCUGGGGUUUGGGGGUUGUGUUUGGGUUGGGUCUAGGAUCAAGUUUGGGGUCAGGGGCUAGGGGUAGUAAAGUUAGGUGGGAUAAGAGAGAUUCUAGGUUGCGAGUUGGGUCUUGGAACAUUGGUACUUUGUAGGGUAAUUCUAUAGAGCUAGUGAAGAUUCUUAGAAAGAGGAGGGUUAGUGUAGCGUGUGUCCAGGAAACUAAAUGGGUAGGCACUAAAGCGAGAGAUGUGGAUGGAUAUAAGUUAUGGUACUCGGGUAGCGUGAGACAUAGAAAUGGGGUAGGUAUCUUAGUAGAUAAAGAUCUUAGGGAUCAGGUGGUAGAGGUAAAGAGAGUUAGUGAUAGACUGAUGUCUAUUAAGUUAGUUAUGGGAGGGUCUACGGUGAACGUUAUUAGUGCCUAUGCCCCGCAAGUAGGUUUGGAUGAAGAGGAGAAGAAGGAAUUCUGAGAGGUUUUAGAUGAGGUAGUUAGGAGUAUCUCGAGCACUGAGAAACUUUUCAUGGGAAGAAAUAUCAAUGGGCAUAUUUGGUCUUUGUCGAGAAGGUAUGAUGAUGUGCAUGGCAGUUUUGGUUUUGGUGGGCGGAAUGAAGGAGGAACUUCUUUGAUGGAUUUUUCUGGGGCUUUUGGGUUGUGGAUAGAAAAUUUGAGCUUUCCGAAGAAGGAGGAUCACCUUAUUACAUUUCAUAGUUCAGUGGCCAAGACUCAAAUAGACUUUUUGCUUCGUAGAAAAGGGGAUAGAGCGCUAUGUAAAGGCUGUAAAGUAAUACCUAGCGAGAAUCUCUCGACUCAACAUAGGUUAUUGGUCAUGGACUUGGUUAUUAAUAAGGGUAAAAAGAAGAGAAGUAGGGAUGCGCAACCCAGGAUUAAGUGGGGGAGUCUAACUUUGGCUAGUGCUUUGGAGAUGAAAAAGAAGUUGAAGAGUAGGGGGGUUUGGGAGAGUAGAGGGGGGUGGAUAAUAUGUGGGAGACGACUUUUAGUUGCAUUAGGGAGACCACUAUAGAGGUGUUGGGUGUCUCAAGAGGUCGAUCUGGCAAACAUCGAGCAGGCUGGUGGUGGAACAAAGAGAUUAAGAGAAAGGUAGAGUCUAAGAAGGUUGGCUUAUGCUAAGUUGGUUUGGAUCAAGGAUGAUGAGAAAAGAUAGAAGAAUAAGGAUGAGUAUAAGGUUGAUAGAAGAGAGGCUAAGUUAGCGGUUACGGCGGCUAAGACAACAGCUUUUGAGAGUUUGUAUGCAGCUUUAGAGGAGAAAGACGGAGAUAAAAGGUUAUAUAGGAUGGCCAAGGCCAGGGAGUAGAGGGAUGUGACCUUGACCAAGUGAAUUUCAUCAAAGGAGAGAAUGGUAUAGUGUUGGUUGAGGAUGCCCUCAUUAGGGAGAGGUGGCAUUCCUAUUUUCAUAAACUUUUGAAAGAUAAGGGGGAUAAAGGUUCUAUGUUGGGAGACUUGGAGAUAUCUGAGAAAGGUAGAGAUUAUAGUUACUGUAGGCAUAUCGAGGUUGAGGAGUUCAAUGGAGCUAUUCACAGGAUGUGGUGGGGUAGGGUGAUGGGGCCAGACGAGAUUCUAAUAGACUUUUGAAAGAGCACUAGCGGCGCAGGUCUGGAGUGGUUGACAAGGCUAUUUAACAUUAUUUUUAGAGCUGCUUAAGAUGCCUGAAGUAUGGAGGUAGAGCACGAUGAUUCCAGUAAAUAAGAAUAAGGGAGACAUUCAGAGUUGUAACAACUAUAGAGGUAUUAAGUUGUUAAGUCAUACUAUGAAGGUUUGGGAAAGGAUGGUAAAGUUGAGGAUGAGGAGGAUCGUGAUGAUCUCUAAAAUUAGUUCGGUUUUAUUCCUGGUCGCUCGACCACUGAGGCCAUUCACCUUAUGAGGAGAUUAGUGGAGCAGUUUCAAAAGAGGAAGAAGGACUUGCACAUGGUGUUUAUUAAUCUAGAGAAAGCAUAUAAUAGAGUUCCCAGGGAGAUUCUGUGGAGGUUCUUGGAGGCUAGCGGGGUUCCUUUAGCAUACAUUAGGUCGAUUCAAGAUAUGUAUGAUGGUAUGAAGACUCGUGUGAGGAUGAUAGGUGGAGAUUUGGAGCACUUCAUAGUUUUGAUAGGGUUGCACCAGGGAUCGACUCUUAGCCCGUUUCUAUUUGCCUUGGUGAUAGAUGUUUUGACGCGACAUAUUUAAGGGGAGGUGCCUUGGUGUAUGUUUUUUGUAGAUGAUGUGUUUCUGAUCGACGAGACUCAGGGUGGAGUUAAUGAUAAGUUGGAGGUUUGGAGACAGAUGCUUGAAUCUAAAGAUUUUUGGUUAAGUAGAAUAAAGAUGGAGUAUUUGGAGUGUAAGUUCAAUAAUAUGUCGCAAGAAGAUGGAGUGGUUAUGAAGCUAGACUCCCAGGCUAUCCAAAAGAGAGAGAGGUAGAUCGAAAAAAUAUUGAAGGAAGGUGAUUAGACAUGAUAUAGAGCAAUUAUAGCUUACAGGGGACAUGACCCUUGAUAGGAAGGUGUGGAGGAUGCGGAUUAGGGUAGAGGGUUAGGGGGUGGGAGCGUGGUGGUAGUAAUAUGGGAGUGCUCCUUUGGGUCUGGAGUUUCUGGUUUGUAGUAUUGGGGCUGUAGUUUUUGGGGUUAGUGGUGUUGGCUUUUUUGCAUCCCGUAUAGUUUAUUAUGCACUUAUCUUUUGUGUUUAUUAUACUUUUAGUUUGUUUUGUGUACCAUUCUAGUUUGUAUCUGCUUACUUUUUGUAUUUGUUAUACUGUUAUUGGUCUUAAGCUGGGGGUCUAUCGAAAACAACCUCUCUACUUCUAUUGAGGUAGUGAUAUGGAAGAUGUCAGUAAAGGAAUAUGCUUUGAAGUUCCAUCAGCUAUAAAGGUAUGCUCCUGACUUGGUAUCUAAUAUGUGGUCGAGAAUGAGGAAAUUCGCUUCUCGAUUGAAUAGAGAUUUGAUUCUGGAGAACAAGGAUGAGUAGGCUCUCUGAAGCCUAGCAUUGGUAGCUCCCUGCUUCUUUUGGUCCUCUCUAUACUUCUCAUACUCAGAUCGAAACACAUAUGAGUGGUGAGUGGUGGAGGGAUCUCCUGGCCCCUGGGGUAAACCUGACACAAACUCCCUAAUAGCAGUAUAAUCAACCCUAAUAUCCUCAAGAGGCCCAGUGGUAGAUAGCAUACAAGUCUCAGGCUGCUCACAUGUCAAAUUUUCCAAGUUGAUCUUCCAUUUUUUUCUUUUACCUGGUGUGCUCUCACCUCGAAUUUUUAGAGGAUAGAUGGGGGUGCAAAGUACACCCAAGUGUCUCCAGGGUAUUCCUGAACCCUGACUCUCUUGCAAAAUUUAGUAAUCAAAUAGGGAAAGGAGAGAUGCAUACCACCCUGGUUCAUGAAUAAUUUCAUGUCAGAAACCAUGAGCUGACCAACAUUCAGAGGAAUGCCAUCUAGAAUACAAGAAACCAUCUGAGCCUCCAAAUCUGGGACUGCUAUCAUGUGGGUGCAAGGGGAGACUUGGCUAUAUAUGAUGUUCAACCAAAUCUGAGCCUCGCUAGUGAAGUUAUUCAUGGAUAUGUUUCUCUUAGUUUCCACCCAAGAGACUUUCUUUCGAGGGAAAAGUCUUUCUGCCAACCAACUUCCCGACUCAUACUAUUUUUCUUUAAACUCACCCAUAUUUACAUUUGGGAGCCCGUAGAUAUUGUUGAUUUGCUCUUCCCCAAAUUCAACCUCUUUCCCCUGGAUUCUGAUAAUCAUGUUGGAUGGGUCCAAAAAAGAAACAAUGCUAAGGUUAGUGUAAAACUCACAGACCCAUUACUCAUUGGCCUUGCAAGGAUCUGGGGCAAAGCACUACCACCCCAUGGACACAAGGCUUUUAUGAAAUGCUAGAGCUUUUCUGGGAUUAGCUUUGUCCUCGGAAGAUCACCUUAGUAGAGGGUGUGGCACUUGGGUGCCAUCAAUCUGUAACAACCCCUAUUUUUGAACUAGGAUUCAAACCAUUAUUAUUAGGUAUACAGUCCAAAACCCAAUGAUUAUCUAUCUAUACAUGUGUGAUGAUCAGUUCUAUAGAAUUAAAAUGUCCUUUUUUUUUUCAGUCGAGGUCAUAAAAAUCUCCUAGCUCAAAGACGAGUUGAGAACACUCCCAUCGAUUAAGUUUUUGUAAACAUUUCAGCUUGGGUCAAACUUAGAUGACUAUUACUCCUUGUAAAUAAUGAAUUAUGUAUCCUACUAUAUAUCAAAUGAAAUGUCUUUGAAUCUUUUUUCCAACGCAUUUUGUUUCACCUUAAUCCGAUAUCGGAGCAAAAAGUUAUACUCAUUUUACUUCAGCAUGUUUGUCUGUCAACAAAGUGACGACUUGAGUUGCUAGGCCAUCACCUAAGUGAUGACCUAUCAGCUCAAGUCAUCAACCAAGACCAGUAACUCAUAAAUUCAGUUUCCAAGUGACGACCUGAGUUAAUAGGCCAUCACCUAAGUGAUGACCUAUCAGCCCAAGUCAUCACCCACGACCAGUAACUCAUGAAAUCAACUUCUGAGUGACGACUUGGUGUGAUAGGCCAUCACUUGGUUGAUGACUUAUCAACCAAGGUCGUCACUCUUAAAAUUCAGCAAUUUCCAUUCAGAUUUGGAGGGGUAUUUUGGCCUUUUCCCUCACCUCCCACGACUUAAAUCAUCAAAAACACGUGUUUGACCAUCAUAAACAAGUUUUAAAACUACUCUUAAUCCUUUCCAUUCCCAAGAACAAGAAAAUUAGUGUUUCCUCAACUCCCAAGAACAAGAUUCAAGCUCUUCUUCAAGAAAACCAAGAAAUUAUAAUUUUUAAUACAAGAACGUUCAAGAAACGUCAAUUCUCUUUCAAGAUCAAGCCUUAAGGUAUGUUAGGUGUUCAUCCAUGGGUCCCUUACCAUCCAUGGAGUCUAAGAACCCUUUUAAACUUAUAAGUUUUCAGAUUCAUGAUUUACAUGUUGAAUUUGAUUGUAUUCAUGUUUAUGAUGUUGUUUGGGUUUCAAUCCAUGAUUAAUUACAAGUUUCAUGAAAUUAAAAUAGCAUGUGUAAUGAAUUAUGUGAUACUCUUAUUGAAUCUAUAAAUUUACAAGUUGAAUGUUGUAGCCAUGAUAUUUAUAUAUAGUUAUUAUUAUGUGUAAUAAUCAUGCCCCCAAGUGUUUGUUAGAACGUUUAUGUGAAUUGAAUAGUGCAAUCAUGACCUGAUAGCAUGUGUUCCCAUUCAUGUACAAGUUCAUGCCUCUCAAGUGUUUGACAAAAUAUCUAAAUGAAUGCAUUGUGAACAAGUAACUAAUGUUAUGCUUUCAUGAUUGUGCCAUGUUUACUAUCUAUGCUAUCGAGUCCUGGGGGUAUUUAAUACCCAAAAUCUAGCUGUUUAUAUAGAAUUACAGUAGCUACAGAAUAGUCUUAAUAAUGUAACAAAAAGUAGUACUCAGUCAGUUACAGAACCAAGUAAAACUCAGUGCAGUUCAGUUCAGUUUAACAAUCAGUGUCAUUCAGUUGGGAGUAGGAUUCAGCACCAAGCGAACCCAAGGAUAGGGGAUCACCUAUCAGUCGAGGGUGUAGACCAUAGUAGAAGUCCUUGCAUUCCAGAACUAUGUAACCAGCAUAGGUUGAGAUAUCAACCUGACAGUUAAAGGUUGAUAACGUGUUUACCUACUAGUUGAGGGUAAUACCGCUCUCAUCAAGGAAACUACCAGUAGAGGGUGACACUUAGUCCUUCGGGACAACAUUUCAGUGGAUCCACACAGCCAAUAUCUGUACCCGUGGCACGGUACUGGUACCUUUCUAACUGGGGUUACAGGCUGGACCCCAAUCAGUUCAGAGAGGGGCAUGUAGGUUAGAUGAUUACCUCCUAUAUUUUUAGUUUCAGUCUCAGUAUAAAACUCAGUUAAGUUCUACAAAAUUAGGACUGUCAGACAUAGUCACCCAGUUAUCAGUACUUCAGUUAUAAAAAAUCUCAGAUAUCAGUUUCUUAGUUAUCCAAAAUCAGUACUCUAUUUUAGUAUAAAUCUUAGAUACAGUAUAUAUGUGUAUGCACAAUAUGGCAUAAUCAGUGUUUACAGUAGCUUCAAUUUUCCAUGUACUCUCAUUCAGUCAUAUUCAUAUCAUUCAGUUAGUUAUUGUUCAUGCAUAUAAACCCAUGUAUGUCAGUCUACCUCACUUAACAUACCAGUACAUUUUAAGUACUGACACAUACUCUUUAUUUUAUGCUAUGAUGUCUUAUAUCAUAGGUUCAGACGCAUGGGCUCCUAACCGUACUUAGCAACUCAAGAUAUCAGUAGCAAUUAUAGUGGUGAGUCCUCAUAUUUUAAGGAAAAAGUUAUUCAUUUCAGUAUUUCCAGUAGUUCAGUAUGUUCAGUAGUUGGAGUUAGUUGGGGACUUAUCCCAUCAGCUCCAUAUUCAGACAGUUAGAGGCUUUUGGACUAGACUAUUUCAGACAGAUGUUUAGUUUUUCAGUAUUAUUAUUAACAUUCAGUAUUUAAUUUUAAGAUUAUGAACCUUAUGACAUCUCCAGCCUAAUUUUCGCAUAUGUUUUCAGUAUUAAUGUUAUUCAGUGCUCACAGCAGGUACCAGUCAUGGGUUAGCUUGUGGUCCUUUGAGAUUAUAAGCACCGUGUGACGUCUAGGGUGUAGACUCAGGGUGUAACAGAAUUGGACUUGGUCGUUGUCCCCUAUGAUAUGAUCCUGAAAAAUGAAAGACACCACAACAACAUCAAUCAUUGAUCUUUAAAUGCACAAAGUAUGCUCUGUUGUCCAAUAAAUCUCAUGGGGUGGGUACUUGGUGGUGUUUGGACAAAAAUUUAAAGUGCAAAAUUUUUUGCCCUGGCAGAAAAUCAGCCUCGGUUACCCCAAUCGCCAGCCAAAUAGCCGUGAUCAUGGUCCCAAUGGCCACAAUCACGGUAUCUUAAACCAGUUUCAAACCAAUUUUCCAAUGUACAAAAAUUCAAGUUUAAGCCCAAAGUAUUUCUAUAGCAGGAAUCUACACUAAAACCGCUGGACAAACUUCUAGGUACUCGAUUAUGCCCUUAAAAUGUAAAAACCAUUAGCGAAUACUCAUUUGGGAAAUUUAUCAAGCACUUGGUGUGCACUCUUCAUUUUUCUCAAUUUCACGCACAUUGUGGGUACUCAUGACUUCCCCACUUAUGUGCAUACCAUAUUCUAGCAUCUAAACACCACACAAGUAUAAUUGACUAAAUUUUUUAGCAUAAAAAUCAUAAUUUCAGGCCUUCUCUAUAACAUGUAUUCUAUGGCCUGUUCUCAACAAUUAAAGCAUGGAUUCGAGGAACCUACUGGAUAAAUAAUAUAAGAGGGAUGCAAGGAUGUUGUUAGAUUGCUCAAAAUUAGCAAGAAAUAGGUCUAAUUAGAGAAUAGAGUUGAGAAGGAAGUGUGGCGGAAUGGGGAUUUGGAUGGUCAUAUAACUGAUGUGACCGUGAUCGCGGACACUAUCCCGCUAUCACGGUAACUUGGGGCAUUUUUGCACCCCUGUUUUCCCCUAUUUAGGUUAAUUCAUAUUUGGACAAAUUUUCCCCUAUUCAGUCAUCAUGCAAAAAUUUCACACUUUCCCCUUUUCAAGCUCAUCUAACACACUUUAUAGCACCAGAAAUGCAUGGGUUAUUCAAUUGAUAAAACUAAAAUCUACACUACAAAAAUAAAAAUAAAGGAUAUGAGCCACUUUUGUGGUAUUUAUGGGUUGCCUCCCACAUAGCACCUUAGUUAACAUCAUGGAACGACGUCUUUCUUCUUUCUCAAGUUGGGUCCUCAAGGGCCCUCUUAUUCAUCUCCUCGACUUCAACAUCAAUCAUCGAUAUCACUUGAAGUUCCAUGGGUUGUUUCUUUGUCUUGCACACCCAAAACGAGACCUCAUCCUUAUGAACUCUAAACCUCAUGUCACCUAACUCUAAGUAAACAAUGGAUCUUCCGGUGGAUAAGAAAAGUUGACCAAGAAUGAUGGACACCUUUUGGUCUAUUUCACAAUCUAGAACAACAAAGUCUGCCAGAAGUAUGAAUUAUCCAGUUGGACUAAAAUAACAAACAUGACCCCGACCGGUCUUUUGAUGGACCGAUCCUCUAUUAAAAGUCUCAAAGAUGUUAGGGUCAGCAUGUCUAAUCUAAGAUUUUUAUAAAUGAAAAAAGGCAUGAGGUUUAUAGUCACACUGAGAUCGUAUAGAGCUUUAGAAAACAUAAGCUUUCCAAUGGUGCAAGGAUGGUAAAAGCACCAAGGUUUUCCUUUUUCUCUGCAAUUGUGGUACUUAUGAUAUUACUACAACCAUGGGUGACUUCGAUGGUGUCACCUUCAAUGAGCUUCUUUUUUGACAUCAACUUCUUCAUGAGCUUAGUAUAUCCCAGGCUCUCUUGAAUCGCUUCAAGCAAUGGGAUAUUUAUCGAGAGCUUUCUAAGCUUAGCCAUAAAUUUGUUGAGUUUAUCACCCUCCUUUUUUCUUUGAAUUCUGUGAGAACAUAAGGGAGAGACUUGUAUUAUAGGAAUCACAUCACUUUGUGGUUUCUCACUCUCAACCACCUCUUCAUCAACUUCCACCAAUUUCUUUGCAUCAUCUCUCUCUUCUUGAGAUUUUGGAGGUCCUUAUUUUGACUUAAUCUUAGGCACCUUUUCACCCAAAUCUUUUUACAAGUGAUCAACAAGGUUUUUCCCACUCCUAGUGACUAUUUCAAAAACAUAAGCAUCAUUCUUCGGGUUUAUAAUAGUGUCACUAGGAAGACCACCCUUUGGCCUAGCAUUUAUUUGAGUGGAAAUUUGCCCGAUUUGAGUUUCUAAUUAUUUGAUGGAAGCGGAGUGGGACACCACGGUUUAAUUACGCUGUAAAAAAUCUCCUUUUAGCUCAUGAACCCUCUUGGCCAUACCUUCCACUCUCAUCAAUAUUCUCACUAAGACAUCUUUGGUUUUGUAUUUGUCGGGGUCGAAGGAGCUUGGGUUUUUGUUUUUUACCCAAUCAUGAUGGGGCACAUAGCGCUCAUAGUCAUGCUCUUUAUCUCUCCAAUCCCUAUCAUGAUCAUGAUCACGAUCCGUCCAACCUUGAUUCCCUCUUUGCCUUUGAAUAGGGGUGAGGAACCCUCGAAUAAUUUGCCAAGUACCAAAUCUCCUCAUCGAUCUUUUUAGUUUCCUCAUCAUGCUCAUAAGCUUUUGAUACCACGAAAUUCACCAUUUUUACAGGUGCACCCAUCACAUGUUUUGUCAAAAGCUCUAAUUGAGUCAUCAUCUUCGCUAUAUUCCCCUCUCUUUCUUUAUCUCAUUUUCUUUGUUCUUUGUCAACAAAGGAUGUAGUGGGAGAACUUUUAGGCACCUCGGCAUCUCGGGUAUUCCAUACCCGAUUUUGUUUGGUAACUUCCUCAAGAAAAUUCAUAGCCGCAUAAUAAUGAAACUUCACAAGAGAGCCUCCCGCCACGUUGUCCACCACAGUUUUAUUAAGUGGAUGAAGGGCCCGGUAGAAGAUUCAGAGAAAAAUCUUCUUUGAGACAUUGUGGUUUGGACAUUGCGUUAGUUUUUCGUUGAAUCAUUCCCACACUUCAUAAAAGGGUUCUACAUUCAAUUUCCCAAAGUUAAUGAUCUCAUCCCUCAAUUGAAGCAUUUUGGAAGGUGGGAAAUACCGGUCAAGGAAGGCCACAGAGAGUUCAUCCCAGGAAGUAAUUGAAUUGGCCGGAAGAGAAUGGAGCCACAAUACCGCCUCACCCAUUAGAGAGAAAGGGAAAAGCCAUAGACUAAUAGACUUUUGGGUUAUGUGUUCAACAUCACAUAAUGCACAUACCUCUACAAAAUUCUUCAAAUGAAGGUUGGGAUCCUUAUAAGCAUGCCCCCUAAGAAAUCCCUUCAUUUGCAGCAUGUGCAACAUGACUCUUGUGACAUGAAAGACACCGUUCCCAUGAGUAAAAGAGAUAUAAAUGGCACUUGAACAACCAAUGUCAUUGAGUUUUCCCUUAUCAUCAAGAGAACCAUUGAAACACCCAACGUGACUAGCAUUGUUACUCACUGUUCCGUGUACACUACGAUCACCUAUACAAAAGUAAAAAUAACUAAAAUAAAUAAAAACCACUACUGGUAUAUCCUAAGUAAAAAUCAACACCACAUAAGUGAAAUCUAGAUUUCACUUCCCAACAACAACGCCAUUUUUGAUAACGCUCAACUCAAAUGUCAAAUUAAGUGCAAAACGAUCAUUGUCAGUAUAUUACCUAACUUUGAGUCAGGGUCGAAUCAAUGAGAAACAAUAUGAGUGGAGCUCAGGUGAGUUUAAAAUGUUUCAAAGAUAUGAAUACUUUUCGACUUUAAAAAUAUUAACUUGAGGCUACAGAUAAUUAGAGCAUAAUCAAUUAGGAACGGAUCUUGGGGUUAUGUUUUACUAGGGGCAACUAGUAUGUGGGUACAUGAAAAUCAACUUCAAAUUUUAGUACAUGCAUGGGUAGGCUAGUUAAGGAUUUAGAUACUAACCUUUCGACCAAGUACCAAACUAUCACCCUCAGAUUCUUUUGAGUACCUCAUAGGUAUGGUCAACCAAUCAUCAUAGAGCCUCAAUUUGACAUCCUUAUUUCAAGGAUGAUGCCCAAGAUAUAGCAAUUCCAUAAUUUAUCCUUAUUUCUAAGACAACAAAAAGGGAAUAACUUUUAUCUAUUUUAUUGUUCAAAAAUGCUCAUGUCACCUUCAUUCCUCUUUCAAGGAUAAUGUAGGAUCUACAUUACCCACAACCCUCUUUCAAGGAUGAUGUGGGGAUUUAGGAAAUUUAAGUUUUUUACCAACAAAUUCCAUUUUACAAUUAAGCAUUUGUAAAACCCCACAACAUGAACUUACAAUUGAUGCUAACAAUCACAACCCGCACACUUUUGCACCCCAUUCAAACAUAACCUAAGAGGGAAAACUAGUAACUCAUAAGAAUAAUGAACAAAGCUAUACAAAAGCCUCCUUUAAAUUGAUUCAUAAAAGAUAAAAAGAAUGCAAAUUCAACCUUUAAAUAUCAACAAAUAUUCAAUGGAGUUUGCUAAUCCUCCACUUAGGAGUUACUCUAAUGUAGUCUUGACCCAAAAUUAGUACAAUGAUGUUCCCUUCAAAAUGGAAACUAGAUUGUGGAAGAGAGUCCUCAAAAUUCAUAUCCCCCCUCCCCCAGAGAUAGGGAUUAAGCUUCUUAAGGGAAUUUAGGGAUAGUUGUAAGCAUUUAUAUCUCUUCCGCUGGGCUAUAUUCUCUCUAGGUCGUUAUCACAGGAUCUUGUCCACAAUCGCGGCUACUGUGACCACAGUUAGAAUCUCGCGAUCGAGCUACUUUGACCUAUCUUGAUUGACUGCGAUCGCGGUAACUGAGACUUAUUUCUUCUUUAGGUUUUUCCAGCUACACUUAUUUUCUCUUUUUGAUUCUUUUUAGCUUAAAUCCACAUCUUUCCAUCUCAUGACCUGUAUGCCUUUAAAAUAUGGAAAUUAAUGCAUUUAAUCACAAAUUUGUCUCACUUAUACAUUCAAAUAAUGGUAAUGUACAUGAAUGUUGAGUGCAAAUGAGUGGUAAAUUAACUACUCAUCAUCUGCUUAAGUGGAUCCUAAGUGGAUGGAGAGCAGAUGGAAAGCAGAUCCAUAGUAGAUAUAAAGAAGAUGCAAAGUAGAUGGGCUUUUCUCUUCCACAUUUGACCUCUUAUUGACUUGAAUGGAUUGAUCAUCACCCCUUUCAACUUUUACCUGCACAAACAAACAUUAAGUAUGAGAUUAACAUCAAGUCAAUGGGAAGUCAUGAUAAAUUAAGCUUAAAAGGUGCUAGCAAGUCAUUAAAUUGAUGACUUAUCAACCUCCUAAACUUAAACUAAUGCUUUUCCUCAAGCAACAAAUUCAAUGAGAUAGGGUAUUUAACUUAAAUCCAUAAAAAAUAAGCUAUACUAAAGGACUAAGCAAACAAAGCUCUAAAAAGACUUUCCAAGCAUGUCAUGGCAAUAAGUAAACCAAGUUUUUUUUUCAAUAGGCACAUAUUUAUGAAACAAGGAUGCAAGUUUGUAUUAAGUGAACCUUUCAAAUCAACAAACAAUCUUAAGAGGUGACAAAAAAUCUCCAAAUAAUAUCUCAAUCUUUACAAUGCAACUUACCUUAUCCAUUUACCAAAACGAUAGUUAGACUUCACCUUCUACUCUAAAGUAUUGAUAUCGCUCAUACGAAAGAGUUGGAUCCACGCAUACAAGAAUUUCCAUUUUUAAAGGAGCUCAAAUAAUGAAAUAAUUUGCACUCACUCCCGCGAAGAAAUUCAAGUAAAAAGAGUAGAACUAUAGACUUGCCCUUUGUGUUUUUUGCCACUAAUGUAGACUUACCUAGUUUGGAAUCACCAAGGUCUUGUGGGUCUAGAUGAAUGUUUAAGGUGCAGGAAGAUAUAUAUGGAUCAAGUAAUUAAAAGACCUCUUUCAACAUAUUCUCUCAUCCCCUUCUACCCUAAAUUUUUUAAUGUAUCUACCCUUUUUACCUUUAAAUCAAUUCUUUUGUUUCCCUUAACCUUUAGCUUAGAAAAUAUCAAACAAAACCAACACUCCAUUUUAUUUCUUCACUUUUGUAAUGCCUCGACACUACCCCUGGACAUCAUAUGGUUCUUAGGACCAUAAGUGAUUCAAAGCUAACCCUUGUACUGGCAUAAAUCGUGAGCAACUGAAUAAGAUACUUAAAUAUUGAAGAAAUAAGAAGAAGAAAAGUCUUUGGAUGAACAUCUUCAAAACAAAACUAUUAAAAUAAUUACAACUCUAGUUAUACAAAACAAAAUAGAAAUAAAAUACAUCAACUUUACUAACUGUCUAUGAAGCCUCUACUAGUAUUGUCUAGGUAAGCAGGAAAAGACCCCUAGCUAUCCCGAAUUAAUAUGACCGAAUAAAAAAAUAUUAUGCUACUUGAACUAUGAUUGAAUCAAGCCCUCAAACCAAAAGGACUAAUCACCUGCUGACUGGAAGCUACCAACUGUCUGAUUAUGAUGUGCACGCUAUAAUUUGCACCUACAUUGUAAGACAACGUAGCACAUAGACAUAUCUGUGGAUCAAUACUUAUGGAAUGUACUGAGUAUGUGGAGGGUGAAUGCAUAAGUAAAACAAUAGCUUAAUAUAUUCAUAGAUUUUCAAAUAAUGUAUGCUAAGUGUAAUUGAUGCACUAUCAAGUCCACAAUAGAAGAAUCCAGCAACAACAACAAGAUGAACAAGCUAACACAAGAACUACAAGAUGAGCAACAAGGCGCUAGUGAAUCGAAAUAAGCCACACCCGGCUUCACUAGACUUCAAAAUUACAAUGACAACAAGAUGAAAGAUUACAAAGAGUACAAUGUUAACAACAAGAACAACAAAUGGCAGGAACUAUAGUGAAUUGAAAUUAGCCCCACACGGCUUCACUAAGUUACUGUAAUAGUUUCAAGAGUACAAAAAUGAAAGAUAGUAACUUGAAACAAAGAUAUCCUAGAAUCUAUGAACCCUAAAUUGAAGAAAGGACCCUAAGACCCAAAGAUUUCAGCACCAAGUUCUUACUUAGACCAAGAGGAACUCAUGAACCUCAAGACCUCAAAUUUUUAGCCACGAAACAACACAAGUGUAACUGCACUUUUUUGGAAAGAUUUCAAGUUCUACUCUCAAGAACAAGAGAGAGAGAAAUGUUCAAUGUUACAAGACUUGUUGUUGUGAAAUAUGAAGUAUGAACUAAGUUCUAAAAAUAACCCUACUAGCAUCUAUUUAUAUUACACACAAAAUAAAGGACAAAUGAUCCUCCUACCCUUCAGUUAUGGGGCGCCCUUGGAGUGUAAUUUAUUAUACUUCAACGCUCCUCUUCACACUUAAAAACAUUUAAGAUCUUUGGCGGAUCAAGUACCAAUUCACACACGGCCAUUUGCAUGAACAUGGCUUAUAGUUUUUGUAACUCCCGAGCUUGGCUUGGUGUGAAUGGUCGAGAACGUAUUGGACAGCUUUGUACACCCUUAUCAUCCUCUCCAUCUUGAGAGGAAUUUGACCUUAAAUUCAGCAUUUGGUCAUCCUCAACCACAUCCACUAGAGAAAGAUCACACACGUUGAAAGUGUUGUGCACUUGGUAUUCCGGGGGAAGGUCAAUCUUGUAGGCAUUAUCAUUGAUCCGUUCAAGUACUUGGAAUGGUCCAUCGCCUCUUGGCAUUAAUUUGGAUUUUCUUUGAGAUGGAAACCUAACCUUCCUAAGGUGAACCCACACCCAAUCUCCCGGUUCAAGAAUGAGUUUCUUUCUUCCCUUGUUGACUCUCUUUGUAAUGUCUUGCUUUUUCUUCUCAAGUCGAAGCUGCACCUUCUUAUGUAACUUCUUCAUCGAAUCUUCCCACUUGCUUCCAUCUAAGCUAAUCAUAACAUCACUAGGCAAGGGAGUUAAACCCAAAGGGGUAAGAGGGUUGAGGCCAUAUACGCACUCAAAGGGAGUCAUUCCCAUACUUGAGUGUAUGACACGGUUAUAUGCAAACUCAAUCAAUGGUAGGUGUUCCUCCCAAGAAGUCAAUUUUUAUUUAACUAUGGAAGGUAGCAUAACACCCAAAGUCCUAUUUACUACUUCUGUUUGGCCAUCGAUUUAUGGGUGGCAAGAUGUGGAGAAUAAUAACUUGGUUCCAAGCCUACCCCACAUGGAUAUCCAAAAGUAACUUAGGAACUUAGAGUCUCUAUCACUCACAAUGGUCCUCUGAACACCAUGCAGCUUGACAACAUUAUCACUAAACAACUAGGCCACACUAGGUGCAUCAUCAUAUUUAAAACAUGGAAUAACGUAUGCCAUCUUAGAAAACCAAUCAACCACAAAAAAGAUACUAUCCCGACCUCGUCUAAUCCUUGGCAACCCUAACACAAAAUCCAUGGAUAUGUCAAGACAAGGGCGUAAAGGAGUGGGCAGCGGGGUGUACAACCCGUGAGGUAGGAGCUGGGAUUUGGCUCCUUUGCAAUCUGCACAUUGGCCACAAAUCUUGGCCACAUCCUUGUGCAUCUUUAGCCAAUAGAAUUGCUCCUCCAAUAUUCCAAGGGUCUUUUCGAUCCUAAAGAGAUCCAUUAGAUUGCCAUUGUGUGCUUCCCUCAUAAACAACUCUCUCCAAGAACUGGAGCAUACACACAAUCGUCUACCUUUAAACAAGUAUCCAUCAAACUUUGCAUAGGAAUUUACACCCCUAGUCGAAUCCCACUUGUUCCUACCUAUUUAUUCGCAUUCCCUAUAGAUAGGAGCAAAGUGAGGUUCCUUGGGAUAUAAUUCUUUCAAACUCUCAAAACCCAUCAAUUUUAAAGAUAAUAUUGACACAAGAACGUGUUUUCUAGAUAGAGCAUCGGCUACUACAUUGUCCUUACCCUUUUUGUAUUGAAUAAUAUAAGGGAAGGUUUCAAGAAACUCAAACCAUUUGGGAUGCCAUUUGUUAAGCUUGUCUUGUGCCCGAAGAUGCUUCAAGGAUUCAUGGUCCAUUCGUAUCACAAACUCCUUCGGCCACAAAUAGUGCUGCCAAGUGGCCAAGGCUCGAAUCAAGGCAUACAACUCUAGAUCAUACGUGGAUUAGUUUACAGUUUCUCCUUUGAGAUUUUCACUAAAAUAAGUAAUGAGUUUUAAAUCUUGUAUCAAAACAGCCCAUAUGCCAACUUUACUAGCAUCGCACUCAACUUCGAAUGUCUUAUCAAAAUUGGGCAAUUGUAAUAAAGGGGCAAAAAUGAGCAUAGCUUUCAAGGUUUCAAAAGCCUUAGCUUUCUCUUUACCCCACUUGAAGGGUUGGUCUUUUCGAAUGACCACGGUCAAGGGUCCAACUAUGGUGCUAAAUUCUUUGACAAACCUUCUAUAAAAACUAGCCAACCCGUGGAAGCUUCUUACUUCGCUAAUGGUUUAUGGGGUUGGCUAAUUUUUGAUAGCAUCUAUAUUGGACUCAUCCCCUUUGACCCCUCUUGAACCAAAAAUAAAACCCAAGAAAACAACUUCAUUAAGACCAAAAGAGUACUUUUCUAGAUUUGCAUACAACCUUUCCUUUCUAAGGACAUCAAACACAUUGUAAAUGCUUCACAUGCUCAUCUAUUGACUUACUAUAGAUCAAGACAUCAUCAAAGUAUAUAACAACAAACUUUCCAAUAAAUGGCUUCAUCACAUGAUUCAUUAGCCUCAUGAAAGUACUUGGAUCAUUUGUUAGUCCAAAUGGCAUAACCAUCCAUUCAUAGAGACAAAAUUUGGUCUUGAAGGCAACUUUCCAUUCAUCAUUGGGUUGCAUUCUUAUUUGGUGAUAGCCACUCCUUAAAUCAAUCUUGGAAAAUAAACACAAACCAUUCAAUUCAUCAUGCAUAUCAUCUAACCUAGGGAUAGGGUGACAAUAUUUUAUCGUAAUCUUAUUAAUGGCUCGGAAGUCCACACAUAUACGCUAUGUUCCAUCUUUCUUAGGCACUAGUAAUACCGGAACCACAUACGAACUCAUGCUCUCUUUGAUAUACCCUUUGUUGAGGAGUUCCUCAACUUGACGUUGCAAUUCUUUGGUGUCUGUAGGGUUGCUUCUUUAAGUCGGCUUGUUUGGUAAUUGUGAGCCCGGCACAAAGUCAAUUUGAUGCUUAAUUCCCCGAAUGAUACAAGCACAAUCAUGAAGAUAAAUAUUUUUGAGUAUUUUGAAUGUAACCUCAGAGGUGUACGAGUUGAAGUGUUAAAAAUGGAUCCAAAUUGCCCAUAACACACUCCAUGGGUGUGUAUUUGCCUACUUGGUCAUUAAAGGGCCUUUUUGUCAUUUUAUCUUUUUAUUUGUAAAGUACUAUAAAUAGAAUAAUAUACGGUUUUAGUUUAUUAGUUUUUGUUGGAUAUUGUUAAAAGAACACAUCUCUUGAGAGAGAGGGUCUCUAGGCCUAAACUAGGAUAUGAACAAGUGUGGAUUCACCUGUGAUUGUGUAUUACUUGGAAACGUUGGUGCUUGAGAGGUGGAAUCCCUCUUGUGUCACGUAAGAGUGUGGUGUUGCUAUUGUAAGUCUUAGGGGUCCUUAGAUUUAAUACAUCUUUGGAUUCUUAACCUUGUAAUAGUGUAUGUCUCACUUCCUAUCUUUACAUAUCAUGUACUAGUUGUGUAGUCUAGUGAACCAUUUGGUUCUUGUUAUUCUUGUAAUCUUGUAACCAUUGAUUAUUGUCAUUGUAGUGUUGUUCCUCUAGUUAUUGUUGUUUAUCUCUUGUUGUUGUUAGUGUUUUUGGUGUCAUUUGUGAAAGAUGAGAGUACUCUUAAGGGUAAGGAAUUAUGUAGUCUUGGAAGUUACUCCUUCUACUUUGUGUGAGUUUAUUGUUGAGACUACUCAUGGUGAUAAUUGGGAAACUAGUAGUGAGUACACACAUGAGGUCACCUUAGUAGAAGUUUACUUGAGUGAUACUUUUCUCUAUUCUCUAUUUUAUUUCAAUGAUAUGUAUGCUAGUAUAGAGAGUAUGUCAUUUAGUUUGGGUGGAGACCACGAGAAAAGGGAGUGCUGUCUAGACCCGUGUCUAUGGCCACUUUUCCUAUUUGACCCCGGUGCCAAAUAUAGAAAUGGUGAUAUUGGUGCACCCAACUUGUUGCUUGGUCUACAUGACACGCAAAGUGUCACUCUUGGUGAAUCUCAUAACCAAAUCCUUUGUACAUCUUUCAUUGAGUUUUUAAUAUUUCAUUCAAAGGAUCCUUGGUUAUAUUGCAAAUAUAUGCAACCUUGGCAUGUUGAGAUGAUUUGUUGUUCUAACCUAACCCUUAUGCCAUGAAGAGUUUGUAUUUGUUUGUCCUCUCUUCGAUUUUGCAAGAUUUGGAUUCGAGGUCAAAUCUUUUUUAAAAAGGAGAGGAUGAUACGGGACAAAUGGCCAUCUUAUCUUUUAAUAACAUCUUUAGAGGCCAACAUAUAGAGGCUCAAGACUUGGUCACCUCAAGGAUAUGAGAAUAUGUAUGGAUUAGGUAAUUCUUUUCAUACGGCUUAAACUGUCUAGAGGCAUAGGCUAUAACCUCACCUCUGUGCAUUAACACACAACUCAAACCAACUCUAAAGGCAUCACAAUACACUACAAAAUCAUCCAUACCAUCAGGCAAUGUCAACACGGGGGCUGAAGUGAGUCGAGUCUUCAACUCCUGAAAACUCUUCUCAUAGGAAUCCGACCAAAGGAACUUAACGUUCUUUUGGUUCAAUGGGGUUAUGGGAUACGCAAUAGAUAAGAAACCUUCAAGAAAAUGGUGGUAAUAGCCAGCUAGACCCAAUAAACUUCUAAUGUCUGAUGGAGAGAUAAGUCUAGGCCAGUUUCUUACAACUUAUGUCUUUUAGGGAUCAACUCUAAUGCCUUCAUCUGAAAUAAUAUAACCAAUAAAAGCUACUGACAUUAGGCAAAAUUCACACUUUCUAAAUUUGGUAAACAACUGAUGAUCUUUAAGAGUUUGCAAGACAAUUCUAAGAUGAUCCGCAUGGUCAUUCUCAAUAUGAGAGUAAAAAAGGAUAUCAUCUAUGAACACUAUGACAAACAUAUCAAUAUUUUGCUUGAACACUCAAUUCAUGGGGUCCAGGAAAGCCGCUGGAGCAUUGGUUAGCCCAAAAGACAUAACUAGAAACUCAAAAUGACCAUAACAGGUUUAGAAGGCUGUCUUUAUGAUAUCACACUCCUUUACUUUAACCUGAUGAUAGACGACUCUUAGGUCUAUCUUUGAUAAAUAACUUGCACCUUGUAACUGAUCAAAUAGGUCAUUAAUUCUGGGAAGAGGGCACUUAUUCUUGACUGUGACCUUAUUAAGCUGACGAUAGUCUAUGCACAUAUGCAAAGAACCAUCUUUCUUUCACACGAAUAGGAUAGGUGCGCCCCAAGGAGAGUCACUGGGCCUUAUAAAACCUUUAUCUAGAAGAUCUUUGAGUUGCUCUUUCAACUCCUUAAGUUCUAUGGGUGCCAUAUGGUAUGGAGGAAUAGAAAUAAGCUAUGUAUCGGGAAGAAGGUCAAUCUCAAAGUCUAUCUCUCUGUCAGGAGGGACACCUGGGAGAUCUUCUGUAAAAACGUUCGGUAACUCAUUAACUAUACUGACUGACUGGAUAGUUGGAGCCUCAGGCUUAGUAUCUUUAACUCUAACUAGAUAAUAGAUGCAACCUUUGGAUAUUAGCUUUUUGUAUUUGAGAUAGGAUAUAAAAUGACUUUUGGUAGAUGCUGAACUCUCGAACCCUCGAAAACUAGCUCAUCAAGUGAUACGAGAAUAAUGGCCACCUUAGCUUUCGCCGACAUCAUUCAAAGUUACUAUGUGAAAAAUCAAGGUUUGGUCGCAUGGAAGGCACAUGAUUAUACUUGGAGGGGACGUUUUGAGCCUACCAUUGAUCAAACUUGAGUGUGGAAGAUUGCUUGGAAAAUUGAAGACUUAAGGACUCUCGGGUUUGGACCACCUUUGUUGGUUCACGGUUUUGGUUCCCUUUAUUAAGGGCAUUUUUGUCACUUAUCUUUGUCCAAGUGACGCUCCAUGACCAUUCCUUCUCAUUAAGGGCAUUGGAGUCAUUUUGUGUUAAUUUUGUAAUAGAUUACAGAUAGGUUCCUUUAUUCUUAUUUUCAUUAGUUUAUAAAAGAUGAAAGAUUGAAACAUUAAAAAUUCUCUCUCUUGAGAGUAGAAAACUUAGUCUUAGUUUAAGGCUGGAAAAGCUAAUAUUGUUCCUUGCUUGGAAACGGUGGAUCUUGAGGUGAGUUGAUUCCCUUGGUGGUGACCAUACAAGUGUGGUUUUGAUUAUUACAUUCAUUAGGGGUUAAUGUUGAAAUAUACUUGGUUCUUAAUCUUGUAAUAAUCUUGGUCUCACUAUCUAUCCUUUACUUUCUUGCAAAUCGUGUAUGUGUUGUGUAGUGGACUGUUUUGGGCCCUUCAUUGAAUCCAAAACUUGUAUUAUUGUUGUUCAUCUUGUUCAUCACAUUUUGUAGCUGUUUUGGUGUUAAAAUACAAUCUUGUAUCAUGUAUUCUUGUUGAUAGCGAAUCCGAGAGUGGUCUCCAUCUUGGUCCUCGGAUCCUUAAGAUUGGGGACUAAUUUGGAGUGUGUUUUAUCCCUUCCGUUGUCUUUCUCGUAUCAUUUGUUAUCAAAGCACGACUUGAUUUUGUUCCCACAAGAUCAAUCUUGGGCUUGCUUGCUUCAAAAUUCAAAAAAAAAAAAUUGAAAUCUGAAAAUUUUAGAAAAAGAACAAUUUGUCCAUUUUGUGUUCUUGGCCAAAAAUUGUGUUUUUUGUUGUGUCUUGGCCAAGAUUUUUACUUUUCUUUGUUGUCUCUAAGUGUUAGUUUUGUUCCUCUCUAACACAUUGAGUCUACAUCUUGAUUUGUGCUUGUAUUUUGAUAUUGUUGUUGUGAACAUAAGCUUGGCCCCUUGUUGUUGAACAUUGUUGUGGUAGACGUUGUUGUUGAGAAACUUGAUUGGCCGUGUGUUUGGUUGUUGUUUUUGAAAGGAGUGUUGUUGUUAUUGUUCUUGGUGAAUGUUUUUGUUGUUCUUGAAGUUCUUCACAACCUUCAUCUCUUGUUAAAACCAAAGACACAACACUACAGAGACUUGGCCAUUUGUUGUUGUGGAUUGGAGUUGGCCAUUGAAUUGUUGUUGUUCUUGAAGAUUGUUGUUAUUAUUCUUGGUGUGGUUGUUUGUUGUUCUUUAAGUUCUUCACCUUCCUUCAUAAAGUGAAUGAUAGAUCCUAAAAGGUGAAGGAAAGAGGUGUAAGUAAUUAUUAGUCUUGAAAGAGCACAACCACCAAAAAACCUUACAUCACUUCUAAACCACUUUCCCAUGAAACAAGGGUCAUUUUCCCAUGAAACAAGGGUCCAUGUUUUAAGGAAAAGUAGUACAAAAGUCAAGUCUUGAAAUUUGAAACUUGAAAAAAGGCUCCAAGACUUAUUCUUCCCUCCUUAAAACAAAUUCCACCAAUCCAAAUUAAAAUUGGUCAAGACUUGGGCUUUGGAAAAUAAAAAAUUGUAGAAACCGCAACCAAUACGUGGCUGCCACAUCAUCAAGUUACUGUUCAUGCAUCAAAUUUUAGCUCAAAUUUUAGAUUAUUAGUUUCACUUUAUUGUUUUCUUAGUUUCCUAUCUUAAUUCUAGAGUUAAUUAACAACUAGUAAUCACCUACUUAGUUGUAGAUUAAUUGUUGAAUUCGUCCUCUCAUGUCUUCGUUAUUUGUGUGCUUUUUCUCAUUUUUAAAUCAUAGUAACUUCUUUGCUUCAAGUUCGUAAGUAAAUUUUAUUUUUGUGUCUUGAGUCGAUCAAACAAGAAUCUAUUCUGGCCGCCAAGUAGAAUUGACAUCCUAUUGACUAUCGGAGUAUAAGCAACUUUUAAUAUUCGCCGCUCCAAUUGUGAGAAGCUUUCACUACUAAUCUUGUUUGUUCAUUGUGUAGGUACAAAGGUGAUAUAAGGGGAAUAUGUCUUCGAUAUUUAGGGAUUAUUAGAACUACAACAUAGGAGACUAUGAUUGUAGCGAGAGUUUUAUGGCUACGAAGUUGAGGGAAAUUGCGGAGGCUAGGAAAAUUGCCAUAAACAAAACAUGGGCAGAUUUGAAAGUUACUAUUUUGAGGGAGAAAAUGAGGUGAAUGAAGUGCCUAGUGCUCAUGGUAACUUUGGAGAUGAUGUAGGACCUCGUGAUGGAUCUUCUGAUGAUGUUGGGGCAUGUGAGGAGUCUUACACUUCUUACUCCGAACCUAGAUUUGGUGUUAGGUAUAACCCUUUCGUUCGCAAAGCUUAUGAGAGCUAUGAUGAGAGUACACGUGAGGAGUAUGAAGAUUCAUAUUCUCCACCUUGUAGUACUUCUUAUCAAAGUCAAUAUAGUGUGGAUGGUUAUACUAGCUAUAGUGGAGGUUGUCCAAUGAGAAGAAGAGGGUAUGUAUCUCUAAAACUGAGGGGUACUUGUAUGCUUUAUAAUGUUGAUUCGAGAAGGAGUGUACACUCCGGAAAGGUGACCAUCUGUGGGAUACCAAACUGCCUCGUUGUGUUAAAUGAUAGGUGCUAUAGAAACUACAUCGUUCCAUCCAUGGUUGACUACUUGGGGUUGUUUUGAGAGCCUUUACUUGUUCCAUUCUUCUUGGACGGGUUCAAGGUUACCGAGAGGGUAAAAGUUGUCUUCUCCCAAUAUGAAUACCAUGAGGAGGUGUGGUGCGAUAUUCUUUCCUUAGCCUACGAUUAUGUAUACUUAGGUGCCGAUUGAUUUGCACGACAUCAAGUUCCUAACGUUCAAAAUUGGCCUAAUAUUGUAAGAGACCAAUAGAGGAAUCGCCUCAUGACUUGCUGCCCAAGCCGCAAAGAGUGCCUACCUACUCUAAUCCAAAUUAUUAUGAGAGACAAAACAAUGAGAGGAGUAAGGGAGUGCAAGGUAGUAGUCUGAGAGUGGAAAAAGGAGAGGUUGUGUGGAGCGAAGUGAGGGAAUUACCACCAAACUGUGCUAACAUUGGUUGUCCUUUUAUUUCUAAGGACAUUUGUGUAGGUACCAACCUGGCAAACAAAGGAGAACAAUGCUGAAAUAAAGUUCCUAUCCAAGUUUGUAGAGAAACUUCACACCAUGACAAAGAAGAAUGUACUCAAGGACUUCAAGGUAAAAUAGCUAACUCUUACACUUUUGUGCAUGUGAAUGAUAAUUGUCUGGUUAGUAGCCCAUUGAGUGUGAGUUGUAUCUUGCCUAUAUGUGAGUCUAUUGUUUCUUUGCCACUUGAUGAUGAUGUACAUAUUGUGAGUGUGGAUACACUAGUUGACCCUAUUGAUGACCGAAUUGACUCUUCUUGUAAAAUUGAUUUAUGUCCACUUAGUGUUGAAACCAUUGUGUUGAAUGAAAGUACAUUAUCUUGUGAAAUUUUUGUUGAUCAACUUAUGUGUGAAAAUUGCCCACCACCUGAGGAUGUGUAUGAUGUGAUUAAUGAACCUCAAGUGUGUGAUGAUGUUGAAAAUAUUGAUCAAAGGAAUAGGAGUGAACCCGUGAACUUACCUUUAACUCUGAUAUUUGCUUGGAUCAUAGGGAUAAUCAUGUGCUUAAGACAUCUUUAAAACUUGAUAAUGAACUUUUAGAGAGUGAACUUACUUGUUCCAAAUCUUCCCGUGGGAUAGAUCAUGCUCACUUUAGGUAUAAUGUCUUGUUUGAAGAUGAUAUAAACACUCCUAAUGAACCUAGUGGUGAAAAUAAUGGUAUAGAUUGCUUUGGAAGCUAUAGCCGAUAUGGUAACCCACUAUGGUGUGAAAACAUUCCUCCUAAAGAUGGAAAUUUCUUUUUGAAAGAUGAGAGUACUCGUAAGGGUAUGGAAUGUAUAGUCCUUGAAAAUUCGAGGGUAAAGGUGUUAUUGACUCCUUGGGGUAACGUUCCUAAAUGUGCAUCCUUGUUUGAUACACUUGUGCCUAAAUUACAUGAAUUCCAACUUGUGGAUGCCAAGUUGUCUAGUUGUUUGAAGGAAAGAAUGUGUAUGUAUUUAAAUGCUUAUUCUUCACCUGUGAAUUCCUUUGCACGUGAUUCUUUCCUAUACUACCUCUUUGCCUAUGAUGAUGUCCAUACUAGUUUUGGAUUUGUUUUAUGUCGAGGUAGGAAGUUUGUUGGUCUGUCCAUGUGUGUGUGUGAUAAUGCUAUAUGGAUUUUAUGGACUUUAGAAACAAUCGAAACACCCCCUUGGUGUUUUCUUUUGACGAGAUAAAGAAGCAAUGGUGUCUUAUGGAUCAUAAGAUAAAGGAAGUUCUACCUUGUGGAUUAUUUAAUGCCAUUGGGACCUAUGUAGUUUCUUUAUCUCUUGGUAAUUCCCAUAACCAAAUUCUUUGAGCACCUUUUAUUGGGAUUUUAAUAUUUAAUUCAAAAGAUCCUUGGUUAUAUUACAAAUAUGUGCAACCUUGGCAUGUUGGGACGAUUUAUUGUGCUAACCCUAACCCUCAUGCCAUGAGGAGUUGUUUUCCCUCUCUUUGUUUUUGCAAGGUUUGGAUUCGAGGUCAAAUUCUUUUCAAGAAGGGGAGGAUGAUACGAGAAUAAUGGCCACCUUAGCUUUCGCUGACAUCAUUCAAAGUUACUAUAUGAAGAAUCAACCUUUGGUCGCAUGGAGGGCACAGGAUUAUACUUGGAGGGGACGUUUUGAGCCUACCAUUGAUCAAACCCGAGUGUGGAAGAUUGCUUAGAGAAUUGAAGACUUAAGGACUCUCGGAUUUGGACAACCUUUGUUGGUUCACAGUUUUGGUUCCCUUUAUUAAGGCAUUUUGGUCACUUAUCUUUGUCCAAGUGACACUCCAUGACCAUUCCUCCUCAUAAGGGCAUUGGAGUCAUUUUGUGUUAAUUUUGUAAUAGGUUAUAGAUAGGAUCCUUUAGUUUUAUUUUUAUUAGUUUAUAAAAGAUGAAAUAUUGAAACAUUAAAAAUUCUCUCUCUUGAGAGUAGAACACUUAGUCUUAGUUUAGGGCUUGGAAAAGCUAAUAUUGUUCUUUGCUUGGAAACGGUGGAUCUUGAGGUGAGUUGAUUCCCUUGGUGGUCACCGUAAGAGUGUGGUUUUGAUUAUUACAUUCAUUAGGGGUUAAUGUUGAAAUAUACUUGGUUCUUAAUCUUGUAAUAAUCUUGGUCUCACUAUCUAUCCUUUACUUUCUUGCAAAUCGUGCAUGUGUUGUGUAGUGGACUUUUUUGGGCCCUUCGUUGAAUCCAAAACUUGUAUUAUUGUUGUUUAUCUUGUUCAUCACGUUUUGUAGCUGUUUUGGUGUUAAAAUACACUCUUGUAUCUUGUAUUCUUGUUGAUAGAGAAUCCGAGAGUGGUCUCCAUCUUGGUCCUCGGAUCCUUAAGAUUAGGGACUGAUUUGGAGUGUGCUUUGUUCCUUCCAUUGUCUUUCUCAUAUCAUCAAGAAACUGGAACUUAACCAUGCGGGUACGACAGUCUAUACAUGCAUAACAAGAAUGAAGCCAGUCCAUACCCAAAAUAAGAUCAAAAUCGACCAUAUCCAACUCUAUCAAAUCAGCGAAUAUGACUCUAUGAAGAAAAGUAAUAGGGCAUUUUUUAUACACUUGCUUAGCAACAAUAGACUCACCUACUGGAGUAGAACUAAGAAAGGCUCAGGAAUCUUUUUGGGACUCAUUUCAAAGUUCACAGCAACUAAUGGGGUCACAUAAGAGAAACUUGACCCGGGGUCCAACAACACAUAUAUAUCAAAGAAAAAGACACGAAGCAUACCAGUAACAACGUCGGGAGAAUCCUGGUAGUCUGCAUCGGAGGUCUUUGUUCCCCUUCCUAGUAUGCAAGAAAUCUCUAAUAUUGUGACCCUCCUGUCCACAACUAUAACAACCUUUCUAUCCACACAAAUAUCUAUCUCCAUGAUCUUUACCACACUUAGCGCAUAGGGAUCGAUUAGGCUUUCCACUUAUGUUGUUCUAAGAUCUGGACUUAGAAGACUUACCCCACUGCUCCUGUCUAUUUCGGGUGUGGGAGCACUAGCUAAUGAAGGUGCUAGCAUAGAUGAACGACUCUUAAACUGUAGGCGAUUCCCUCCAUGGGAUCUAGUCUGACCAUGAUCAUACUGCUCUGACCUAUCCCUCUUGUUUCCUCUUACUCUAUCUCUCUCCUUUAUUUUGUUUGUCUCUAUCUACUGGGCAUGCAUUAUCAUCCUAGCAAGAUCCAUAUCUCUAUUGAGUAGCAGUCCUACAAACUUUCAAUACCAAUCCAGACACUCCUAUCAUAAACUUACUCAUAUUGGUUCAGGCGUCAGCUAUCAAAUCAAACAGCAUACUUAGCUAGCUGGUUGAACUUAGUACUCCUUUACUAUAAUGGAGCCCUUUCUCAAGUUCAUAAACUCCUUAAUCUUUGCUUCCCUCAAAUUAAGCGGGAAGAACUUGUCCAAGAAUGCAUCCUGGAACACCUGCCAGGUGUAGGAGCAGCAUCCCCCCUCUAAUCUUCCUCCACUCUACAACCCAGUCAUAAGCACUAUCUUUUAGUCUGUAAGAUGCCAACUCCACACUCUCUUCCUCAGAAAUAUGAAAGAAUUGGGUGAUCUUCCUCACCUCCUCAAGAUAUAACUAUGGGUCUUUACUUACCUUAGACCCAUAGAACUCUGGCGAAUUCAUCCUUAUGAAAGUACGAAUCCUGGAUGCAGCUAAAUCACCUCCUUGCUGGUGCGGAACUGCAGCUUAGUUAUUAGCCUGGACAUUCGCGGUAACUACUUGGGCUAACGCCUGAAAGGCAGCCUGAAACUCAGCGUGAGACACGUUCUUAUUCAGGGGAUCGACCGGUUGAGGUGGCUGAUCGAUAUUCCUACGGGCAUUAGCUCUUUGAAGAGGCAUUUUUUGUAAUAAAAGAGCACGAAUUAAUAGCAGAUAGAGACAGUUGUAGGGACGAUAGAUUCAUAGAUGUGGCGCGCUUCACACCGAUGAUAAAAUCUCUACAUAACAUGGCUUGUCAGACUCCCUAGGACUACUUAAACCUUAGGCUCUGAUACGAAGUUUAUAAUGCCCCAAAAUUCCAUCCCGAAGCAUCACACGGUGCUUAAGGCUACAAGUAGCCUUAAGAUAACCCUUUGAGCCUUCUACUACAUAUAAAGCUUACUUAGAGAUGAAUAAAGCAAAAUAAUGGUACUGUCAUAUCAUGAUCAUAAUGGAAUAUGAGGAAAUACUUGUCUGAACAAUCAAAAUAUUGGAAGUAUAAACAUACUGAUAAGACAAAGCCUCUACUAGUCAAGAAAACUAGAGAGCCAUUGGGACAGAUCCCCAACUAACUCAAAUGAAAUCAACAAAACCAACUGCUAAUACUAAUGAGUGUCUGGAAAAUAGGUCCUCAAACCAUGAGGACUCACUAUUGUGGAAAUGUAGACAAGGUACUCGGGAUCACUGAAGCUGCUGGGACUGAGCACCUAAACCUAUAUUAUGAGAUCAUGUAGCAUACAGACGUAUAUGUGGAUCAGUACUUUGAGGAUGUGCUGAGUAUAUGGGGGUGCAUGCAAUAUAUAAAAUCAUAUUAUCAUGGGUUAUAAAAUCAUGUAGUACUAAAUAUAAGUGGCUCACAUAGCUUGAAGAAUUUGAAAUCUGAAGAAACAAAGUAACGAAUAGUAAAACAUAUAAUCUGGAUUCCAUGAGCCAUUACACUUAGCUCUAAAGACUGUAGUUAGUUCUUGUUCUCAAAUCAUGUGGUCUAGAUGAAGUCUAAAACUUUAUUCUGCAUAGUAAAUAUUUUAUCUCAAAGAACUACAAGAGUGGGGCACUUCUAUUUGAGAGGUUCUUAUAACCGACAUGAACACCAUGUGAGCAUCCAUAGUGUCCCACGACUAGCCCCCAUAAGGUUAGGGCUGUUAUACCCUUGCCAUCGGAAUAGAACAAUCUAUUUCAGUGAUCACUAUCUCAGUUACCUACAUAUAGUGGAAAUAAGUAUCUCAACCUACGAUGGCACGUAGUUCUGGGGUAUGAAAUCGUAGUAACAUGCCCAACUCGGUGCUAAAUACUACUCCCAAUCUUAUGCUCAAAGUUUCAAGAAAAUCCACUUUAAAGUAAUCUCAUAUUUCGUAAGGAAAUCAAUUAUGAAGUUUGUAAUCUCAUUUCAUGAAUUGGAUUUCAACUCUAUUGUGACCAAAGGGUCAAAUCUUUCUAAAUUAUUUCAAAAUAGUCUAAUCAUAAGGUGCAUCUAGCACAACAAUUCUAAAAAUUACAUUCUAAAAUAGGGGUUAGUGACCCAUAUGUCAAUAUCAUGAUUAAACAUCUAAAAAUUCAUACUUUAUAUCAUAAACAUGCAUAAAUCAUUUGGAAAUUUGGAAAUUUCAGCAAUACUCAUAAAAUUCAACUUCUAAAACAUUCAAAAUCUCAUAAUCUCACGAGCAACCACAUAGGGUAUAAAUUCAUACUUCAAAUUCAUAGGAAAAUAUGAAAAUCAUGUAUCUUUGUAAAUUAGUGCAAAUUUUGGAAACAAGAACGGAAGGAGUGUUCUUGUUCAAACCCCACAUACCUUAGAUUGAUAAACUUGGAUGAAAAACUUACUUGAGACUCUUUUUUUGUACUCUUGACUGAGGGUUCUUGAAGCUUUUGACUUAGGAAUCUUGAAUCUUGACUUAAUUUAUAAAAACUAUGGUGAACUCCUGAAAUUCUUCAAAGAGGAUUUGGAUGAUUAGGGUUUCGUUUUGAAGAGAAUGAGGAUUUUGGGAAUAAAGAGCUUUGUAAUACCAUUGAUUUUAUGUUCUUCAUGAAUUGGAAGUAGGGUAAUUGCCCAAAAUACCCCACAUUUAACCCGUAAUAUAAAUGGAAAAAUAUAACUUGGAGUCCGAUUUCAUGGGCCAUUGCGACGCACAACUAUUGCAGAGGCUACUGGAAAUUGACUAUUGGGAAUUGGGGUCCUCCACAUCUCGCCACCAUCACAGAGCCCCACUGGAAUUUGAUGAAUGAUGAUACGAGAAAGACAAAAGAAGACUCAAAAACUACUCAAAACAGUCCACAAAUCAACUAGAACCCGAGGACCCCUUUGACAGCAACUUUCGGCCAACAAUAGCAACACAAGGAUUACAAGAUACAAGGUGUAUUUUAACACCACAACAGCAACAAUUACACAAGAUGAAACAAGUCAUGGAUUCAACACAAACACAAGGGAAAUUGCCUAGAAAAUAAAGAUAGAUAGUGAGACCAAGAUUAUUACAAGAUUAAGAACCAAGUGUAUUUCAACACUAACCCCUAAUGAAUGUAACAAUCAAAACCACACUCUUAUGGUGACCACCAAGGGAAUGAACUCACCUCAAGAUCUACCAUUUCCAAGCGAAGAUCAAUAUUGGCUUUUCCAACCCCUAUGCUAAGGAUGGCCUUUCCAAGCCCUACAACUAAGGGUGUUACACUCUCAAAAGAGAGAAAAUAUGUCUUUCAAUUCUUCAUCAUUCAAAAUCUCCAAAGAAAUGAGCUAAAAUGACCUAUUUAUAGUGUAUUACAAAAAAAGAUAAAAAGACCACGUUGCCCUUAAUGAUAGGUGCGGCCAUGGUGUGUAAAUACACCACGUGUAAUGUCCAAAAUGCCCUUAAUUAAUUUCAAAAACCGUGAGUCCUCAAUCUUAAAUGCUCCAAGCAAUCUUCCACACGCGAGAUUGCUUUAAGUUAUGCUCAAAACGGGUCCUCCAUGCAUGUUCUUGUAUUCUCGAGGAAACCAAGUCUUAAGCCUUUACGCGUUGGCCUUCAAAGUUUGUCAUCAAAAGCUAAGGUGGCCAUUUGACUCGUAUCAUACUCCCUAUCUUGAAAAGGAUUCGACCUCGAAUCCAAACCUUUUAAAACCAAAGAAAGGACACACAAAUACAAACUCCUCAUGGAAUAAGGGUUAGGGUUAGCAUGACAAAUCACCUCAACAUUCUAAGGUUGCACAUAUUUAGAAUAUAACCAAGGAUCCCUUGAACUAAAUAUUAAAUAAUUAAUGAAAAAUGCACAAAGGAUUUGGUUAUGGAAUUUACCAAAAGUGAUACUUUGCUUUACAAGUAAACCAAGCAACAAGUUGGGUGCCCCAUUAUCAUAAAAUCUAUAUUUGGCACCGGGUUCAAACGGGAAGAGUGGCCAUAGACACAGGUCUAGACAACACUCCUCUUUCUCGUGGUCUCUACCUAGACUAAAUGGCGUACUCUCUACAAUAGCAUACAUAUUAUCCAAAGCAAAUAGAGAGUAGAGAAAGGUUGACUCAAGUAAACUUCUACUAAGGUGCCCUCAUGUGUGUACUCACUACUAGUUUCAAAAUCAUCACCAUGAGUACUCUCAACAAUAAAAUCACACAAAGUAGAAGGAGAAGUAGUUUCCAAGACUGUACAUCCCUUACCCUUAAGAGUACUUUCAUCUUCCAAGAACUGAUUACCAUCUUUAGUAGAAAUGUUGUCACACCAUAGUGGGUUAGCAUAUCGGCUAUAGCUUCUAAGGCAAGCUAUACUGCUAUGGGAAAGACAAGAGAAGGCUCAAAAACUACUCAAAAUAGUCCACAAAUCAACUAGAACCCGAGGACCCCUUUGAGAGAAACUUUUAGCCAACAAAACAACACAAGUAUUACAAGAUACAAGGUGUAUUUUAACACCAAAACAGCAACAAUGACACAAGAUGAAACAAGUCACGGAUUCAACACAAACACAAGGAAAAUUGCAUAGAAAAUAAAGAUAGAUAGUGAGACCAAGAUUACUACAAGAUUAAAAACCAAGUGUAUUUCAACACUAACCCCUAAUGAAUGUAACAAUAAAACCCACACUCUUACGGUGACCUCCAAGGAAAUGAACUCACCUCAAGAUCUACCAUUUCUAAGCAAAGAUCAAUAUUGGCCUUUCCAAGCCCUAUGCUAAGGAUGGCUUUUCCAAGACCUACAACUAAGGGUGUUACACUCUCAAAAGAGAGAAAAUAUGUCUUUCAAUUCUUCAUCAUUCAAAAUCUAGUGAAAAUAAGACUAAGGGGGCCUAUUUAUAAUAUAUUACAAAUGAAGAUAAAAAGACCACUUUGCCAUUAAUGAGAGGGGCAGCCAUGGUGUGUAAAUACACCAUGUGUGAUGUCCAAAAUGCCCUUAAUUAAGGUCCAAAACCGUGAGUCCUCAAUCUUAAAUGCAUCAAGAAAUCUUCCAUAGGCGAGAUUGCUUUAAGUUAUGCUCAAAACGGGUCAUCUAUGUAUGUUCUUGUAUUCUCGAGGUGACCAAGUCUUGAGCCUCUAUAUGUUGGCCUCCAAAAAUGUCAUCAAAAUAUAAGAUGGCCAUUUGUCCCGUAUCAUCCUCCCCUUCUUGAAAAGGAUUCGACCUCGAAUCCAAACCUUGCAAAAGCAAUGAGAGGACAAACAAAUACAAACUCCUCAUGGCAUGAGGGUUAGGGUUAGCAUAAUAAAUCAUCUCAACAUGCCAAGUUUUCACAUAUUUGCAAUAUAACCAAGAAUCCUUUAAAACGAAUAUUAAAAACUCAAUAAAAGAUGUACAAAGGAUUUGGUUAUAGGAUACAUCAAGAGUGACACUUUGCUUGUCAUGUAGACAAAGCAACAAGUUUGGUGUACCAACAUCACCAUUUCUAAAUUUGGCACUGGGGUCAAAUGGGAGAAGUGGCCAUAGACACGGGUCUCGACAACACUUCCCUUUCCCGUGGUCUACACCCAAACUAAAUGACAUACUCUCUACAAUAACAUACAUAUCAUCCAAAGCAAAUAGAGAGUAGAGAAAGGUAUCACUCAAAUCGACUUCUACUAAGGUGCUCUCAUGUGUGCUCUCACUACUAGUUUCCCAAUAAUCACCAUGAGUACUCUCAAUAAUGAAAUCACACAAAGUAAAAGAAAAAGUAGCUUCCGCAACUACACAUUCCUUACCCUUAAGAGUACUCUCAUCUUCCAAGAAGAGAUUUUACACCAUAGUGGUUAGCAUAUAGGCUAUAGCUUCAAAGGAAAGCUAUACCAUUAUUUUCACCACUAGGUUCAUUAGGAGUGUUUAAACCAUCUUCAAACAAGAAAUUAUACCUAAAAAGAGUGUGAGCUACCUCACGGACAGAUUUGGAACAAGCAAGUUCCUCACUCUCUAAAUGAUCAAUAUCAAGUUUCAAGGAUGUUUCAAACACAAUAUUACCCCAACAAGAUCUCUCGGGUUUAUUCUCACUUUGUGACCAACAUUUUCAAAUACUUCAGUCACUUAAUUCCUAUUAAGCACAUCACACACAUACUCAAGUGGUGGACAGUUUUCAUAAACAAGUUGAUCAACACCAAUUACACAAGACGAUGUACUUCCAUUCAACAUAUAAGGCUUGAACACUAGGUGGACAUAAAUUGAUCUCACAAGAGGAGUCAAUUUCAUCAUCAAUAGGAUCAACUAGUGUAUCCACACUCACAAUAUGUACAUCAUCAACAAGAGGCAAGGAAUCAUUAGACUCAUAAAUAAGUAAGCUACUACUCACACUCAAUGGAUUAUUAGCCAUACAAUUAUCAUUUAGAUGCCUUAAAGUGUAAGAGUUAGCUAUUUUACCUUGACGAUCUUGAGUAGACUCUUUAUUGCCGUGAGGUGAAGGUCCUCCAUAAGCUUGGGCAGCAACUUCCUUUUGAAAUUGGUCGCCUUCGCUUGCCAUGUUGGUACCUACAUAAAUGUCCACAGAAAUAGAAGGACAACCAAAGUUAGCAAGGUUUGGUGGUAAUCCCCUUACUUAAAUCAACACAACCUCUUCUUUUUCCACUCUCGGAUUACCACCUUUCACAUCCUUACUCCUCUCAAUCUUUUGUCUCUCAUAAUAAUUCGAAUUGGAGUAGGUAGGAACUUCUUUUUGUGGCCCGGGCAGAAUGUACGUCUCGAGGCAAUUUCCCCAUCGGUCUCUUACAAUAUUAGGCCAAUUUUGCAUAUUUGGAACUUUAUGUUGUGCAAACCAAUCGGCGCCCAAGCUCACAUGACCAUAGAUUAUGGUUAAAACAUCACACCACACCUCCUCAUGGUAAUUAAAUUGGGAAAAGACAACUUUUACCCUCUCGGUAACCUUAAACCUGUCCAAGAAGUAUGGAACAAGUAAAGGCUCACAAAAUAACCCCAAGUAAUCAACCAUGGAUGGAACAAUGUAUUUUCUAUAUACCUAUCAUUUAACACAACGAGGCAGUCCGGUAUCCCAUAAAUGGUCACCUUUCUGGAGUGUACACUCCUUCUUGAAUCAACAUUGUAAAGCAUAUGAGUACCCCUCGGUUUUGGAGAUGUAUAACCUCUUCUUCUCAUUAGAAAACCUCCACUAUAUCUAAUAUAACCAUUCACACUAUAUUGACCUUGAUAAGAAGUGCUACAAGGUGGAGAAUACUAAUCUUCACACUCCUUACGUGUACUCUCAUCAUAGCUCUCAUAAGCUUUGCGAACGAAAGGGUUAUACCUACCACCAAAUCUAGGUUAGGAGUGAGAAUUGUAAGACUCCUCACAUGCCCCAACGUCAUCAUAAGAUCCAUCUCGAGGUCCUACAUUAUCUCCAAAGUCACCAUAAGCACUAGGUAUUUUAUUCACCUCAUUUCUCCCCCAAAACAGUAAUUUUAAAAUCUGCCCAAGUUUUGAUCAUGACUAUUUUCAUAGCCUCCGCAAUCUCCCUCAACUUCGUAGCCAUAAAAACCCUUACUACAAUCAUAGUCUCCCAUAUUGUAGUCACAAUAAUCCCCGGCUAUCGAAGACAUGUUCCCCUUAUAUCACCUUUUGAACCUACAAAAUGAACAAAUAAGAUUAGUAGUAAAAGCUUCUCACUAACACUCGUAUGCACUCACCUUUGUGAUUCUCACAAUUGGAGCGGUGAAUAUUGAAAGUUGCUUAUACUCCGGUAGUCAAUAGGAUGUCAAUUCUACUUGGCGGCCGGAAUAGAUUCUUGUUUGAUCGACUCAAGACACAAAAAUAAAAUUUACUUACGAACUUGAAACAAAGAAGUUACUACGAGUUAAAAAUGAGAAAAGCACACAAAUAACAAAAUAUUGCAUGAACAGUAGCAGUGAUGAUGUGGUAGCCACGUAUUGUUUUGGUUUUAUCAAGUGGUUAUUCUCAAAGGUUCAAGUCUUGGUUAAAAAUUAAUUUAGAUUGGUGGAAUUUGUUUUAGGAGGAAAAAUAAUUCUUGAAGCCUUUUCUUUUUUUCAAGUUUCAAAUUUCAAGACUUGACUUUUUCUUGUACUUCUCCUUAAAACAUGGGUCCUUAAAUCAUGGAAAAGUGGUUGAGAAGUAAUAUAAAGUCUUUUGGUAGUUGAGGGUCUUUCAAGACUAACAAGUACAUACACCUUUUUCCUUCACCUUUUAGGAUCUAACAUUCACUUUAUGUUUUAAAAAUAUAUGAAGGAAGAUGAGGAACUUCAAGAACAACAAUAACCAUACCAAGAACAAUAACAACAAUCUUCAAGAACAACAACAAUUCCAACGGCCAACUCCAAUCCACAUUAAUAAUAUCUCCAACACUUGGCCAAGACAACUACAACUUCCAGAAAAUGGUUCUCAAGCCACCAAGUAACAACAAUAUCAUGUGGUCAAGUUUAGAACAUCAAGGAGAAACCACACGGCCAAAACAGUCCACCACAACAAUGGUCAACAACAAUGGGCCAAGCUUAUGUUCACAACAACUUUUAACAAGUUCAAGCUCAAGUUUAGAUCUAGACUCAAAGUGUUAGUGGAAUAGAAAAAUAACACUAGAAACAACAAAACAAACAAGAACACUACUAGAUCUAGUCACACAACAAAUAAAUCUCAGCCAAGACACAACAAGAACACAAUUUUGGCCAAGAACACAUACACGGAUAGAUUGUUAUUUUUCUAGAAAUUUCAGUUUUCUAUUUUUUUUUCAAGUCUCAAGUCCAAGAUUGAUCUUGUUAGAACAAAAUUAAUGAUGGCUUUGAUACCAAAUGAUACGAGAAAGACAAGAGAAGACUCAAAAACUACUCAAAAAAGUCCACAAAUCAACUAGAACCCGAGGACCCCUUUGAGAGCAACUUUCGGCCAAUAAUAACAACACAAGGAUUACAAGAUACAAGGUGUAUUUUAACACCACAACAGUAACAAUGACACAAGAUGAAACAAGUCACAAAUUCAACACAAAACAAGGAAAAUUGCAUAGAAAAUAAAGAUAGAUAGUGAGACCAAGAUUAUUACAAGAUUAAGAACCAAGUGUAUUUCAACACUAACCCCUAAUGAAUGUAACAAUCAAAACCACACUCUUACGGUGACCACCAAGGGAAUGAACUCACCUCAAGAUCUACCAUUUUCAAGCAAAGAUCAAUAUUGGCUUUUCCAAGCCCUAUGCUAAGGAUGGCUUUUCCAAGCCCUACAACUAAGGGUGUUACACUCUCAAAAGAGAGAAAAUAUGUCUUUCAAUUCUUCAUCAUUCAAAAUCUCCAAAGAAAUGAGCUAAAAUAACCUAUUUAUAGUGUAUUACAAAAGAAGACUAAAAGACCACUUUGCCCUUAAUGAUAGGUGCGGCCAUGGUGUUUAAAUACACCAUGUGUAGUGUCCAAAAUGCCCUUAAUUAAGGUCCUAAACCAUGAGUCCUCAAUCUAAAAUGCUCCAAGAAAUCUUCCACACGCGAGAUUGCUUUAAGUUAUGCUCAAAAUAGGUCCUCCAUGCAUGUUCUUGUAUUCUUGAGGUGACCAAGUCUUGAGCCUUUACGUGUUGGCCUUAAAAAAUGUCAUCAAAAGCUAAGGUGGCUAUUUGACGUGUAUUAAAUGAUAAUUAAACCCUCUCCGCGAUGUGCUAAACACCAAAAUGAUGGUGUUUUACGACUAGAACUUAAAUUAGCCAUAACUUCUUACUCGAUUAUCGUAUUUAGGUAAAUCUUAUAUCAUUGAAAAGCUAAUUCAAUUUUUCACAUGAUAAAAAGUCAAAAUUAGGAAGAUUCUUUACUAUUUUAAAACAUUAAUCACUUAGAAAGUCAUUCCUUAACCUUCUAUAGACGAUACUAGACUUAAAGAAAGUUCAUGGUACUACACCAUUACCUUCCUACUCCACAUUAGAUUCUCCUCCUUGAUUCCAGGGGUUUAAGGUAAAUCAUUUUGGGCAAAUAAGUAAGAGUCAUGGUUCACAAGUAGUGGGGUAUCGAGAGCAAGGAGGUGUAAGCAAAUCAAGGCUUCCUAGAUAGAUUUGUAAGCAUUAUAGUAGAAAUAAUUUAGGUGCAUGUUUGUUUGGGAUAGAUUUUUCUUAUUGGUAUGACAUACCGGGACACAUAAUGAGAGAUUGCCCAAAAAAGGGCAUGACUGAUAUGGCACGACCUACUGGAUCUACUAUUGCAUCAUCAUUCUUGGCUCUUUCUUUUGGUAGAGGUCAGAAGAUGCCUACUGGUUGUGGUAGGGUUAUUAAAAGAGAUAAUUCUAGUGGUUUUCAGAAUUGUACAUAUGCUCUAGUGGGUCGACAAAAUUUGGAGGCUUCUUCUGACGUGGUUAUAGGUACAUUGUCCAUCUUAUCACAUACGGUAUAUGCAUUAAUUUAUCCAGGUUCUACAUUAUCAUAUGUCACUCCAUUAAUUGUUGGAAAGUUCAAAAGAACACCAGAAUCAAUAGCUAAGCCAUUUGAAGUAUCUAUACCAAUUGGCAAAUCUAUUAUAGCUAGAAGAGUUUAUCAUAAUUGUAUAGUAAUUAUUUGUAAUCGUAAUACAUUGGCCGACCUUGUGGAGUUUGAAAUGGUAGAUUUUAAUAUUAUAAUGGUUAUGGAUUGGUUGUCUUCUUGUUAUACCAUAGUGAAUUACUGAGCCAAGAGGGUAUAUUUCUAUUUUCCAAAAAAAGAAUAGUCCCUGAGUGGAGGGGUAAUAUUGGGGAACCAAGGGGUAAGUUUAUUUCUUAUAUUAAGGCAAAGAAGAUGAUGCCUAAAAGAUACAUAUGUCUCUUGUAAGGGUGAAAGAUAUAGAGGUGGAGUCACCGACUCUUCAAUCCAUUUCAAUGGUGAAUGAAUUUCUUGAUAUAUUUCCUGACGAACUUUCAGGUUUACCUCUAGAAUAAGAAGUAGAGUUUGGUAUUGAUAUUAUCCUAGGUACUUAACCAAUUUCUAUUCCCCCAUAUAGAAUGGUCCCUGUAGAAUUAUGUGAACUAAAGGAAAAUUAAAAGAUUUGUUGGAAAAGGGUAUCAUAAGGCCUAGUAUAUCUCCUUUGGGUGCACCUGUGUUAUUUGUAUGUAAGAAAGAUGGAAUGUUGAGAAUGUGUAUUGAUUACUGACAAUUGAAUAUGGUGAAAAUUAAGGACAAUAUCCCCUUCCAAGAAUUGAUGAUUUGUUUGAUCAGUUACAAGGUGCUAAGUGUUUCUCAAAGAUUGACUUGAGGUCAGGUUAUCACCAACUGAGAGUGAAGGAGAAAUAUAUACCUAAAACGGCUUUUCAAAUGCGAUAUGGUCAUUUUGAGUUAUUAGUUAUGUCAUUUGGGCUAAUAAAUGCGCCAAUAUCUUUCAAGGAUUUGAUGAAUAGAGUGUUUAAGCCAUUCUUGGAUGUAUUUGUUAUUGUAUUUAUAGAUGAUAUUCUAGUGUAUUCAGGAUCAAAAGAAGACUAUUCUAAUCAUUUAUGACAGGUGUUACAAAUCCUUCAUCAUCGUAAGUUGUAUGUGAAGUUCUCCAAAUAUGAGUUUUGGUUAAAAUCAAUAGCAUUAUUGGGUCAUAUAGUAUCCGAUGAAGGAAUAAGAUUGAUUCUCAAAAGACAGAGGCAGUGAAGAACUAGCCAAGACCCACAACACCUAUGAAGGCUCUAGUUUCCUAGGCUUGGCAGGUUAUUAUAGAAGGUUAGUUAAGGGGUUUUCUUCCAUUUCUGCACCUUUUAAUAAAGCUAACACAUAAAAAGUAAGCCAAGUUUCAAUGGAAUGAAACUUGUGAAAGAAGUUUUCAAGAUUUAAAGAGUAAGUUGACUUCUACAUCUAUAUUGGUACUUCUAGAAGGCACGGAAGGCUAUAUAGUAUAUUGUAAUACUUUAGGAGUUGGAUUAGGAUGUGCUUUGAUGCAACAUGGUAAAGUAAUAGCUUAAACCUUAAGACAGUUGUAUCCAUAUAAGAAGAAUUAUCCAACAUAUGAUGCCAGUGGCAGUUAUAUCUGCUUUACAAAUAUGGUGCCACUACUUGUAUAGGGUUCAUUCUGAUAUAUAUACCGACCACAAGAGUUUGCCGUAUCUCUUUAACCAGAGGGACCUAAAUUUGAGGCAACAAAGGUGGUUUGAGCUAUUAAAAGACUAUGAUGUUGAUGAUAUCUUAUAUCAUUUGAGGAAAGAAAAUAUGUAGCGAUGCACUAAGUUGUAAGGUGAUGGCAAGUAAUUAUAGGCAUCCCAUGGAAAGGCAAGGGAUAACUAAGGAUCUUUUCCAAUUAGCUAGCUUGGGGGUUUGCCUUCUUGAAUCUUCAGCCAAAUGGGUUAUUGUGCAAACUGCAGCAGAAUCCUCAUUAGUAGCCAAAGCUCAAGAGAAGUAAUACAUAGAUCCUAUUCAUUUAUAGCUUAAGGAGAAUUUCAAUAAGGUAUGAACAAAGGCAUUUGAGCUUACAGAAUAGGGAAUACUUCGGUUCCAAAAUAGAUUGUGUGUGCCUAAUAUAGAUGGGCUAAGAAAAUGGAUUACGAUAGAGGCGUAUCAUUCAAGAUAUUCUAUUCAUCUUGGGUCAACUAAAAUGUAUUAGUAUUUGAAAGAGGUGUAUUAGUAGUGUGACAUGAAGAAGAAUAUUGCAAAAUUUGUAGCUGAAUGUCCAAAUUAUCAACAAGUUAAGGUAGAACCCCAAAAGCCAGAAGGUUAUAUGCACCUUAUGGAGCUCCCUACUUGGAACUGGGAUAUGAUCAACAUUUAUUUCAUCACUAGUUUACCUCAAUCCCCUCAAAAGUUUGAAUCUAUAUGGGUAAUAGUUGAUAGACUUACUAAAUUAGCAUAUUUCCUACCGGUUAAAUCUACUUACACGGCUGAAGAGUAUGCAAAAUUAUAUAUUAAAGAGAUAGUUUGGCUAUAUGGAGUCCCAAUCUCUAUUAUAUCUGAUAGGGGAGCUCAAUUUACCACAUAAUUUUGGAGGUCAUUUCAGAAGAGUUUGGGGACACAAGUGAAUUUAAGCACAACUUUUCACCCUCAAAUAGAUGGCCAGACAAAAUGUAGAAUCCAAACACUAGAGGAUAUGUUGUGAGCUUGUGUAUUAACUUCAAAGGUAGUUGAGAUGAUCAUUUGCCACUUAUUGAGUUGUCAAACAAUAAUAGUUAUCACUUGAGUAUCAAAAUGGCACCUUAUGAAGCUUUAGAUGGCAGAAACUGUAGAUCACUAAUCGGUUGGUUUGAGGUGGGUAAAACUACCUUAUUUGGGCCAGAUUUUGUUCAUCAAGAUAUAGGAAAAGUUAAGGUGAUACAACAAUGGUUAGAAAUAGCUCAAAGCUAACAUAAAUCAUGUGCAGAUAUUAAAAGAAGAGGGUUAGAGUUUUCUCUAGGAGAUUGAGUAUUCUUGAAGGUGUCACCAAUGAAAGGGGUAAUGAGGUUUGGUAAAAAGGGAAAACUAAGUCCCCGCUAUAUAAGGCCAUAUAAAAUUAUUCAAAGAUUUGGCUAGGUGGCAUAUGAGUUAGACCUACCCCAGCAGGUUUCAAUGGUGCAUCCGGUGUUUCAUGUCUCAAUUCUUUGAAAGUACAUAGGAGAUCCAUCUUAUAUUACUCCUACUAAAGAUGUACAGGUUAUAGAAGAACUCACCUAUGAAGAAGUGCCUACUGCUAUAAUAGAUCGGCAAGUUAAGAAGUUAAGAAAUAAAGAAGUAGCUUCAGUAAAAGUGCUUUGGAGGAACCCGCAAGUAGAAGAAAUCACAUGGCAAACCGAAGAAGCAAUGAAGUCAAAGUACCCUCAUUUAUUCAAAUCUAAAGACAAGGUCCAAGGAUGAUGCUUUGGGGCAUUAAUAAGUAAGUGUAAAUACGUAAUUGUUAUCUGGAUAACAGUGAGUUUAAACUUAGUCUUAUAUUAUUUUAGGCUAUCUAGUUAUGCUAGCAUUCGAGGAUGAAUAUUUCUAAAGGGAGGAGAAUGUAACACCCUAUAUUCUACUUGUACUAGUUCUACUUAUGUGGAACUUGAUAUAGACUUAUGGGAUAGGUAAUGGGCUAAUUUAAGGCCCUAAACUAAGUAAAAUAAUUGUUACAUAGAAUGAGCAGCCCAAUACCAAAUCUGUCCGAUAAGCCCAAUACGUUAAAGGCCCAUUUUAGACUUGAAUAAAGCAAGUAGGUGCAUCACCUACUUCGAAAUUUGUAACAACCUAAGAAAAGUAGGUGAAUCACCUACUAAGACUCCCUUGAUCAGCUUAUUGGGCCAAGUACACUGCCACCUACUUAAAUUAAUUCUGGCCCAAAUUAAAUAAGAGAAAAAGGAGGAAAAUGGGAAGCCAAAGCCCAAUAGUUUUUAAUCCACAAAGGCCCAACAAAAUGUCCAAGAAAGUCGGCCAAGAUCAACUCCUUUUAAAGGGAUUAAAACCAGUUCCUUUAGCUCAUUUUAACUUAGAUAAAAACAACUUUCUAGGUUUUCUCUAUUGUUCUCUCUUAGCUGUACAACAGCCCUAUAAUUCCACUAGGGUUCUUGGAAUUUACCUUCCUUCUGAUGCAAGUGCUAAGUCCUCAAGACCUUUUACACGUAGCCAAGCCAAGGAAUCACAACAACUUCAAUCAUUGUUCAUACAAUUGAAGGCGUGUGAAGGUGUAAUGCAUCCGACCAAAGGAGGUUACUUGCUGAUUUUUGAAGAAGUGCAUUGAAAGAACUACUCUUCUACACCUCAUGGGAGUCUAUUGGGAGGGGUUUGGUGGACUUUUCACACUUAAAGUCCAAACUCAAGAGGCACCUCUUUUAGGGCCUCAUUAAGGGCAUUUGAGUCUUUAUUCAUGUAAUAGUAUAAAUAGGCAUUUUACUUCUCUUUUCAUUAGACUUUUGAUGAAAUUGAACCUUCUUCUAUAUUGUAGUUUUAGAUUUGUAGAGAGAGAGAGUAGAAUUUGAAAAUUGUUCCAAGAACAUUUGAAGUUAGGGUUUCACUUGUUUUGGAUAAUUUGGCAAGAAAGGUGUACUUGAGGAAGAGUGUUUCCUUUGGGUCACCUAAGAGGAAGGUUUGAACUCUUAUUUGUGAGGCGUGUUGAAGAUUUUGAAACAUCUUCUAGCACUAAUCAUUGAAUAGGAGUAAGGGUCUUUCUAUCUAUCCUUUAAUUACAAGCAUUCUUCUUCUUCAGCUCCAUUCUAAGUGUUGUUUUCUCUUUAUUUGGUUGCUGGAAUUUGCAUCUUAGUAGCCAAUUUCGUGUGUUUGGUAGUCUUUAGGCUAUCAUUUGGUAUCAAAUCCUUGGUUAGGGUUGUUCCAACAUCCCUAAAUCUUGGUUUUAGUGUUCUUAUAUAGAAAAUCUCAUCAAAAAAGAGUCCAAAAUCAGAAAAUACCAAAAAAAAAAAAUUGUGGGUUGUCUUGUGUGUUUGUUGUAGAUCUGAAUUUUUCAAGUUAGAUCUACAAGUUCUUGUUAUUUUUUGAAGGUUUAUAGUGCUAGAUCCUUUCUCUCUAGCACAUAGGGAGUCUAGAUCUACUUUUAGAUUGAAGUUUGGUUGAGUUUGAGCUAAGAACCUCCAUGAACAUGGUGUUUUGAAGCUUUUGUGCUAGAUCUGAAAUUUACCCUUGUGAUUUAGGCGUGUUUGGUGACUGAUUUUUGGUUGGUUGAAGUUGUUUUGGGCUAAGGAACCUAGAUCUUCAAAAAAAUUCAGAUUUGGAGUUCAUUUGCUAGGUGGUCAAACUUGGUCAAUGCUUGAAUAUUCAUCUUGUUCAUCCAUGAUCUUCAUAACUUAGUGAAGAAGGAUAUGCAAAGUUCUUGUUUGAUCCAAAAAGGGGGGAAAAGAGAGUGAAAAGGUUGUUUGUCCAAAAGCAUAUUAAAAGAAUAUUCCAUUCUUCCAAAAAGGAAGAGGGGACAAGGGGACAACAAAGUACAAUUGCAAGUACAAAGGGGGGACCAAUUCAUUUCUCAUCCAUUUUAAAACUUGAAAAGGCUUCAAUCUUGAAAUUUUUCCCUCCGAAACCGAAAUCUCUUCCUUCCUAAGGGGUGUUUAGCCGAAAAUAAGUUGGAAAAAAAUUUGGAAUUUCAAAAAAAAGUGACAACCAACCACGUAGUGCCACGUCAUCACUUGUGCUCAACCAAAAUUCACCUUUAAAUUUAGAUUUUCUAGUUUCUAUUUGUUGUUUCUAGUUUCUUUUGUGUUAAUUCUAUAACUAUUAGCAAGCUAGUAAGUACCUACUAGAUUGAUAAUUAGUCUUGAGUCCGUUUAUUUCGUGUCUUUGGUUUUUUUUUUGGGGUAUUUUUCUCGUUUUUAAGUCAUAGUAUUUUGUUGGUUCAAGUUCGUGCAUCACUUAUCUUAAGUCAUUUCAAACGGAGAUCCAUUCCGAUUCAAAGCUUAUCACCUCUCAAGUAACUUGCCAAGUAUUGCUGGUUCUCCAACACUUGUGAAGCCAAGUGUGAGGUGAGGUUGAGUGUGAGUGAGGUGAGGCUUUUGAACUAACCCGUUUGUUCAUUUUGUAGGUUAUUUUGCUUGCUGUUUUUGCACUUCCUAGGUACAUUUUCCAUGGAAGCCGAAGGUACUACUUCCCAACCUUUGGGAAAUGAUGUUAUGAGAGCUUUGAUGGCCCAAAUGGAGGCCUUGAGUCGAGAAAUAAAGAUUGGAAAUAAUGCUGUAAGGAGUGAAUUGGAUACAAUGAGGGGUGAGAUUUCCACUUUUAGUGGAAGGCUUGAUUAUGUUGAAAGUAGAAGGAACUCACAACCUUCUACUCCUAAUCCCUACCAUGCGUCCUCUAGUGUCCAAGACAAUAACUCUUCCAUGACUAUUACCCCCGAAACUCUCCACCAAAUGCUUAAUCCUCCAAGAGCUUCACAAAACCAGCCACUAAACCUACCCCAAACCUCUCCUAACUGAACCCUACAAAGACCACUACAUUCCCAAAUGAACCAAGUCCAACAAUAGGGACUUGGAACCCAAAAUCCACCACCAAAUAUGAACCAAAUACCUCCCCAAAACACCACCUACCAAAUGCCAAAUCCCAUGGACCAAACGACCAUUCACACGUAGCCAAGCUCGGGAGUUACAAAAACUCCAAGCCUUGUUCAUGCAAAUGGCCAUUUGUGAGUUGAUGAUUGUUCCACCUAAUGGUAUAAAUGUUUUUAAGUGUGAAGAGGGGCCUUGAAGUGUAAUAAACUUACACUCCAAGGCCACCCUAUGGAAAGGCAAUCUGGUCAUUUUUUCCUUCAUUUAUGGUGUAAUAUAAAUAGAAAAUAUUAGGAUUAUUUGGAAGCUAGUUCUUUCAUAAUAUUUUGAGACAUAAACACUUAUAAUAUUGAGGAACUUCUCACUCUUCAAUUGGAGAAGCCCCAAAUCUGAAAACUCACAAGUAGAGUGAUACUUGUUUUGUAUCUUGGCUAGAAACAAGCAUCUUGUGGUCAUAGAGUUCCUCUUGGUCCAAGUAAUAACUUGGUGUUAAUAUUCUUUAGUCUUAGGGUCCUCUCUUGUUGUUAGGGUUCUUAGGCUUGAAUAUUACAUAUCAAGUUACUAUCUUCUUGUAAUCUUGUUAAGAUUGUGUUUGUAAUCUUGAAGUCUAGUGAAGCCGUGUGGGGCUCUUUCAAUUCACUAGCACCUUGUUGACUUGCUGGUUCUUGCUGAAAACUUCAUCAUCUUGUUCUAAAAAUGUGAUUCUUAAAGCCUAGUGAAGCCGUGUGUGGCCUAUUUUGAUUCACUAGCACUUGUUGUUCAACUUGUUGUUUUUGGUGUUAGUUUGUUCAUCUUGUGUUCUUGUUGGAUUCUUGCAUUGUGAACUUGAUAUUAUAUCAUUUGGUAUCAAAUCAAGGCUGGUUGUGUUCCUACACUACCAAUCUUGGGCUCUCUUGGACGAAAAUUCAAAAAAAAAAUUGUUGAAAUCUGAAAAUUCCAGAAAAAGAAAAAAAGAAAUCUGUCCAUCUUGUUGUCAUGGCCAAGAUUGGUGUUUGUGUGUUUAGAUCUAGGUGUUAUUUUAAUUUUUAGUGUGUUUCUAGUGUUGAUUUCUUUCUCACCAACACUAAGAGUGUCUAGAUCUAAAGGUGAGCUUAUAAUAUUGACCAUUGUUGUGGCAACUUGAAGUGGGCCGUAGGUUGUACCUUGUUGAUGACAAUUAGUGGUUUUGUGCUGUGUUCUUGAAGAAUUUGAUAUUGUGUUCUUGAAGAUUGUUGUGGUGUUGAUACAAUAAUAAUGGCCGCCUUAGCUUUUGACGACAUCAUUCAAAGUCACUAUGUGAAAAUCAAGCAUUGGUCACAUGGAGGGCAUAGGAUCAUACUUGGAGGGGACAUUUUGAGCCUACCAUUGAUCAAACUCAAGUGUGGAAGAUUUCUUGGAGCCUUGAAGACUUAAGGACUCUCGGGUUUGGACCACUUUUGUUGGUUCACAAUUUUGGUUCCCUUUACUAAGGGCAUUUUGGUCACUUAGCUUUAAGGGUAUUUUGGACAAUUCACACCAAGGCCACCCUUGGUCAUUUUGGGUAAUGUGGUCUUUUUGUAUAAUUUUUAAAUAUACUAUAAGUAGUACAUUUUAAGUCUUUUUUCUGGAGUUUGGAUGAAAAGAUGAAAGAUUGAAACAUUAAAAAUCCUCUCACUUGAUAGUAGAACACUUAGUCUUAGUAAGGGCUUGGAAAAGCUAGUAUUGGUCUUUGCUUGAAAACGGUGGAUCUUGAGGUGAGUUGAUUCCCUUGGCGGUCACCGUAAGAGUGUGGUUUUGAUUAUUACAUUCAUUCAGAGUUUUUGACUUAAAUACACUCUUUAGUUCUUAAUCUUGUAAUAAUCUUGGUCUCACUAUCUAUCCUUUACUUUUGUUGUUGUCAUCUUGUGUAGUGGACUGUUUUGAGUCCUUUAUUGAAUCCAAAACUUGUAUUAUUGUUAUUCAUCUUGUUCCUCACAUUUUGUAGCUUUUUUUUUGUGGUAUGUAUCUUGUAUUUUUCUUGUUGAUAGCGAAUCCGAGAGUUGUCUCCAUCUUGGUCCUCAGAUCCUUAAGAUUGGGCACUGAUUUGGAGUGCGUUUCGUGUUUCUCUUGUCAUUCCCGUAUCAUUUGGUAUCAAAGCAUGGAUUGAUCUUGUUCCUACAAGAUCAAAUCUAGGGAUAGCUCACUUGAAAAACCAAAAAAAUAAAAAGUUGAAAUCUGAAAAUUCCAGAAAAAUAGCAAUCUGUCCAUUUUGUGUUCUUGGCUGAAAAUUGUGUUCUUAUGGUGUUAUUGGCCGAGAUUUACUCUUGAGUCUAGGUAUAGGAGUCUUUUAUUUGUCUUGUGUGUUUGUGGUGUUAUUUUUGUUCUUCACUAACACUUUGAGUCAAUCUAGAUUUGAGCUUUAAAGAUUGAUGUUAUUGUGAACAAGUAAGGCCGUGUGGUAGAUAUUGUUGUUGAGAAACUUGACUUGUCCAUAUGUGUGGUUGUUGUUGUUGAAAAGAGUAUUGUUGUUGUUCUUGAAUUUAUUCACAACCUUCAUCUCUUGUUUAAAAAAAAAACUGAAAUGCAACACUAAAGAGACUUGGCCAUUGUUGGUGGUUUUGUAGUCUUAACCAUGUGAAAACAUUGUUGUCUUAGAGUGGGCCGUGUGGUUGUAUUGUGGAUAUUGGUAGUUAUUUUUUAUUGUUCUUGGAGAUGUUGAAGUAUUCUUGAUGUUAUUCCCAACCUUCAUACCUUUUUAAAAUAAAGUGAAUGCUAGAUCUAUAAAGGUGAAGGGGAAAAUGUGAAGAAUUGUCAGUCUUGAAAGACCCCCUGAUACGAGAAAUACAAGGGAGCACGAAACACACUCCAAAUCAGUCCACUAAUCUUAAGGAUUCGAGGACAAAGAUGGACAACACACUCGGAUUCACUACCAACAACAAGAAUACAAGAUACAAGGGUGUAUUUCAACACCAAAACAGCUAUAAAAUGUGAUGUCCAAUAUCAACAAAAAUAACACAAGUUUUGGAUUCAAUUAAUGACCCAAAACAAUCCACUACACAAGAUAAGAACAACAAAAGUAAAGGAUAUAUAGUGAGACCAAGAUUAUUACAAGCUUAAGAACUAAAUAGUGUAUUAAACUCAAAAACUCUUAAUGAAUGUAAUAAUCAAAACCACACUCUUACGGUGACCGCCAAGAGAAUCACUCACCUCAAGAUCCACCGUUUCCAAGCAAAUAACAAUAUUGGCUUUUCCAAGCCCUAACUAAGAACUAUACUAAGGUGUUUCACUCUCCAAAGAGAGAAUAAGUCUUUCCAAUGUUCAUCAUUCAUUAACUAGUAAAAAUAAGACUAAAGGGGCCUAUUUAUAAUAUAUUACAAAUGAAGAUAAAAAGACCACUUUGCCCAUAUUGAGAGGGGCUACCAUGGUGUGUAAAUAUACCAUAUAUAAUGUAUUAAAUACCCUCAAUGAAGGGGCAGCCAAUGUAUGUUAUAACUUGAAUGAGUGGCGCCUUUGCAAUGCUCUCAAAAACCGAGUAUGGUUCAUACUUCAUAGCUUGUGGCUCUCGAGUUAGCAUCAAUGUAAGAAACCAAGCAACCUUCUACACACGAGAUUGCUUUAAGUCAUGCUCAAAAUGAUCCUUCCUUGCGUAUACAUGUGCUCUCGAGGUGACCAAGUCUUGAGCAUUUACGUGUAGGCCAUCAAAGAUGUCAUCAAAAGCUAUGGUGGUCAUUUGACUCGUGUCAUCCUAUCCAUCUUGAAAAGGAUUCGACCUCGAAUCCAAACCUUGCAAAACCAAAGAAAGGACACACAAAUACAAAAUCCUCAUGGAAUGAAGGUUAGGGUUAGCAUGACAAAUCACCUCAACAUUCCAAGGUUGCACAUAUUCAGAUAUAACCAAAGAUCUUUUGAACUAAAUAUUAAAUAAUUAAUGAAAAAUCCACAAAGGAUUUGGUUAUGGAAUUUAUCAAAAGUGAUACUUUGCUUUUCAUGUAAACCAAGCAACAAGUUGGGUGCACCAUCAUCAUAAAAUCUAUAUUUGGCACCGGGGUCAAACGGGAAGAGUGGCCAUAGACACGGGUCUAGACAACACUCCUCUUUCCCGUGGUCUCUCUCCAAACUAAAUGGCGUACUCUCUAAAUAGCAUACAUAUUAUCCAAAGCAAAUAAAGAGUAGAGAAAGGUAUCACUCAAGUCAACUUCUAUUAAGGUGCCCUCAUGUGUGUCCUCACUACUAGUUUCACAAUUAUCACCAUGAGUACUCUCAAAAAUAAAAUCACACAAAGUAGAAGGAGAAGUAGUUUCCAAGACUACAAAUCCCUUACACUUAAGAGUACUUUCAUCUUCCAAGAAGUGAUUUCCAUCUUUAGUAGAAAUGUUGUCACACCAUAGUAGGUUAGAUAUUGGCUAUAGCUUCUAAGGCAAGCUAUACCAUCAUUUUCACCACUAGGUUCAUUAGGAGUGGUUAUAUCAUAUUCAAAUAAGAUGCUAAACCUAAAGAGAGCAUGAUCUAUUUCAUGGGCAGAUUCGGAACAAACACGUUCAUCACUCUCUAAAAAAUCAAUAUCAAGUUUCAAAGAGAUUUCAAGUGCAAGAUUAUCCCAAGAAUAGAUCUCGAAUUCACUCUUUGAUCAAUAUUUUCAACAUCAUCACACACUUAAGGUUCAUUAAUUACAUCUUACAGAUCCUCAAGUGGUGGGUAAUUUUCACACAUAAGUUGAUCAACACAAAUUUUAGAAGAUAAUGUACUUUCAUUCAACAUAAUAGUUUCAACACUAGGUGGACAUAGAUCGAUCUUACAAGAAGAGUCGAUUCAUCAUCAAUAGGAUCAACUAGUGUUUCCACACUCACAAUAUUUACAUUAUCAUCAAGUGGCAAAGAAACAAUAGACUCACAUAUAGGCAAGAUACAACUCACACUCAAUGGGCUACUAGCCACACAAUUAUCAUUCACAUGUACAAAAGUGUAAGAGUUAAGCAUUUUACCUUGAAGUCCUUGAGUAGAUUCUUCUUUGUCAUGGUGUGAAGGUCCUCCAAAAGCUUGGGCAGAAACUUCCUUUUGGCUUUGUUCAUAUUCGCUUGCCAUGUUGGUACCUACACAAAUGUCCUUAGAAAUAGAAGGACAACCAAUAUUAGCACAGUUUGGUGGUAAUCCCCUCGCUUCUCUUCACAUAACCUAUUUUUUUCCACUCUCGGAUUACCACCUUGCACUCCCUUACUCCUCUCAAUUUUUUAUCUCUCAUAACUAUUUGGAUUAGAGUAGGUAGGCAUUUCUCUUCGUGGCUUGGGAAGCAAGUAAGUCAUGAGGCAAUUUCCUCAUUGGUCUCUUACAACAUUAGGUCAAUUUUCCACGUUAGGAACUUGAUGUUGUGCAAACCAAUCGGCGCCUAAGUAUACAUGACCGUAGGCCAAGGGAAGAAUAUUGCACCACACCUCCUCAUGGUAUUCAUAUUGGGAAAAGAUAACUUUUACCCUCUCAGUAACCUUGAACCCGUCCAAGAAGUCUGGAACAAGUAAAGGAUCGCAAAACAACCCCAAGUAGUCAACCAUGGAUGGAACGAUGUAGUUUCUAUAGUACCUAUCAUUAACACAACGAGGCAUCCCGGUAUCCCACAAAUAGUCAUCUUUCUAGAGUGUACACUCCUUGUUGGAUCAACAUUGUAAGGCAUAUGAGUACCCCUUAGUUUUGGAGAUGCAUACCCUCUUCUUCUCAUUGGAAAACCUCCACUAUAGCUAGUAUAACCAUUCACACUAUAUCGACCUUGAUAAGAAGUACUACAAGGUGGAGAAUAUGAAUAUUCACACUCCUCACAUGUACUCUCAUCAUAUGUCUCAUAAGUUUUUCGAACGAAAGGGUUAUACCUAACACCAAAUCUAGGUUUGGAGUGAAAAUUAUAUGACUUCUCACAUGCCUCAACGUUAUCAUAUGAUCCAUCACGAGGUGCUAUAUCAUCUCCAAAGUCACCAUAAGCACUAGGUACUUUAUUCACCUCAUUUUCUUCCUCAAAACAGUAACUUUUAAAUCUGCCCAAGUUUUGAUCAUGGCUAUUUUCAUAGCCUCCGUAAUCUCCCUCAACUUCGUAUCCAUAAAAACCCUUACUACAAUCAUAGUCUCCCAUAUUAUAGUCACAAUAAUCCCCGGCUAUCGAACACAUGUUCCCCUUAUAUUACCUUUUAAACCUACAAAAUAAACAAACAAGAUUAGUAGUAAAAGCUCCUCACCUACACUCGUAUUCACUCACUUUUGUGAUCCUCACAAUUUGGAGCGGCGAAUAUUGAAAGUUUAUUAUACUCCGGUAGUCAAUAAGAUGUCAAUUCUACUUGGCGGCCGAAAUAGAUUCUUGUUUGAUCGACUUAAGACACAAAAUAAAAUCUACUUACGAACUUGAAACAAAGAAGUUACAACGAGUUAAAAAAUAAAAAUAAAACAUAAAUAACGAAGACACGAAAGAAACGGACUCAACAACUAAUCUACAACUAGGUGAUUACUAGUUGCUAAUUAGUAUUAGAACCAACAACGAAACUAAGGGACAGUAAAAAUGAAACUAAGAAUCUAAAAUUUUGAGCUCAAAAAUAUUGCGUGAACAGUAGAAGUGAUGAUGUGGCAGCCACAUAUUGGUUCGGUUUUAUCAAGUGGUUAUUCUCAAAUAUUUAAGUCUUGGUCAAAAAUUAAUUUGGAUUGAUGGAAUUUGUUUUAGGAGGGAAAAUAAGUCUUGGGGCCUUUUUCAAUUUUCAAGACAUGACUUUUUCUUGUAUUUCUCCUUAAAACGUGGGUCGUUAAAUCAUGUAAAAGUGGUUGAGAAGUUAUAUGAAGUCUUUUGGUGGUUGUGGGUCUUUCAAGACUAACAAGUACAUAAACCUUUUUCCUUCACCUUUUAGGAUCUAACAUUCACUUUAUGUUCUAAAAAUAUGUGAAGGUGAAGAACUUCAAGAACAACAACAACCACACCAAGAACAAUAACAACAAUCUUCAAGAACAAUAAUAAUUCCAACGGCCAACUCCAAUCCACAAUAACAAUAUCUCCAACACUUGGCCAAGACAACUACAACUUCAACAAAAUGGUUCUCAAGCCACCAAGUAACAGCAAUAUCACGUGGUCAAGUGUAGAACAUCAAGGAGAAACCACAUGGACAAAACAGUCCACCACAACAAUGGUCAACAAAAAUGAGCCAAGCUUAUGUUCACAACAACAACUUUCAACAAGUUCAAGCUCAAGUUUAGAUCUAGACUCAAAGUGUUAGUGGACAAGAAAAAUAACACUAGAAACAACAAAACAAACAAGAACACUACUAGAUCUAGUAACACAACAAACAAAUCUCGGCCAAGACAACAAGAACACAACUUUGGCCAAGAACACAAACACAGACAGAUUGCUAUUUGUCUAGAAUUUUCAGUUUUAACACUUCUUGUUUUUAGAAUUUUCUAACAAGCAAGCCCAAGAUUGAUCUUGUAGGAAUAAGAUCAAUCCAUGCUUUGAUAUCAAAUGAUACGAGAAAUACAAGGGAGCACAAAACACACUCCAAAUCAGUCCACUAAUCUUAAGGAUUCGAGGACAAAGAUGGACAACACACUCGGAUUCACUACCAACAACAAGAAUACAAGAUACAAGGGUGUAUUUCAACACCAAAACAGCUAUAAAACGUGAUGUCCAAUAUCAACAAAAAUAACACAAGUUUUGGAUUCAAUUAAUGACCCAAAACAGUCCACUACACAAGAUAAGAACAACAAAAGUAAAGGAUAUAUAGUGAGACCAAGAUUAUUACAAGCUUAAGAACUAAAGAGUGUAUUAAACUCAAAAACUCCUAAUGAAUGUAAUAAUCAAAACCACACUCUUACGGUAACCGCCAAGAGAAUCACUCAACUCAAGAUCCACCGUUUUCAAGCAAAUAACAAUAUUGGCUUUUCCAAGCCCUAACUAAGAACUAUACUAAGGUGUUUCACUCUCCAAAGAGAGAAUAAGUCUUUCAAAUGUUCAUCAUUCAUUAACUAGUGAAAAUAAGACUAAAGGGGCCUAUUUAUAAUAUAUUACAAAUGAAGAUAAAAAGACCACUUUGCCCAUAUUGAGAGGGGCUACCAUGGUGUGUAAAUACACCAUAUAUAAUGUAUUAAAUACCCUCAAUGAAGGGGCAGCCAAGGUAUGUUAUAACUUGAAUUAAUGGCGACUUUUCAAUGCUCUCAAAAACCGAGUAUGGUUCAUACUUCAAAGUUUGUCGCUCUCGAGUUAGCAUCAAUGUAAGAAACCAAGCAACCUUCUACACAUGAUGAUACAAGAAUGACAAGGGAAGCACGAAACACACUCCAAAUCAGUCCACAAUCUUAAGGAUCCGAGGACCAAGAUGGAGACCCCUCUCGAAUUCGCUAUCAACAACAAGAAUACAAGAUACAAUGGUGUAUAUAACACCAAAAAACAACUACAAAAAGUGAGGAACAAGAUGAAUAACAAUAACAUAAGUUUCAAAUUUAAUAAAGGACCCAAAAUAGUCCACUACACAUGAUGAUAACAACAAAAGUAAAGGAUAGAUAGUGAGACCAAGAUUAUUACAAGAUUAAGAACUAAAGAGUGUAUUAAACUUUAAAAACCCUAGUGAAUGUAAUAAUCAAAACCACACUUUUACGGUGACCACCAAGGGAAUCAACUCACCUCAAAAUCCACCGUUUCCAAGCAAAGAUCAAUACUAGCUUUUCCAAGCCCUAACUAAGACUAAGUGUUCUACUCUCAAGAGAGAGGAUUUUUAAUGUUUCAAUCUUUCAUAUUUUCAUCCAAACUAGUGAAAAUAAGAGUAAAGGGGGCUAUUUAUAAUAUAUUACAAAUGAAGAUAAAAAGACCACUUUUCCCUUAAUGAGAGGGGCUACCAUGGUGUGUAAAUACACCAUAUGUAAUGUUUAUAAAAUACCCUUAAUAAAGGGGCAACCAAGGUAUGUUAUAACUUGAAUGAAUGGCACCUUUUCAAUGCUCUCAAAAAUCGAGUAUGGUUCAUACUUCAAGGCUUGUGGUUCUUGGGUUAGCAUCAAUGUAAGCAACCAAGAAACCUUCCACACACGAGAUUGCUUUAAGUCAUGCUCAAAAUGAUCCUUCCUUGCGUAUACUUGUGCUCUCGGGGUGACCAAGUCUUGAGCCUUUUCGUGUUGGCCUUCAAAGAUGUCAUCAAAAGCUAAGGUGGCCAUUUGACUCGUAUCAUCCUCCCCAUCUUGAAAAGGAUUCGACCUCGAAUCCAAAUCUUGCAAAACGAAAGAAAGGACACACAAAUACAAACUCCUCAUGGAAUGAGGGUUAGGGUUAGCACGACAAAUCACCUCAACAUUCCAAGGUGGCACAUAUUUAGAAUAUAACCAAGGAUCCCUUGAACUAAAUAUUAAAUAAUUAAUGAUAAAUGCACAAAGGGUUUGGUUAUGGAAUUUAUCAAAAGUGAUACUUUGCUUUUCAUGUAAACCAAGCAACAAGUUGGGUGCCCCCAUAAUCAUAAAAUCUAUAUUUGGCAUCGGGGUCAAAUGGGAAGAGUGGCCAUAGACACGGGUCUAGACAACACUCCCCUUUCCCAUGGUCUCUCCCCAAACUAUAUGGCGUAGUCUUGACACUAGCAUAUAUAUUAUCCCAAGCAAAUAGAGAGUAGAGGAAGGUAUCACUCAAGUCAACUUCUACUAAGGUGCCCUCAUGUGUGUACUCACUACUAGUUUCACAAUCAUCACCAUGAGUACUCUCAACAAUAAAAUCACACAAAGUAGAAGGAGAAGUAGUUUUCAAGACUACACAACGCUUACCCUUAAGAGUACUUUCAUCUUCCAAGAAGUGAUUUCCAUAUUUAGUAGAAAUGUUGUCACACCAUAGUGGGUUAGCAUAUCGGCUAUAGCUUCUAAGGCAAGCUAUACCAUCAUUUUCACCACUAGGUUCAUUAGGAGUAGUUAUAUCAUCUUCAAACAAGACAUUAUACCUCAAGAGAGCAUCAUCUAUUUCAUGGGCAGAUUUUUAACAAACAUAUUUAUCACUCUCUAAAAGAUCGAUAUCAAGUUUCAAAGAGAUUUCAAGUGUAAGAUUAUCCCAAGAAUAGCUCUCGAGUUUACUGCUAUUCCUUUGAUCAACAUUUUUAACAUCAUCACACACUUGAGGUUCAUUAAUUACACACAUCCUCAAGUGAUGGGUAAUUUUCACACAUAAGUUGAUCAACACAAAUUUCAGAAGAUAAUGUACUUUUAUUCUAAAUAAUGUUUUCAACACUAGGUGGACAUAAAUCGAUCUUACAAGAAGAGUCAAUUCGGUUAUCAAUAGGAUCAACUAAUGUAUCCACACUCACAAUAUGUACAUCAUCAUCAAGUGGAAAAGAAACAAUAGAAUCACAUAUAGGCAAGCUACAAUUCACACUCAAUGGGCUACUAGCCACACAAUUAUCAUUCACAUGUACAAAACUGUAAGAGCUAACCAUUUUACCUUGAAGUCCUGGAGUAGAUUCUUAUUUGUCAUGGUGUGAAGGUCCUCCAAAAGCUUGGGCAGCAACUUCCUUUUUGAUAUGGGAAAGACAAGGGAAGCAGGAAACAAACACCAAAUUAGUCCACUAAUCUUAAGGAUUCGAGGACCAAGAUGUAGACCACACUCGGAUUCGCUACCAACAACAAGAAUACAAGAUACAAGAGUAUAUUUUAAUACCAAAACAGCUACAAAAUGUUAUGAACAAGAUGAACAAUAAUACAAGUUUUGGAUUCAACGAAGACCCCAAAACAGUCCACUACACAAGACAUACACGAUUUGCAAGAAAUUAAGAUAGAUAGUGAGACCAAGAUUAUUACAAGAUUAAGAACCAAGUGUAUUUCAACACUAAACCCUAAUGAAUGUAACAAUCAAAACCACACUCUUACGGUGACCACCAAGGGAAUGAACUCACCUCAAGAUCUAUCAUUUCCAAGCAAAGAUCAAUAUUGGCUUUUCCAAGCCUUAUGAUAAGGAUGACUUUUCCAAGCCAUACAACUAAGGGUGUUACACUCUUAAAAGCGAGAAACUUCAUCAUUCCAAAUCUAGUGAAAAUAAGACUAAGGGGGCUUAUUUAUAAUAUAUUCCAAAUGAUGAUAAAAAGACCACUUUGCCCUUAAUGAGAGGGGCGGCCAUGGUGUGUAAAUACACCAUGUGUAAUGUCCAAAACGCCCUUAAUUAGUGUCCCAAACCGUGAGUCCUUAACCUUAAAUGCUCCAAGAAAUCUUCCACACGCGAGAUUGCUUUAAGUUAUGCUCCAAACAGGUCCUCAAUGCAUGUUCUUGUGUUCUCGAGGUAACCAAGUCUUGAGCCUCUAUGUGUUGGCCUCCAAAAAUGUCAUCAAAAAAUAAGAUUGCCAUUUGCCGCGUAUUAUCCUCCCCUUCUUGAAAAGGAUUUAACCUCGAAUCCAAACCUUUCAAAACCAAAAAGAGGACAAACAAAUACAAACUCCUCAUGGCAUGAGGGUUAGGGUUAGCAUAGCAAACCAUAUCAACAUCCCAAGGUUACACAUAUUUGCAAUAUAACCAAGAAUCCUUUGAAAGAAAUAUUAAAAACUCAAUAAAAGAUAUACAAAGGAUUUGGUUAUAGGAUAUAUCAAGAGUGACACUUUGCUUGUCAUGUAGACCAAGUAGUAAGUUUGGUGCACUAACAUCACCAUUUUUAAAUUUGGCGCCGGGGUCAAAUGGGAAAAGUGGCCAUAGACACGGGUCUCGACAACACUUCUCUUUCCCAUGGUCUACAACCAAACUAAAUGGCAUACUCUCAAUAAUAACAUACAUAUCAUCCAAAGAAAAUAGAGAGUAGAGAAAGGUAUCACUCAAAUCGACUUCUACUAAGGUGCUCUCAUGUGUGUACUCACUACUAGUUUUCCAAUAAUCACCAUGAGUACUCUCAAUAAUGAAAUCACACAAAGUAGAAGAAGAACUAGCUUCCGCAACUACACAUUCCUUACCCUUAAGAGUACUCUCAUCUUAGUUUCAAGGAUGUUUCCAACACAACAUUACCCCAAGAAGAGCUCUCAGGUUCAUUCUUACUUUGAUCAAUAUUUUCAACAUUAUCACACACUUGAGGUUCAUUAAUUACAUCAUACACAUCCUCAACUGAUGGGUAAUUUUCACACAUAAUUUGAUCAACACAAAUUUUAGAAGGUAAUGUACUUUCAUUCAACAUAAUGGUUUCAACACUAGGUGGACAUAAAUCGAUCUUACAAGAAGAGUCUAUUCGGUCAUCAAUAGGAUCAACUAGUGUAUCCACACUCACAACAUGUACAUCAUCAUCAAGUGGCAAAGAAACAAUAUACUCACAUAUAGGAAAGCUACAACUCACACUCAAUGGGCUACUAUCCACACAAUUAUCAUUCACAUGUACAAAAGUGUAAGAGUUUUCCAUUUUACCUUGAAAUCCUUGGUAGAUUCUUCUUUGUCAUGGUGUGAAGGUCCUCUAAAAGUUUGGGCAGCAACUUCCUUUUGCCAUUGUUCUUCUUCGCUUGCAUGUUGGUACCUACACAAGUGUUCUUAGAAAUAGAAGGAAAACCAAUGUUAGCAUGGUUUAGUGGUAAUCCUCUUACUUUUCUCCACACAACCUCUCCUUUUUCUACUCUCGGAUUACCACCCUGCACUCUCUUAUUCCUCUUAAUCUUUUGUCUCUCAUAAUAAUUCAGAUUGGAGUAGGUAGGCAUUCGUGGCUUGGGUAGCAAGUAAGUCAUGAGGCGAUUCGCCCAUUGGUCUCUUAUAAUAUUUGGCCAAUUUUGCACAUUUGGAACUCUAUGUUCUGCAAACCAAUCGGCACCUAAGCAUACAUGAGCGUAUGUCAAUGGAAGAAUAUCACACCACACCUCCUCAUGGUAUUCAAAUUGGGAGAAUACAACUUUAACCCUCUCGGUAACCUUAAAUCCAUCCAAGAAGUAUGGAACAAGUAAAGGAUCACGAAACAACCCCAAGUAGUCAACCAUGGAUAGAACGAUGUAGUUUCUAUAGUACCUAUCAUUUAGUACAACGAGGCAGCCCGGUAUCCUACACAUGGUCACCUUUCCAGAGUGUACACUCCUUCUUGGAUCAACAUUGUAAGGCAUAUAAGUACCCCUUGGUUUUGGAGAUGCAUACCCUCUUUUUCUCAUUGGACAACCUCCACUAGAGCUAGUAUAACCAUUAGUACUAUAUAGACUUUGAUAAGAAGUACUACAAGGUGGAGAAUAUGUAUCUUCAUACUCCUCACGUGUACUCUCAUCAUAGCUCUUAUAAGCUUUGCGAACAAAAAGGGUUGUACCUAACACCAAAUCUAGGUUCGGAGUAAGAAGUGUAAGACUUCUCACAUGCCCCAACAUCAUCAUAAGAUCCAUCACGAGGUCCUACAACAUCUCCAAAGUUACCAUAACCACUAGGCACUUCAUUCACCUCACUUUCUCCCUUAAAAUAGUAACUUUCAAAUCUGCCCAAGUUUCGGUCAUGGCUAUUUUCAUAGCCUCCACAAUCUCCCUCAACUUCGUAGCCAUAAAACCCCUCACUACAAUCAUAGUCUCCCAUGUUGUAGUGACAAUAAUCCCCGGCUAUCGAAGGCAUAUUCCCCUUAUAUCACCUUUUAAACCUACAAAAUAAACAAACAAGAUUAGUAGUAAAAACUUCUCACUAACACUUAUAUUCACUCACCUUUGUGAUUCUCACAAUUGGAGUGGCAAAUAUUGAAAGUUGCUUAUACUCAGGUAGUCAAUAGGAUGUCAAUUCUACUUGGUGGCCGGAAUAGAUUCUUGUUUGAUCGACUCAAGACACAAAAAUAAAAUUUACUUAUGAACUUGAAACAAAGAAGUUACUACGAGUUAAAAAUGAAGAAAGCACACAAAUAAUGAAGACACGAAGAAACAAAUUCAAUAAUUAACCUACAACUAAGUAGGUGAUUACUAGUUGUUAAUUAAUUCUAGAAUCAAGACAUGAAACUAAUGAAACAAUAAAGUCUUGGUCAAAAAAAAAUUAAUUUAGAUUGGUGGAAUUUGUUUUAGGAGGGAAAAUAAGUCUUGGAACCCAAGACUUGACUUUUUCUUGUACUUUUCCUUAAAAUAUGGAUCCUUAAAUCAUGGAAAAGUGUUGGAAAGUGGUUGAGACUUGAUUGAUAGGUCCUUGUUGGUUGUAGUGUCUUUCAAGACUAACAAAUAAUACACCCUUUUCCUUCAGCUUUUUGGAUUUAGCAUUCACUUUAUCUUCAACAAUAUAUGAAGGUGAUGAACAUCAAUAACAACAACAACAACACCAACAACUACAACAAUAAUCUUCAAGAACACAAUUUUUCACACGGCCAACUCCAAUCCACAAUAACAUUAUCUCUAACACUUGGCCAAGACAACUACAAAUUCAACAAGUUCAAGCUCAAGUUUAGAUGUAGACUCAAAGUGUUAGUGGACAAGAAAACUAACACUAAAAACAACAAAACAAACAAGAACACUACUAUAUCUAUACAUACAACAAACAAAUCUCGGCCAAGAUACAACAAGAACGCAAUUUUCCCCCAAGAACACAAAGGUGGCAGAUUUGACUGUUUCUGGAAUUUUCAGAUUUCAGUUUUUUAUUUUGUGGAGUUUUCAAUUUCUCAAGCCCAUGAUUGAUCUUGUGGGAACAAAAUCAAGCCAUGAUUUGAUACCAAAGGGUAUGGGAAAGACAAGGGAAGCACGAAACAAACACCAAAUCAGUCCACUAAUCUUAAGGAUUCGAGGACCAAGAUGGAGACCACACUCGGAUUCGCUACCAACAACAAGAAUACAAGAUACAAGAGUAUAUUUUAACACCAAAACAGCUACAAAACGUUAUGAACAAGAUGAACAAUAAUAAUACAAGUUUUGGAUUCAACGAAGACCCCAAAACAGUCCACUACACAAACAUACAUGAUUUGCAAGAAAUUAAGAUAGAUAGUGAGACCAAGAUUAUUACAAGAUUAAGAACCAAGUGUAUUUCAACACUAAACCCUAAUGAAUGUAACAAUCAAAACCACACUCUUACGGUGACCACCAAGGGAAUGAACUCACCUCAAGAUCUACCGUUUCCAAGCAAAGAUCAAUAUUGACUUUUCCAAGCCCUAUGCUAAGGAUGACUUUUCCAAGCCCUACAACUAAGGGUGUUACACUCUCAAAAGAGAGAAAAUAUGUCUUUCAAUUCUUCAUCAUUCCAAAUCUAGUGAAAAUAAGACUAAGGGGGCCUAUUUAUAAUAUAUUACAAAUGAAGAUAAAAGACCACUUUGCCCUUAAUGAGAGGGGCAGCCAUGGUGUGUUUCUUGUAUUCUCGAGGUGACCAAGUCUUGAGCCUCUAUGUGUUGGCCUCCAAAAAUGUCAUCAAAAGAUAAGAUGGCCAUUUGUCCCAUAUCACUUUUGGCAUUGUUCGUCUUCACUUGCCAUGUUGGUACCUACACAAAUAUCCUUAGAAAUAUAAGGACAACCAAUGUUAGCAGAGUUUGGUAGUAAUCCCCUCACUUCGCUCCACCUAACCUCUUCUUUUUCCACUCUCAGAUUACCACUGUGCACUCCCUCACUCCUCUCAAUAUUUUGUCGCUCAUAAUUAUUUGGAUUGGAGUAGGUAGGCAUUUCUCUUCGUGGCUUGGGCAGCAAGAAAGUCAUGAGGCGAUUUCCCCAUUGGUCUCUUACAACAUUAGGCCAAUUUUUCACAUUAAGAACAUGAUGUUGUGCAAACCAAUCGGUUUCUAAGUAUACAUGACCAUACGCCAAGGGAAGAAUAUCGCACCACACCUCCUCAUGGUAUUCAUAUUGGGAUAAGAUAACUUUUACCCUCUCGGUAACCUUGAACCCGUCCAAGAAGUAUGUAAUAAGUAAAGGAUCGGAAAACAACCCCAAGUAGUCAACCAUGGAUGGAAUGAUGUAGUUUCUAUAGUACCUAUCAUUUAAUACAACGAGGCAGCCCGGUAUCCCACAAAUGGUCACCUUUCCAGAGUGUACACUCCUUAUUGGAUCAACAUUGUUAGGCAUACGAGUACCCCUUGGUCUUGGAGAUGCAUACCCUCUUCUUCUCAUUGGACAACCUCUACUAUAACUAGUAUAACCAUUUAAACUAUAUUGACCUUGAUAAGAAGUACUACAAGGAUAAGAAUAUGAAUAUUCACACUCCUCACGUGUACUCUCAUCAUAUGUCUCAUAAGUUUUUCUAACGAAAGGGUUAUACUUUAACGCCCCAAUUCUAGUAAUCGAAAUGCUACACGGUGCCCAUGACCCCAAAGGACCACAAGCUAACCCAUGACUGAUAUCUGUACCUGUACACUACAUAAUAUACAUGAUAAAGCGGAAUACGUAAGAGCUGUAAGACCAUAAGGUUCAUAUUUAAUAAAGUAAUAACAUCUGACAUACGGUAUCACAAUACCACAACUUAAAAUACUAAAGUCUAAAUCAAAUCUGAAAGCCUCUACAUAUGUCUAAAUAAAGAGUUGAGUGGAUAUGUUCCCAACUAACUCCAUAUACUGAAAGCAAAUGAAAUAAGUAAUGAUAGCGUAAUAGUCUUCGAAGUAUGAGGACUCACUGUGACUUUGCUGCUGAAACUGAAAUACUACUAGUGCUCUGGAGCUCGUGCUGCUGAACAUAUGCAUGAACAAUACUGACUAACAUAAACAUGAGAAUAUAUGCAUGAAUACAUAAUGACUGUAACUGAGAUCAUUAUACAUGAUUACUGAGUCUGGGUACUUAUAUCAUGAGUUUACUAAUAACUGAUAUGACUGAUACUGUUGACUAUAUUUGACAGUUCUGAUAACUGAUAACAUAAGUGAUUGUAUCUGACAGCCUUGAUAUUCUGAACAACUAUCUGAGUUCUUUUACUAAUACUGAUACUGACACUGUGGGAAGUAGUUAUCUAACUGACAUGCCCCAUAUAUUGCUAUUAUAGCUGAUCUAGGGUCCAAUCUGUACCCUGACUGAAGGGUGUUAAUACUGCGCCACUGGUAAGAACAAACUGUAAGUAACCCUCAUCUGGCAGGUACUCUAAUAAAAAUGGUGGGAACCCUCAUCUGACAGGUUAAGCCACCUCAUCUACCCUCAACUGACAGGUAUUGAUGUCUCAACCUACGCUGGCUACGUAGUUCUGAAAUGCAAGGAUUGCUUCUAAGAAUCACACCCUCUACUGGCAGGAGAGUUCCCGUCCUUGGGUUUACUCGGUGCUAAUUACUACUCCCAUCUAAAUAGAUAAUGAACAUGAUAAACUAAACGGUACAUGGACUGAGUUUACUAAAUUCAGUUGUCUCACGGAAUAUUAUCAACUGAGUUCAUGAGAUUACUGAGAUUUUUCCUGAGUCACAUGACUAACUGAAUUCUAUUAAACAUGGCUUGACUGAGGAUAUCGUGAAAACAUAACAUACCUCUAGACACACAACUAUAUUUUUCGGGUACAAGUACCCCCAGGAAUCGAUAGAAGAAAACUGACAAAGCAUGACUUUCUUGAAUACAUGACCAACAUCCACAAUCCACAAUACCAUAAUUUGGGCAAUUUAAUAACAUAAUGGUUAUCACAAUCGUGUACUAAAUGGGAUUGCAAAUAGACAUAGCAUAAAUCCAUAGAGCUAGUUCAUGAACAACCCAACAAGGUUUACAAGACACCUUCAUAGCAUGGAAACCAUUUGGACAUAGAGGUGUAUCAUGAAUCCAUCAUUUAGCCAUAAUUUAGCUAUAUUACAUGAUUUCUAGUUUUUUAGGCAUCUUAUCAAACACCUUACAUGUACAAUUUUGGACAUAGGUAAAAUUAUCAAUUCAACAAAUCAUAAACCACCAAAUUUAUGGAUUUCAACUUAUAUACUAACAUGUUUCAUAAAAUCACCUAAAGAUUCCAACUUGGGAAUUAUCCAACACCAACAACAUGGUCAUCAACGUCCAACUUGCAAUUUCAAGAACUCAACAUCAAGUUCAUAUGAAUAAUAAUACAAAAUAAAUUAAUUUUCAUGGUUUCUUGAGAUAACUCAUGGAAUUAAAAUUUAAUUUACUUCAACAACAUGGUUGUAAUCAACCCACAACAUAAAUAUCAUGAUUUAUAGAUUUGAAAGAGGGUUUUUGAGCUUCAUAGAAGAAAGGAAUCCAUGAAUCAACACUAUGCAUACCUUAGAUGAAAGAUUCUUGAAGAUUAACGGUGAAAUUCCUUAAUUCUUGAACCUCCUAUAAAAACCCUAUACUUGUUCUUGAUGAAUUUUGAGAGAAAACAAGCAUAUGUUGCUAAAUUAUAACUGAUUCUCAUAUUUUUGUGUAUAUAUAGAGAGGUGGGAAAGACUAAAAUACCCCUGGAGAAAGAGAGAAAGACGAAGUUGUCCUCUGUUGUUUUCAGGCUGAUAGGCUAAAGUAAAUUGAUCAUAACUCUUUACCCAGAUGUGCAAGUUAAAUAAAACCAAUUGCAUUGGAAAGAAGACUCAAAGAGCUUUCGAUUGAUUGGUAGAAGAUCUCACAGUUCAUUAUAUACAGGAAGUUAUGAUCGUUUGAAAUUGACCCUGAAAUGCUGAAAAUUUCUGGAGCAUGCUAUAGAGCAUGCGACGCAUGCAAAUCGCAUGGUGCUUCUGUUUUGAAAUCCAAACACACCCUAAACGGAUUCCAAAAAUUUCGAAACUCACCCGAGAUGUACUCUUGACUUCCAUGAUUACAACGCAACUUUAAAAUUAAAAAACGGAGGUCAGGAAGGUUGUCAAAUAAAUCCCUAAAGUUCGGAGUUAUAAAAGGAGACUAAGUGUAUUUAACACUUAGCAAAAAUUCUUCUUAAGUGUUGGAUUUCCUUAUCAACCCUUAAGGAGAUGAAUUUAAACUUAGAAUUUUACGGGGUCUUACAAUAUCUCCCCCUUGAGAACAUUCAUCCUCGAAUGAGACUGACUGAGAGAGGAAAUAAUAAGUUGAACAUGAACUGAACAUGAGUCACUAAAAUGUGAUUUCAUUACUAAUAAGCUGAAUUUAUAUUAUACUGGACAUGCAUAUCUUAUACACGUGUAACUGAUUCAUGAGUGCAUGACUGAGUGUUCUGAUGAACUGAAUUUCUCACAAUGAGAAUGCAUAUCUGAUGCAUGAUUAUAUAACUGAACUGAUACAUGAAUGCAUGACUGAAUAUGUAAGGGUACUUAUACCAAUUUUGUGAUAGGUACUGAACAUGAAACUGAAUAAGCUUAAGGAAGACUAUUACCUUGAUCUAGAUCUGAAUUAACGGAGAAGAGGUGAGGAUAAUUGGUCCGCUACCUUCUUCUGUUUCCUAAGUAGCUCCCUCAACGGACUGAUUCCGCCAAAGAACUUUGACUAGAGAGACCUCUUUGUUCCUCAGUCUAUGAGUCUGAUAGUCAAGAAUCUCGACUGGAAUCUCUUCGUAAGAGAGGCUAUUCUGAACAUCAAUGCUAUGAAUAGGGACUACGUCACCUACGCACUUAUUAAGUAAAGAAACAUGGAAUACUGGAUGAAUUGAGGCUAGAUCUGAAGGUAACUCGAGCUCAUAAGCUACCUUGUUGAAGCAACUGAGAAUCUUGAAGGGACCGAUAUAUCGAGGACUGAGCUUUCCCUUCUUGGUGAAUCUCUUUACUCCCUUCAUGAAAGAGAUAUUUAAAUAGACAUAAUCACCAAUAUCAAACUCAAGAUCCUUUCUGCGUACAUCAACAUACAAUUUCUAUUGGCUCUGAACUGUCUUGAGCCUUUCUCUGAUCAAUUGAACUUUCUCUAAGGCAUCGAAUACUAAGUCAGGCCCUAUGACUGCAGCCUCACUAACUUCGAACCAGUCAACUGGAGAUCUGCAUCUCCUACCAUAGAGAGCUUCAAAUGGAGCCAUCUGAAUACUGGAAUAAUAGCUAUUGUUGUAUGCAAACUCAAUCAAAGGCAAGUGGUCAUCCCAACUUUCCUUGAAAUCAAUUGCACACGCCCUUAGCAUAUCUUCUAAAGUCUGAAUGGUCAUUUCAGCUUAACCAUCUGUCUGAGGAUGAAAGGCUGUACUAAGAUGGACUUGGGUACCAAGACCCUUUUGUAAUGCUUUCCAGAAAUGAGAGGUGAACUAGGUACCUCUAUAUGAGAUAAUAGAUGAUGGAACACCAUGCAAUCUGACCAACUCUCUGAUAUAGAGUUUGGCAUAAUCCUCAGCAGAAUAAGAGGUAUGAACUGGAAGGAAAUGAGCUGACUUGGUCAUUCUAUCUACAAAGACCCAAACUGAAUCAUGAUGAUGACGAGUAUGAGUCAAACCCGUCACGAAGUCCAUGUUCACAACUUCUUACUUCCAAGUAGGGAUAUAGAAUUCCUGCAUGGAACUACUAGGCUUCUGAUGCUCUAUCUUAACCUACUGAUAUGUAGAGCACUUAGCCACAAACUCUGCAAUAUCUCUCUUCAUCCCACUUCACCAAUAGAUCUCCCUCCCGCAAGUCACGGUACAUAUUUGUGGCCCCUGGAUGAAUAGAGUAGUGCGCACCAUGCACUUCUACAAGAAUUUACUGCCUCAAUUCAUCUAUGCCUGGAACUCAGAGACGACCCUGACAACGCAAGACACCAUCUCCCUCUUGGGAGAAAACCUCAACCUUUUAAUCUUUGACUGAUUCUUUUAGCUUGAAAAGGCUGGAAUCUCUAUCUUACUUUUCCUUUACCUCAGAAACUAGAGAUGAUUUUGAACUUCUAUGGACACAUACCCUACCUUCUAAAGAAUCAACUAGGCAGACACCUAGUCGAGCAAGCUGAUAGAAUUCCAGAGUUAGCUUCUUCUUAUCUUUCUCAACAUGAGCAACACUACCCAUAGACAGUCUACUGAGAGCGUCGGCCACUACAUUGGCCUUGCCCGAGUGGUAAAGAAAACUCAGAGCUCUAACUACCUUAUCUGACAAAGAUUGAGAUCUUUCUAAAAGAAUAUGUACUGAAGUCUUUUAUGAUCUGUGAAGACAUCUACAUGAACACCGUACAAAUAAUUCCUCCAAAUCUUUAAGGCGAAUACUACGGCUGCUAACUCAAGAUAAUGAGUAGGAUAGUUCUUCUCAUGAGAUUAAGAUGUCUGGAGGUGUAGGCUAACCUUACCAUGCUGCAUGAAGACAUAACCCAAACCUACUCUGGAGGCAUCAUAAUACACUACGAACCUAUCUGGACCAUCUGGAAGAGCUAAGACUAGAGCUGAGGUGAGUCGAGUCUUCAACUCCUAAAAACUCUUCUCACAAGGAUCUGACCACCGAAACUUGACGUUAUUCUGAGUCAAUUUGGUCAUAGGGGAUGAAAUAGAAGAAAAUCCCUCAACAAACCGCCUGUAAAAGCCAGCAAACCCAAGAAACUCCUAAUAUCUGAUGGAGAUACAGGUCUGGGCUAGUUUCUUACUCCUUCGGUCUUUUGAGGAUCUACUCUAAUUCCAUCACCAGAAAUAAUAUGACCAAGGAAUGCUACUGACCUUAGCCAAAAAUCGCACUUACUAAAUUUGGCGAACAACUGAUGAUUUUUGAGAGUCUGGAGUACUGUUUUGAGAUAUUCUGCAUAAUCACUUUCACUACGAGAAUAGAUAAGAAUAUCAUCUAUGAAGACUAUGACGAAUAUGUCCAAGUACUUCUUGAACACUCGGUUCAUCAAGUCUAUGAAAGCUGUUGGUGCAUUGGUAAGACCAAAGGAUAUGACUAGGAAUUUGAUGUGACCAUACUGAGUAUGAAAAGUUGUCUUUGGAAUGUCACAUUCUCUGACUCUGAGAUGAUGAUAGCUAGACCUGAGGUCUAUCUUAGAGAAAUAGCUGGCACCCUGAAGCUGGUCAAAUAACUCAUUAAUUCUGUGGAGAGGAUACUUGUUCUUGAUCGUGACUUUAUUGAGCUGACGGUAAUCAAUGCACAUUCUAAGUGAACCGUCUUUCUUACACACAAAUAGGACUGGUGUACCCUAUGGGGAUAUGCUAGGUCUGAUGAAUCCCUUAUAUAAGGGAUUUUUCAAUUGUUUUUUUAGUUUCCUGAGUUUUGCAGGUACCAUUCUGUAUGGCGAAAUAGAUAUAGGCUGAGUAUCUGGAAGAAGAUCAAUGCCAAAGUCUAUUUCCCUUUUAGGAGGAAUGCCUGGAACAUCUUCGGGAAAGACAUCUGAAUAUCCAUUCAUGACUGGAAAUGAUUCAAGACUGGGAGAUUCAGAACUAGAGUCCUUGACAUGAAUGAGAUGGUAGACACAUCCCUUAGAUAUAGGAUGGGUUCAUUUGGAAACUGAAACUGAACUGUUCUAUUUCUGUAGUCGACUGUGGCAUAGCUGGAAUGAAGUCAAUCCAUGCCAAGAAUGACAUCAAAUUAGUCAUAUCUAAUUCAACUAAGUCUGCUAAAGUGACUUUCUGAAAUAUCAUAAUCCGGCAGUUCCUGUAUACCCACUGGGCUAUUAUGGUUUUAUCCAUCUAGGUAGAGAUUAAAAGGGGCUCUGCUAGAAUUUUGGAACUAAUUCUGAAAUUGCCUGCUAAAAGAAGUAACGAAAGACAAGAAAGCACCUGGAUCUAACAAAGCAUAAACAUGCACAUGAAAAAUUUGUAACGUACCAAUAACCACAUCAGGAGAAUUUUCCUGAUCUUGCCAUGACUGGAAAACAUAGAGUUGAUUUGGGUGUUACCCACUAGUAGCACUGGAAGUGGAACCCUGCUGAUUUAGGCAACCGAUUUGAGCUGUAGAAUGGUUCUGCUGAUGCUGAUAACUCAACUGGGGACAAUCCCGGACUCUAUGGACUGGCUUACCACAAAUAAAACAGACAUCGCUACCUGAUCUGUAGACACCCUUGUAGUUCUUACCACAAGUUUGGCAAAGGGGAUUAGUGUGGCCACUGCAAAUACUACCCUGAGACUGUGUGCCUGGUGGCCUAUCUCUGAAUUUAGGAGCUGGAGUACUGGCUGAAGAAGGAGCUGGGACUAAGGGUUUUGGGUGAAAUUAAGAACGACUUCCACCCCUUGACCUGGGCUGAGAAAAGUUAUACCUACCUAUCCUUGAUUUCUUAUCCUACUUGUCCCUCAUCUUAAUUUUCUACUUCUCUAUCUGCUGAGCAUGAGUCAUAAGCUUGGCUAAAGUCAUGUCACUAUUCAGCAUGGCAAUCCUACACUCAUUUACCAUGAUAUCAUUUACCCCAGAAAUAAACUUACUCAUUUUGGCCCUGUUAUCUGCAACUAUAUAAGGGGCAUAUCUGGAUAAUUGAGUAAACCUGAGGGAAUGCUCUUUUACUGUCAUGUUACCCUGCCUAAGGUUGAUGAAUUCUAACACCUUAAAUUCCCAAAACUCAAGGGGAAAGAACCUAUCAAGAAAAGUAUCAGCAAACUCUUCCCACUCCACUGACCCUACAUCGUUUGACCUCUCUACUAACCACUGCUUGAACCAAGUGUGAACAACAUCCUGCAACUGAUAUGCAGCUAGCUCCGCACUCUGACAAGAAGUAACCCCCAUGAUAUUCGUGAACUUCUGAACUUGGUCAAAGAACUCCAUAGGAUCCUCUUCUAACUUAGACCUAAAGAAGGAUGGAGGAUUCAUUCGGGUAAAGUCUCGAAUCCUAGAUGCAACUGAAUUGGCUAGAACAACUGCUGGUCAUGCAUUCUGUGCAGCAACCGACUGAACGAGAGUGGUAAAUACAGCUCUGAACUCUGCAUGAGGAACAUGCUCAUCCAAGGAGUCUGCCUAAAUGGGAUGAGAAACUGACCGUUUUCCAGCUCCCCUUCUUUGAGAUCUCUUGGGAGGCAUAUUCUGUAAAUGGAAGAGAAAAGGAUUAGACAGAGAUUUAAAUUCAAGUUUAUGCUCACUGGCAUGACAUGAAUACUAAAAGAAAGAAGAUUGUUCCUAAAACAUGUUAUAGCAUCUUGUACAUAAAUGUGGCAUGCGAUACACUCAUACACAAGACUCUACUAGAUGCAGCUUUCAGACUUCCUAGGAAACUAUUGAACCUUAGGCUUUGAUACCAAGAUUGUAACACCCCAAUUUUGGUAAUCGAAACACUACACGGUGCCCAUGACCCCAAAGGACAAUAAGCUAACCCAUGACUGAUAUCUGUACCUGUAUACUAUAUAAUAUACAUGAUAAAGUGGAAUACAUAAGAGUUGUAAGGCCAUAAGGUUCACAUCUAAUAAAGUCAUAACAUCUGAAAUACGGUAUCACAAUACCACAGCUAAAAUACUAAAGUCUGAAUCAAAUCUGAAAGCAUCUACAUAUGUCUAAAUAAGGAGUUGAGGGGACAUGUUCCCAACUAACUCCAUAUACUGAAAGCAACUGAAAUAAAUAAUGAUAGAAUAAUAGUCCUUGAAGUAUAAGGACUCACUACGACUCUGCUACUGAAACUGAAAUGCUACUGGUGCUCUGGAGCUUGUGCUGCUGAACUAAAAUAAAACACCAUAGCGCAAAUGCGUCAGUACAAUCGAAUGUAGUGAGUAUGCAAGUGAGGUAAGCUAAUGCAUGGGGUUCAUAUGCAUGAACAAUACUGACUAACAUGAAUAUGAGAAUACAUGCAUGAAUACAUAAUGAUUGUAACUGAGAUCUUGAUAUAUGAUUACUGAGUCUGGGUACUGAUAUCAUGAGUUUACUAAUAACUGAUAUAACUGAUAUUGUUGAAUAUAUCUGACAGUCCUGAUAACUGAUAACAUGAGUGACUGUAUCUGAUGGCCCUGAUAUUCUGAAGAACUAUCUAAGUUCUUUUACUGAUACUGAUACUGAGACUGUGGGAAGUAGUUAUCUAACCGACACGCCCCAUAUAUUGCUAUUAUAGCUAAGUUGGGGUCCAAUCUGUACCCUGACCAAAAGGGUGUCAAUACCGUGCCACUGGUAAGGACAAGCUGUGAGUGACCCUCAUCUUUGUGACACCCUAACUUAAGAAGAAGUCCCACAUCGGCAAAACAUAGUAGGGAUACUGGGUAUAUAAGUGAGAAAACCUUACCCCCUAGUGACGCAUAUUAAAGUCGUGUGGGCCUGGGCCCAGAGCGGACAAUAUUACUAGUAGAUUGGGCGGAGAUAGGGGUAUCUUGGGCCUGUGUGGUUCAGGAUGCCCAUCGCGGCCAGGGCCGCGGGCCAGGUCGUGACAAUCUGGAAGGUACUCUAUUGAGAACGGUGGGAACCCUUAUCUGACAGGUUAAGCCACCUUAUCUACACUCAAUUAACAGGUAUUGAUGUCUCAACCUACGCUGGCUACGUAGUUCUAAAAUGCAAAAAUUGCUUUUAAGAAUCACACCCUCUACUGGCAGGUGAGUUCCCAUCCUUGGGUUCACUCGGUGCUAUUUACUACUCCCAUCUGAACAGAUAAUGAACAUGAUAAAUUAAACGGUACAUGGACUGAGUUUACUGAAUUCUGUUGUCUGACGGAAUGUUACCUAAUUCUGUUACUAACUGAGUUCAUGAGAUUACUGAGAUUUUUCCUGAGUCACAUGACUGACUGAAUUCUACUGAACAUGGCUUGACUGAGGAUAUCAUGAAAACAUGACAUGUCUCUAGACACACAACUAUAUUUUUUGGGAACAAGUACCCCCAGGACUCAAUAGAAGGAAACUGACAAAGCAUGACUUUCUUAUACAUGACCAACAUCUACAAUCCACAAUACCAUAACUUGGGGAAUUUCAUAACAUACAUGGUUAUCACAAUCUUGUACAUAAAUGGGAUUGCAAAUAGACAUGGCACAAUAAAUCCAUAGAGCUAGUUCAUGAACAACCCAAUAAGGUUUACAAGACACCUUCAUAGCAUGGAAACCAUUUGGACAUAGAGGUGUAUCAUGAAUCCAUCAUUUAGUCACAAUUUAGCAAUAUUACAUGAUUUCUAGUUUCUUAGGCAUCUUAUCAAAUACCUUACAUGUACAAUUUUGGACAUAGGUAAAAUCAUCAAUUCAACAAAUCUUAAACCACCAAAUUUAUGGAUUUAACCUUAUAUAAUAACAAGUUUCAUAAAAUCACCUAAAGAUUCCAACUUGGGAAUCAUACAACACCAACAACAUGGUCAUCAACGUCUAACUUACAAUUUCAAGAACUCAACAUAAAGUUCAUAUGAAUAAUAAUACAAAAUAAAUUAGUUUUUAUGAUUUCUUGAGAUAACUCAUGGAAUUAAAAUUUAAUUUACAUCAACAACAUGGUUAUAAUUAACCCACAACAUAAAUAUCAUGAUUUAUAGAUUUGAAAGAGGGUUUCUGAGCUUCAUAGAUGAAAGGAAUCCAUGAAUCAACACUAUGCAUACCUUAGAUGAAAGAUUCUUGAAGAUUAACGGUGAAAUUCCUUAAUUCGUGAAGCUCCUAUGAAAACCCUAUACUUGUUCUUGAUGAAUUUUGAGAGAAAACAAGCACAUGUUGCUAAAUUAUGACUGAUUCUCGUGUUUUUGUGUAUAUAUAUAGAGGUAGGAAAGACUAAAAUACCCAUAGAGAAAGAGAGAAAGACGCAGCUGUCCUCUGUUGUUUUUAGGCUGAUAUACUGAAGUAAAUUGAUCAUAACUCUUUACUCAGAUAUGCAAAUUAAAUGGAACCAAUUUCAUUGGAAAUAAGACUCAAAGAUCUUUUGAUUGAUAGUUAGAAGCUCUCACAGUUCAUUAUAUACAGGAAGUUAUGAUCGUUUGAAUUUGACCCUAAAAUGCUGAAAAUUUCUGUAGCAUACGACGCAUGCAAAUCGCAUGGUGCUUCUGUUUUGAAAUCCAAACACGCCCUAAACGGAUUCCAAAAAUUCCAAAACUAACUCGAGAUGUACUCUUGACUUCCAUGAUUACAACGCAACUUGAAAAUUCAAAAACAGAGGUUGGGAAGGUCGUCAAAUAAAUCCCCGAAGUUCGAAGGUAUAAAAGAAGACUAAGUGUAUUUAACACUUAGCAUAAAUUCUUCUAAGUGUUGGAUUUCCUUAUCAAGCCUUAAGGAGCGGAAUUUAAAUAUAGAAUUUUAUGGGGUCUUACAUAUACCUAACACCAAAUCUAGGUUCGGAGUGAGAAUUAUAAGACUCCUCACAUGCCCCAACCUUAUCAUAUGAUACAUCACGAGGUCCUAUAUCAUCUCCAAAGUCACCAUAAGCACUAGCUACUUUAUUCACCUCAUUUUCUCCCUCAAAACAGUAACUUUUAAAACUGCCCAAGUUUUGGUCAUGGCUAUUUUCAUAGCCUCCGCAAUCUCCCUCAACUUCGUAGCCAUAAAAAUCCUUACAACAAUCAUAGUCUCCCAUAUUGUAGUCACAUUAAUCCCCAGCUAUCAAAGACAUGUUCCCCUUAAAUCACCUUUUGAACCUACAAAAUGAACAAACAAGAUUAGUAGUAAAAGCUUCUCACUAACACUCGUAUGCACUCACCUUUGUGAUUCUCACAAUUGGAGCGAUGAAUAUUGAAAUUCGCUUAUACUCCGGUAGUCAACAGGAUGUUAAUUCUACUUGGCGGCCAGAAUAGAUUCUUGUUUGAUCGACUCAAGAAACAAAAAUAAAAUUUACUUACAAACUUGAAACAAAGAAGUUACUACAAGUUAAAAAUAAGAAAAGCACACAAAUAACGAAGACACGAAGAAACGGAUUCAAUAAUUAAUCUACAACUAAGUAGGUGAUUACUAGUUGUUAAUUAAUUCUAGAAUCAAGACAUGAAACUAAUGAAACAAUAUGAUGAAACUAAGAAUCUAAAAUUUAAGCUCGAAAAUAUUGCGUGAACAGUAGCAGUGAUGAUGUGGCAGCCACAUAU